UGGUUCUCUCAUGCAUGCAUGCAUGCGUUUAGCAACUCAAGAGGAAAUCAGCAUUAAGAUGCCAGCAGUAGAAAUAUUUCAGUAUCAAUAUGGAGCUACUAAUGGAAUGAAUGCAUAUCUCAAAGCUAUAUGAUCAAAAUCUUGCAGAUCUUGUAAAAUAUACUGAUCGCAAACUUCCGAGAAAUGAUUAUCAACCCAUACUCACCCUGUAAUUCAUCUGCCAAUCUCACCUAACUGCUAAUUUGAUAUGGCUCUAACAACACUGAAGCAAAAACAGCAAUGACUUUGAGAAACUAAAUGUUACUUAUUCCAGUGUGUCUGAUCAUUGGUACCUCAAAAGCUUAUCUUUCAUUAAUCAGGUUCCACUCAAACAUUCAAGAAGCUUCCAGGACUUCCAGGUCAUUCUCAUUCAUAAAUGCUAUGACAGAAAAUGAUGAAAACAGAAUCCUAAUUUAUUGCAAAGGCCUCGCAAAUCAGAAUUGACAAUCAGCUUCUUGUGCUUUUGUCUCCAUUCUACUAAAUAACUUAUCUAAACUCUGUUUCUUGUGAUUUUAUUUUUCAUAUAGUCCACGGGUGAAAGAAAUUGGCCACCUAACCAGUUAUCGAUUGGCACAAACCAAUGUUCAUAUUACUUCUCAUGCUCCAUGAAAAUUAGGUAAAAGGAUCGACUAUCAAGUGACCUUUUGUAGUGGCUUACCAUCUCUCUGCAUCUUCUUCAUUUCUCCAUUGUUUUAACUCUUCAAGUGCCUUGUAGAACUUAGCAACAGAUUCUUGUACCAGCGAUCAAAGUUCCUCAAAAUUCAAUCGUCCUAGCAAACCUAUCACUGGCUGCACAUCUUCAUGAUAGGUACAUACUACAUUUCCUACACACCUCAAAAGCAGCCAUAUCUCUCUCUCUCUCUCUCUCUCUCUCUCUCUCUCUCUCUCUCUCUCUCUAGUGUGCUGGUUGUCCGCUUCAAUGCCUGGUUUCACAUAAGGGAAUUCCCAACCCAUAUAGCACCCGGAUUGGCUCAGUUCUUUGCCCAGAAGGGGACUGAACCAACCCAUGCAGGCCCUACUUCCUGUUGUUUCACUUUCCCUCGCUUGUUUUUCCUUUGAAUCUAGAUUUCACCUACUUCUACCAAUAAAUUGCCAUCUAUGAAAACAAGAGAAGUCACACCUUCCGGAGAGUGUCCCUAAUUUUGCAGCAUGUAACGUUGAUUGCCAAUGGAAUUCACUACCAAGCAUCCCCAGACUAAACUUACAAACUUCUUAGUGAACGUAUCUCGCACAAAUUCAACGACACAUUCUUCAAGUUCCCGCGCAACUGUAGCACCAUACGAGUUGAAUUCAAAAUUCAUCUCAAGUAUUACAUUUCGGAUGUGCCCGUCGUUUCCUUGAUCUAUAGCAAGCUGCAUGAUGCCCAGAACCUCGGCAGAGAAUCGUUCGCUAGAAGCUAUGUCAUCAGUUUCCAUGGCUUUGGUCAGCAGUUGUAGUCCGUCACCUCAAAUCGCCCAUCUCUGUCGCCGUUGGCUCGCUAGGGACUGUUUCAGGAAGUCCUUCUGUCCGCUGCCUCUGUUGGCAGGUGGCGAUCUUACAUUCGUCAGAGCUUGCUGGUUCGGAUGGAAGAUGAGCAACCGUGAUGCUGAAAGUUGCGUCGGUGGAGUUCUAAGUUUGCCUAUGGCGGAGGAAAGAGGAUUUAGCAACACAAAAUAAAGAUAAAUUGUUUAGGUAUAAUACCCAAAGAAGAAAGGUGGAGAGAGAAAAACUAAAAACAAAGAAAAGAGAUAAAGACAGGGCAGAAUUACAGAAUUUUAUUUAAAAGUUUUUUUCGAGAAAAGAGAACGAGAAGGAACAAGAAGAAACAAGGCAUUGUAAUUUAGGUCAGCUGAGUUCACUCACCUACAAAUUGCUUCCUUAGGAAGUUUCCAUCUUUGCAACUACAAAUGCAGCCAGCCAACACUACCAUUCUCGUCUCCAUCGGUCGAAUUGGAAGCGAACGUAAUCUUGAUUCACUUGCCUUGAGGGAGAAUAAACUCAUAUUUUCUCUUUGAUCCUAUUUGAUUAUGCUCCUCUGAACUCUCUUGACAAUCUUCAAAGUUUUUUAGUAGAUCUAAUUCAGUCGGACUAUCUCCGUGCACAUGUGAACGCUCUUACAAUUCUUUUAGUAAAUCUGUUUUGAUUGGUCUAUCUUUGUACAUAUGUAAACUCUUGGUUUCUAGAUCUGUUGAGUCAUGACCAACCUUGCAGAGUAAAGCUGGAUCUAUUAGCUGAUUUUCUUGUAGCACAACCUUUAAAUCAUCGUCUAUUCGCUUGCAUAUUAUUCGGAAUCCCCAAAUUUUCACGUUUGUAGUCAAUACUACAAGGUUCAAUUGUACAUAGCUCCCAUCAAUUUGACCAAAAUCGACUUCUCCCCAUAGAUCAUAUGGUGUGAAAUACCGAAGCCAAUUAUUCGAAUUCAUCGUUGAGCAGGCCCAUCCUUCUUUGCAAUCCCGUAUUUCCCCAUUAACAUAUGGUAUAAUCUCAAAUGCGGGAUCCUUGCACCAUUCAAUACAAUCGAGAACGAAACAGAGAGCCAAUCCAAGAAACUUAUUAUAUAAGUCCCUUGAAGCCAUGAAAGAUACGAAACCCUCUUCAACUGGGAGGAACCACUUUGGAAUUUCUCCUCCAUAGAGAAAAUUGUUGAAGUCAGGAGGUUUCUGUUAUAAAGUGAGGCCGUUAAAAGGCAUCCAAGUUUGUUGUUAGUACCCAAAUAUAAAAAUUCAAUUUGAGUUUAGUUAGAAAUCCUAAUGAAUCUGACUUCGAAGUAAUAAAAUAAUAGAGAUGCAAUGAUCCUUGCUUGCAUUAAUAUACAAGUCUUGUGAUAGAAAUCAUUCUCUUAAAAGUACAGUAACCUCCUGCAUUCCAUGCAUAUAAGUGCAGAAUCGCUUUAUAUUUUUUUGAGCCUCCCAUCUUGUAUUUUCUACUAUGGCAAUAAACGAGCGCUCACAGUUUAGAUGCGUGUGAGAGAGAGAAUCUAACCUGGUGUGGGGGAAUAUCGGCCAUGGGCAGGCCCCUGCGGAGAAGAUGAUGAAUAAAAGUUGAAUGUCCAUCGCUUUUUAGAGAUUCGCAAUUGUCUGCCAAAAAAUACCUCAAAUAUGGUGGAAGCUCAGGAAUCUCUUGUAACUGAUGACAAUUGUUAACAUUUAAUAGGGACAAACGAUGAUGCUUACUGAUGGAUGUAGGAAGUCUAGUAAUAUUGUUCCUCGACAAUACUAAUUCUUCCAAUAAAGGACAACAGGAAAGAUUCUCAAGAAAGUCUACUUUGGACAGAUUACAUCCCAUAAGGUUUAAAUAAGUUAAAUUUAAAAGUCCGGACUUCAUGGGCGAAUCAGCUAAAUCCUCGUACUUUGGAAACCCAAUAAAUUUGUGCAAUCCUCAAGUUCCAAGGAAUCAAGGUUUUGUAACUUGUAAAUGCUAGACGGGAAACUUAUUAGGUUCCGGCAAUUCCUUAAAUACAUUCCCUCCAAAGAGACAAGAUUUUCGAAUGAUGUAGGAAGUCCUAUUAUAGCUGUACUUUCUAAAUGAAGCUUUUUCAGGCCUUCAAGUUUAUGUGGAAUUGCAGGGAACCUUUCAAAUUUUGUGCAAUAUUCAAGGUGGAGAGCUCGGAGGUUUUUCGACUUGAGCACAUUUGGAAAAAUACUAAGUUCAGAGCACUCCAUUAAAUUCAACACCUGUAACUUGUCAUGAUGUGCGACGGACUCGUGGGCCUCUACCAAGCUUUUGCAACUAUGGAGAUCCAAUUCCUCAAGAUUUGGAGUAAAUGAAAGGUCGGGCAUAUGAACCAACAACUUGCAGUUACUGAAAUUAAUGUACUUCAAAUUUUGGAAGCCCUGCAUACAACGAAUGUAACUUUGAUGAAUAUUCUAAAAGGGAAAAAAGGGGUGUUGUAUGAUGAUGUUACUUCCUUACAUUUAAACUGUGGAAUUCCCAUUUGAGAAUAGGUUGUUACUAAAGCAUAUUUGGUAUUGAUCUUGCAAGAAAUUAUUAUUUUUUUUAUUGUCAAUCAUAAAUGUUGAGCAAUUUGUUUAUUUAAUGGAAAUGUGAACUGCUACGGAGUCCACAAUAGGCCUAUGUAAGUUGUACAUAGAGGGGGAGUCAAACUCGUGAAAUGAUGGUAACUUGAUAUUGGAUGUCGUUCACAUUGUCCAUGGUUUUGAAUAUUGAUGAUUACUAACAUCAUAAUUUAUUUGUGGGGGUUUAGUUUAAUUGAGGGCUUUGAAAUUAGCUACACAACAAAUCGGGAAGAUUGGGUUUCUAAAGGAUAUGUCAUAAUUACAUAUCCUUGACUAUCAUAUAAUCUACAUUGACCUGGUGUUUAUGUCAUAAUUACAUAUGGUCAGGCUACAUCUGUGGCAUCCCGGAAUUUCAAAGCCAAGCCUUAAGGUGUGUUAAAUAUCUUUAAUUAGGUGGUAGAAUUUUAUGGCCUAUGCUUAAGCCAAUUUGCCCUUGUAUUUGAUGAAUUUUUGCUUGUGAUUGUGGAAAUUUAAAUUUAAUUAGUUAAUGCUUGACCAUAUGAUUUAAAUUUCAAUAAUUAGAAAUAUUCCAAGACUUUGGCCAAGAUGAAAUUUGAAUUUAGAAAUAUUUAUAGAAAGGAAUUCAAAAAAAAGGGAAAAAGGGAUAAAAUUCGAAAUGGGCCUUGGGCCCAUUAGCCUAAAGCUUGGUGGGCCAAGCUAGUCGGCCCAUUGGGCCCAAGAGAUGGCUGUCGACCAGCCCAAGAAGGAGUGGCCGGUUGGGCCUAAGCCCAAGCCCAAGCCCAAAUUGAAUUCAAAAAUUGAAAUUACAAGUGGCCAAAGGAAGAGCAUGCAUUGGCCAUAGGUGUGGUGGAUCAAUCAUUACUUAUGAUGAGCCUAGGGGAGUAUAAGAGGGAUGAAGAGAGAGAGAGUGACCGGUUUUUUUUUCUUCAUUUGGCCGAGAAAGGAGAGAGUGAGGGAGAUAAUUCGAGAGAGAGGAGAGGCCGAGAGAGAGGAGGCGGAGCCGAGAGGGAGGAGCCGCCGUGUCUCGCCGUCGCCGCCUUGUCCGACCGUCCUACGCCACCGUACGCCGUUGUUCGUUGCUGUUCGUUCAUCUUGGAGGCAAGUGGGGGUCCAUAACUUCUCUUGCAUGUUGUUUUGAUGGUUGCAUGUUCGGUUUUAGGGGUGUUUUGGGGCGAAAUACCAAGCAAGGGUUGCAUGUGUUCAUGUAAUGUGGCUGUUUCCGUUCGGUUUGUGGUAGACAGUUUCUUAUUCGAGCUUGCAUGUGUAUUUGGAGUGUGAUUUUGGCUUCGGUGUCUUCAUGAAAGUUGAAGCUAACAUCUUUUAGUAUGACAUACUCGAAUUUCAUGGAAAAAUAAGGUGAUAUGAGGGGUCAAAAGCUCUGUUAUACGGAGACUUCAGAUCUGCGAAUUUCCUACUGACCUCUUGAUGAUUUCUUGGUUGCAUGUUGAUUUCUGUUGGAGAUCUCACUUUGUUGUCUUCAUGGAAGUUGUAGGUAACAUCCUAAACUACAACAUACUCAAAUUUGAAGAGAAAUGAACAAGUAUAUCCUAGUUAAUCGGCUAGAUCUUUGAGACGUUUGGUUCUGUUGAAGUAUACCGAGACACCCGAGACUUCAAGGACUUAAAAGAGGAUCAUAAUUUGGUUAUUUAACCUAGAUCUCUUCAUGAAACUUGUAAAGGACACAUUGAUACAUAACAUACUCGAAUUUCAGAAGAAACGAAAGAGAUUUGAUGGGUCAAACCUAAGUUUUUCGGUGAUGUACGUUCUGGACGAAACGGUAGAGGUUCCAGAAGCUUCAUGGAGUUGUAUAAAUUAAUCUAAAAAUAAUUUGGCUUAGUGUUAUUCAUGAAAAAUGCACGAAAAUGUGUUGGCUAUCACUCUGUAAAAUUUGGGAAUUUUCGGAGGUCAUAUGAGUAUUUUAAUUGAAUUAAUUUGAAAACUGUGUAAUCUGGCCAUUAUCCGAAUAUUGUGUGUAUUUUGUGGAAAUUUGGGAAAUUAUAUGAAAUGCAAAUUUGGCCAUGAAUUUGUGUGAAAUUGUGAUUUUAAUUGUUUGUUUAAUGAUUGUUUGAAUAUUAUGAUUUUUGGAAAAUCAUAAAUAUUAAAUAAAAUAUUUAUGAAAAUAAAUAAAUAUAAUAAUAAAAUAAUAAUAAAAUAAAAUGUCGAUUAUUUUAUUGGCCAAGAGUUUUAUUGAGUUAUAAUGCAUUGUUAUAUGACAUGGGUGUAUGUAUGCACAUGAAUAUGAUGCAUUGUUAUAUGGCAUUGAUGCAUGUAUGAUUAUGAAUCAUGAUGCGUGUGUGUGAUUCAUAUGCCAUGAAAUAAUAAGAUGAAAAGGAUGAUAAAAAAUGGAAAGUGGUAUGUGAGUAAGAGGUUGUGGCGGAGGAUGUUGUCUGGUGGCCUGGUGGCGUAAUUCCAGAGAUUCCCUGGGAGUUUCAGGAUGCCCGGAAUGUGGGGGGCCGGAAGCCCUGUCGGAGGUCUUUGCCCGAAGGGAAUGCCUCGCGAUGCCAGGAUUUGGGUGCGAGAUGCCUGGCUAGAAGGGUAAAGGCCAGAAGUCCGAUUGUAUCUUGGAUACAUGCCCGGAGGUUCCUCGUGAUGCUAGUUGGGAUGCGAGAUGCCCGGAAUGUGGGGGGCCGGAUGCUCGGUUGUAUCUUGGAUACAUGCCCGGAGGUUUUUCUCACAUGAGAUGCGAGUGUAAAAUAUGAGAUGAAAUUGAUGAAUCGAGGAAGGGUGAUGUGGUGAUCAAAUUUAAAGAUAAAGAUGAAAAUUAACUCAUGGCAUGAUAUGGUAUGAUAUGCAUGAUGAUAUGCAUGAUGAUGGUGAUGAUGAUGUGAUAUGAUAUGAUGAUCACCCAUGGUAUGAUAUGCAUGACGAUGGUGAUGAUAUGUGAUAUGAUAUGAUGAUCACCCAUGGUAUGAUAUGCAUGACGAUGGUGAUGAUAUGUGAUGUGAUAUGAUGAUCACCCAUGGUAUGAUAUGCAUGAUGAUAUGCAUGAUGAUGGAGACGAUGAUGUGAUAUGAUAUGAUGAUCACCCAUGGUAUGAUAUGCAUGAUGAUAUGCAUGAUGAUGGAGAUGACGAUGUGAUAUGAUAUGAUGAUCACCCAUGGUAUGAUAUGCAUGAUGAUAUGCAUGAUGAUGGAGAUGAUGAUGUGAUAUGAUAUGAUGAUCACCCAUGGUAUGAUAUGCAUGAUGAUGAUGAUGAUGAUGAUAUGUGAUGUGAUAUGAUGAUCACCUAUGAUAAUAUAUGCAUGAUGAUGCAUGAUGAUGAUGUGUGAUGUGACAUGAUGAUCAUCCAUGGUAUGAUAUGCAUGAUGAAAUGCAUGAUGAUGACAAUGAUAUAUGAUAUGCCAUGAUGAUGAUGAUAUAUGAUGUGAUGAUGCAUGAUACGCAUGAUUACAAGGUAAGUGAUGCUUGCAACGUGUGAUGAUAUGCAUGAUGCAUUAGAAUGUUAUUGGAUUCCUUUACCUGCUUAGUAGUUGUACUCACCCAUUUUGGGGAAUAACAUUUCAGAUUAGUAGAUGGUGUAAGCGGUUGGAUAUGACCGCGAGGAGAAGGAUAGCAAAUGAGGGAACCUUUGGAUGCCGACACUGGUUGAUGGACCUUAAGCAUACGAUUGUGGGAGGAGAUGUCGGUCAUCUUUUGAAUUAUAGCCUAGUAUAGAAAACUAUGGCAUUUUGAUGUAUCGAUGAAUGAUGUCCAUCUAGGUUAAGUGAAUAAAAGUGUACGGCUUUUACUUAUAAAUGUUUAGUAGGUGUGCAUCGAUUUCUGAAUGUAGGGAAGGGAAUUGUUGGAGGUGCUUCCGUAUUUAAAUUGCGCAAGGGACCAAUCUAAAAGAUGUAAACCCCCAUGGUUGUAUGGACCCGCUGCAAUUGAAAUGGUAUCAGAGUGACAUGUUAUUAAGAAAUUAAGUGGUAAGCAAACUGUGGCGACCCAAAUCGGAUCGGGGGCCGUCGAGGGGUGUCACAACAUCACUCUUCAUGGGGAUGGAAACAAGAAGAUUCGACAGAUCAGACAACUUGCAACCUACUAUUCAGGUUUCUGAGUAAAUUUCCUAACCUACUUUAAACUAAUUCUGUGUGAAUUACUUAUUGAAUCGACAAAAAAAAAAAAAAAACUAGGCACUUAGAACCUUUACUGCUAUAUAUAUAUAUAUAUAUAUAAAGAUUAGAAUGAAUACCAUUAGAAAUCCCAAAUUAGUGUACAAAUUUACCAAAUUAAUUUUGGUCUUACAAAAAUUGUAUAUUGGUAUUACUGUGGCGGAUGGCCCUCACCAGCCAUGGCCUGUGGCUGAUGUCCAUGGCUGGUGUCUAGCCAUCGACAAAAAGAAAAAGGGAAAGUAAAUGGAAAUGAAAAAAAAAAUUGUUAAAUUUUUUUAAAAGUGUCCACUUGGAUAACAAUCAUGCCAUGUAGGACAACCAGUGUUCACGUUAGCAAUUUCCAUCAUAAAUCAACUAGAUGGACUAAAUUGAUAUAAAUGUGAAAAUGUUUAUAACUAAAUUGGUCUAAUUAUAAAGUUUAAAACUCAAUUAGUACCAAUACAAUAGGUUUAGGACUUUUUUUCGUACUUUUCCCCACAUUAUUGGAAAGUUCCUAAUAUAUAGUUUAUUAUGUCCAAUUAGAAUUACUACUGCUCAAGAAUUGAUAAGCAAUUAAAAAUACCUUGUUUUACAUAAUGGUGCAUUCAUAUUUUCGGCCAAGCUAAUUUUAUUGAUACUUGGCAAAUCCCACUGUUUAGAUUUGUGUAUUGAGUAAGGCUCCAUCACUUGAUCACUGCACAGCCUACCACUCAACCAGCUACUCCUUGAGUGUAUUUAUUUCCAUGUACAUGUCAACGGGUAGCUUCAUCACAUUUUUGUUUCCCUUUUAUUUGAUCACUAUACAAAUUUUCUGUAAAAUUAAAAAGUUUAUAUAUAAACAACCGACAGCAAAUUGCAUUUUAAUUUAUUCAUUAAGUAGAUUAGAUUUGAUUUAGAAUACAACUAUGUCUAUACUAUUAGGGAAAAAUGAUCUCCUUUUUAAAAAGAUUUCCAUCUUUUUUUUCUUAUUCUCCUUCCAUCAAAUAUCCAAGGAAUUUAUUAUUUUAUUUUUUAUCACAAAUAUUUCAAUCUUAAAAGUGAAAUUUUCUAAUGAUGCAAUGGCCUUCAUAAAAAAAUUUCAAAUCUUGAAAUAUCUUGCUGUUUUCACAUAUAUGUAUAAAACUUCUUUGUAAUGUGUGUUUUAUUAACAAAAUGCUUCCAUUGAAUCUCUUAUAAAGUUGUUCGCUAAUUUCUUUCAAAUGCUCAUUUUGCUGCACGUAAAAAUAUUUCUAACAUAAGUUGUUAAUUUUGAAAGAAAAUGCUCAUCGGGAAGACAUAUAGGACCUUGGAAAGAAUUAUGCACAUUGCGUAAGAUGAGCAAUCUUAACCUUCUCAUUUUUGUAAAAGCAUCAGGACUGAUACACAUAUUUGUCGGGUUAGGUAGCUCCAAAACUAUGGCUUUUACUGCACAAUUUCCCUGUAUAUACAAUACUAUUUUAAAUUAUGCAUUUUCAAUAAAUAGAGUUAAAAAUAGGGAGCAGAAUUUUGAUCGUAUUCACAAGUCUUACCAUGUCAUGUGACAGAACAUCGACAACAUCAUCAUAUAGCCAUAGUCUACUGCGUCUUCUAGGAUCAUCUCGACAGUCUUGAUUCACAAUUUCUAUACCCAUCGCUUGAAUCAAGUCAUGCACUCUUAGGAAUCCGUACCAAUCAAUGCUUAUCAAGGACCUCUCAAUGAGAAUUUCUAAUCCUAUUGUUGCCUCAAAGUCGCAACUAUCGAGUACUUUCUUUAUGUACUCACUAUCCUUUCCCUUAAAUAAGCAAACAAUGUGGAGAAAGAUCUCUCUCUCAUUGUCCUCUAGCCCAUCAUAACUUAUUUUGAGCACAUCAUUAAUGGAUUUGUGAGGAAUCCUGGAAAGCUUUUUUAGUGUACUUUCCCAUUCACAUUCUCUUCUACCACGCAAAAAGGAACCCAGCACCUCAAGUGCUAAAGGAAGGCCUCUUGCAUGAUUUAGAACACUAUCCACCAAAUUUAUCCUCAUUUCCAAUUUUUGGUAUAUUGGAAAAGCAUGACUGCUAAGUAGCUCACGAGCUUCGCUAUCAUUUAGUACUUCAACUUCAUAUACAUGAUGUAAAUCAAUCCCAGGACUAGUUAGCAUUCGUCUAUCUCUUGCAGUAAUAAUGAUCCUACUUCCAUUGCCAAACCACUUGUCUUCUCCUGCUAAGGCAUUUAAUUGGUGCAAGUCAUCCACAUCAUCUAAGAUGAUGAGAACUUUUUUGCAGCAAAGUCUAUGGUGUAUUAUAUUAAUACCUUCAUCAACAUUGGACACUUCUAACCUUUGUUGUAGUGAUAAUAUAUCUUUCAAUAAUUUCUCUUGCAGAGUAACUAGACCCAUGCGACCUUUAGAUGUUUCUCGAACAUUUGCCAAAAAACAUGAACCCUCAAAUUGUCUAAAAGUAGCAUUGUAAAGGGCUUUUGCUAAAGUUGUCUUGCCUAUGCCUCCCGGUCCCCAUAAUCCCACCAUGACAACAUCAUCAUCAGAGUCAACGUUUAACAUCGAUUUCAACUUAAUCACUUGGGUAUCUAUCCCAACUGGAUGCUUAGCAAUGUGUAAAGGUGUUCGAUCUAGGUGAGUGGAGAUGUCAUUCACAAUUCUUUGUAUAAGCUUUGACUCAUCUCUGACAAAAAUGGAAAAAAAGAAGUUGUAGUAUUGUUUUAGCAAUUUGAACAAGCAAAUAACGAACGGUCACCAACCAAUAAUGAAAAAGGAGUGCGUCACAUUUUUACAUAAUCACAGCCAAGAAAAAAUUUGUUCCCACCAAGUCAGAAUUAGAACUCCAAGAGCUCCACACCAAUCCAAACAAGUUCAGGGUUCAACUUUUAGUCAUCCAAGUGAUCGAUGUUCAUUUGAUUAUACAUGACAAUUUACUUAUUUUUCCUUUUGACUAUUCUUUGUGAUUCAUCCACAUGCUUAAUCAAAAAGAGCUUUUUAGGACUUUGAACGGUAGUUACGGUUUCAAUUCGAAAACUGGUAAAUACUGGAAGCACGAUGCCAUUGCCUUACAUGGCAUGUGCACACUAAUUAUCUCGUAUCAAGCAUUGAGAAUUGUCUUACUCCUUCCAUAGAAAUUGGUAAGUGCAAUAACAUUACUUAUUGGUCGAUCAAGUUUUAACAUUUUAUACUUUCAAUCAUGUGUGUGUCGAUUUAUUUACUCUUUUCUACUAUUUUCUACAAGCAGUCUUUAAACUUGUAAAUAAUACUUUCUUACACAAAAUCUGAACUCCACUCAACUUAUCCAUCAUUUAGAUGCCACCCAGACAAGCUACCAGCAUCAAGAAGCGCUUUCUUCCAUAUUUUCACUUUCUCCGAAUUCUUCCCGAACUUGGACUCAUGCUUUGUCAGAGCUCUCCCAUAACUCUCUCUCCCCCCUCUAACUGCUCUUGGGUCCACUUUGUAAAACACUGGUAGAACGAUAAGGUCCUUUUGCUCCUUGCACUCCAUGAGCUUUGCCAACUCUUCCAAGCACCAUUGCGAGGAAGCAUAAUCCUCUGAGAAAAUGAUGAUUGCAACACACGAUUGCUUGAUGGCCUUCAUAAGUGCCGGUGAUAUUUGGUCUCCCUUCCGCAGUUCCUCGCUAUCAACAAAAGUAGAUAUUCCAUUCUGGUUUAAAGCUUUGUAGAGAUGACCAAGGAAGUUAUUGCGCACGUUCGUGCCUCUAAAACUCAAGAAGACAUCGUGAAUCCUUUUGGGUUUUGAUGAAGAAGCCAUUGGAUGAUGGAGUUCAAUAGUCACAACUACUAUUAAGUUAAGAUUUGGUAUUGUUGAAAUAAUCGGCGUCGCAGCGGAAGCGGAUCACAUAUUUUGCAAUUAUGUCGGAAGCUAUAGAAAUCGAUUGAAAUAAAACGAGAAACAAUAAACGGACAAGGACACCAGAAAUUUACGUGGUUCAGUCCGAAUGUCGGAACCUACGUCCACGGAGAGAGCCAGCAAAUCAAUUCACUAUAAAUCGGAGAAUUAAGGAUUAUAAUCACACAUGCACUCAAGUGUUUCCCAGCCCUACUAUAUACCCGAUACCUACAGUGUUUAACAAAAACAACUCACUGGACUCGUAUCCGCACAACCUCUCGGAGCUCUCUCACACUCUCUCGAGCUCCCCUUUUGUCUCGCUCUCUGCCGAGCUCUAUCCUUUCGCUCCUUGCCUCGUCCUCCGAAGCUCUCGCUCCUUUUAUCGGUGGCAUGAAGAAAACAAAUCAAUAUUGUACUCCAGAGUUGUCAGAAUGGCGCCGAUCUGCAAAGCAAGCGCCUCCAAGCAAUUAAUGAGAUGUGUGCGCGUGUGACCAUGCGAAGGAGAAUAGCUUCUGCCAUCUCUCUUUCUUUAUUCUGCCAUCCCUCUUUCUUUAUCAAUAAAAAACAAAAGAAGCCCACAAAAGAGAAACCGUGAGAGAGGGAAUUCGGCGCCUACAAGUGCUGACCAACUUUAUUCUUCUACAAGCAUGCAUGCACAUGGCCAUGUGCAUGCAUUUAAUGAUGUAGAAGAAUUGGACGAUCACCCCUUCAGAUUUCAUGCUGACAAAUGAGAAGAAUCCCAUGGAUUGAAGAAUUUAUUUCCAACGCGAAGCGCAGAUCAUGGGCGGGAUUUCUUCGGCUCCUAUCCUGCGCCAUUUUUCAUCAAAUGCUCGGCGCACGUUCUUUCUUGUUUCAGCAUGUAAAUAUUUUGUACGGAUCGGGUAUCGUACACGGACACAAACUCGAGACAUAAUUUAACAGGUAUGAUGUUUUCAGGCAGUUCGUUUACCACUUGAUUUUUGUUGAUUUAUUCUUAUACUAAUAGGACAGAGAUGCAAGACUUUCAUUAGUACUUUGGUAAAAGGUGAUGCUUAAGGAUGGACCAUGACAUCUAAAGGUGUGAACAUUUGGAUUUAUUUUCGCGGAAUACCGCGUACCACCAUAUUAUUCGGAAUCUGAUGGAAACACGCUUCUCUGGGGCCGACAAAAAGUUUUGAAUAAUAUAGAUCGGUACUGGUCCUAGUGAAUUCUCACGUUCUAGUCAAGGGCUCGCUGAUAAAAUCGAGAAGUUGUUUUUUCUUUGCUAUACAAUAAUUACCACAUGACCACCCAAGGGAUAUAUAACAUGCACCAUCAAGGGUACCGGCAAAAAAUAAUAUUUGAUCUAGAACUUUGGAAAAUAUGGUACUUAAGUGUGGGCGAAGAUAUGUAAUAGGUGUGAAAACGUGGACUUAUUUUCACCACUGUGUUAUUUCGGUGCUCUGAUUGACAGAAGCUUCUUUGAGGCCGUCUAAAGUAGUGGAGAAACAACUCUAAGGUGGUAGGUUCUUGUAAUCUGAUCAUAGACUCACUAAUCAGAAAAACUUUGCUGGCUUCCUCGAGAUGGGAUCCUCAACCUCUAAGUGGUUUCUUCUUUACUGAAUAAGAAGUCAAUACAUGACUUCUCAACGACAUAUAAUAUGCAUGACAACGAUACUUUCUAAUAGUCAGAUAAUCACAACAUUCCUAACAAAUGUCAAAGGAGCCCGUUCUGGAAAGUUUAUACGUCUAAUGCAAAAUUUUUUGCUUAGAGACUUUUCAUUCAUUUCAUGAGACAACUAAGAGUCAAAUUCGUUUGUAACGGUGUGAUUGGAUCCUUAAACAAAAACAUUUGCUUGGCUUAGUUCUACACUCACAUCUUUUAUUAAAUAUCUUUGCAUUCAAACAAUAGACACAUUUAUGUUUAGGCACAAUGCAUUCAAAUUAAACAAAGCUCGUUUGCGUCGAAUAAAAUAGGGGCUCGACUACGAACUUCUUCAUUUUAAUUGGCCCAAUGGACGGCUCGACAUGCGAGACAAAUUAAUAUUCACAACUCCAAAUUCGUGGUAGUUUGCUUCAAUUUCAUGAUAGCACAAUUGGACACAGCUCGCAGGAGAUGGUCUAUAACUCCAAGAUAGUGGGAUUAGAUAUGAUUCCAAGAUACCGGCAUUGGUCCUAACUGCUUGCUGUGGAGUUUGAUAUGAUUCGGACAAAGUGUAUCACGAUUUCGAGAAUUGUGGAAGUUUGGAUUAAACAGUUUCAAUAUGAGGAUUAGAUGAGUCAAGGCCGGCCAAGAGAGGGGACUGUGAUGAGAAAACAACCGGUCUUUAAAGAGGAAUUUUUAAGGAGCAAAAUACGGUCAAAAGAUUUUGACUACACAAAAAUCAAACAAAGUCAAACACUCGUAUGCUUCGUCCAUGGUCUGGAGUUCGAUGGCCAAAUAGACAGAGCAAACAAGGCGAUCUGGCGUUUGAAAAGAUCGAUUGGGUCAAGUGAGCUGGCCGGGGAUGAGAGAAGAGGGGGAAAGCAGAAAGCGGGUCAUGUGGUGAUUGAUUAAGGAAAAUUUGUCCGUGAGUUUUGGAGAUAGAAUGCGAAAAGGAUUCGGUGGUUCUUUUUUGAAAAGAGAGAAGAGAUGGGGACUCAUUAAAAAAGUAAAACCAAUCGUGAGCUUUCAAGGAGGGAUGGCUUUCGGUGGCAAAAAAGGAGACUCCGGUGAGAGUUGGAAAGUUAUGAGAAAUAGGCAAGAUUAGAAAGCGGCAAGCGGAAAAAAAAGCUUGAAAGUAAAAAAGGUGCAGAUUUCGUUUCUCACACUAUUUUUAUAUGAAAUUCGCUGUCUUAAUCCCCUUCACAUGAACUUGUCUAGGGAAGAAUCAAGUUGCCUAGUCGUUUCCUUUGCAUGAUGGUAUUGGACUGAGCAUGCUUCGUCCAUGGUCUGCCCUUGAAGUGUUCCUGAGUCACCUCGCCGUUCUAGUUGUGUUAGAUUUGCUUUUACAUUAAAUUCAGUAUGUGUGUAGUUACUUAUUUGUGGUUUUUGGAAAUAUUCUGAUGGUCGUUUUUACAUAGUGUUGGCCUUUUACCUACGCCUUCACCCACCCAAAAAGAUUGGAUCUUUUUGCCGUUUUGGUCAUGCAUAUAGCUUUACUCAUUCAUAAGCAUUAAUUGGCUCUUAUUUUAUUCACAAGCACUAAGAUUAAAUCAUGUUAGUAAUGAAAAGAAAUCGUAAAUAUAUAAUAAAAAAAUCUAGAUGGCAUAUUAGAUGAUUAUUGCAUCACAAGAUUAGUUAAUUCAUAAUAAAUCCAAAAUUAGUUAUUUGCGCAUCAUGCAUCGUCAACAUAUUUCCCAUCAAAAUUAAUUAUUUACCCGAACUUGCAUGUUAUGCGAUAGUUUAUGUUUUUGAUGUUUGGAUACGUACUAGAUUCUUCCUCGUGAUUUGAUUUGCUUGUCAUUUUGCACCUAUUAGAAUAUGGAUGUUUGGUUAGAUAUUUUGAUUAGAUUUACUUCUUCAUUUUUUUUUAUUAGAGACGUAUGCAUCCAAUUCAUGCAUGAUGUUAUAAUUGAAUUCACUUCUUCUUUUUUUAUUGGAAUCGUAUGCAUUGGAUUAAUUGCAUCCUGACUGAGUUCGCAUUUGUAUAGAUUCGCCCAUAUUUGUUUGAUUCAAAUGCACUGGACUCGUUUAUUGCAAUUUUUUCCUUGAAAGAGCACAGAUCACACACGACACGAUUAGUCCAGCCUUUAUUCAUCCCGUGACGAGGUGAUUUCACCUGAGAGCGAGUACCAAAGGUUUUGAUGUUCUAAACAUAAAAGGAAAACUAUACUUGAACUACAUUAGAAAUCUCAUCACAUAAGAAUGUGUAAUCGAAAUGGUGAUGUGGAAGGUGCUUCCCCUUUUUGGCACGUGAUUAAACACUCCGACCUUAAAUUUUUUAUUAUCGCUUUAUAGUAUAUUUUACUUUUCUGUUUGCGAUUGAUCUAAAAAAUGAUUGGUGACAACUCUUAAAACAAUUUAAGAAUUUGGAUCGCAGUGACUUACCCCGACCUGGGGAGGGAAGAACAUAGAUGCUUAGACUUUGGGUGGAACUAUCGCACAACUUGUCUGAAAAUAACUUUUCCUUUUGAAAAAUCCUCGAGGAACACGCUAUAAUUAUAUCAUAUGUUUUAUAAAAAUUUUGAUUUCAUGUACAUUAAAUUUGUCUGGUCAUUAAAGGAGGCAUGACUAAUUGAAGGAUUUUAAAUAUUUUUUGCUAAAGAGUGAGGAUAUUCACGAUGAGGCCUGGAUCCAGGUCUGGUGCUUAUGGCAGUGCAAAACUAGAGCGUUAGAUCUUUUUCUUUUUCAUUGUUAGACGAGUUCCACUAGAAAAAAAUUGACUGACAAAUUGCAUAAUCAGUUUCGAACUUGCGAUAGUGAUAAAAUUUUUAAUGUAAACAUAAAAGGCUUUGGUUUAACUUUAAGAAGUGUUUUAUAUAAAAAAAAAUAGACAUAUGAGAACGAAAAAAUUAAAUAUCGUCCACAUCAACAUUAGUGAUACUACCAGCGAUCACGUUAGCAAUUCCGAAUCAAAAUUUGCUGGAAUGAUUCAAUCGGUAAAUCAUCCAAAAAUUUAAGACUAAAUUGAUCAAAAAAAAAAUUUAAAAAAUUAGACUGAAUUGUUACAAGUAAAAUAUGUUUAGAACUUUUUUGGCAAUUUUCUUUUUAAUUUUUGUCUAGUUCUAUCCUACCCUAUAUCUAUUUUACAAGCCACAAUAUGUAUUAUAUGUUGUGCAUAGGUUGCGAAACCAUGCUCCCUCACUUAUGCGUCUCCACCCGAGCCCCUAAGAAUGUGGAGAAUCAAACUCUCUAUCUGACCUCUUCUAAGUGAGAAGGGUGACUAGUAGGGCAAUCCCAAUGACAUACUUGGCAACAUUGUGUUUUCAGUGACAACUAUUACCGAUUGAUCCCUCUCUUUUUCUUUUAUUUUUUCCCCCUUUUCUUUCCUUUCUCUUUUUUUUUUCCUUAUUUCCCUUCGCUAGUCAACUGCCUUUGUGAUGGCCGGCGAAGGUUGCCAAUCACCAAUGAGGGCGAGGGUUGUGCAAGGCCACCCCUUGCCAGAUCCUACAAGGGGACCCUCACCCAGCCCUCCCCAGAGACUAGUGAGCUAGGAAACACCAACACUCUCUAGGAGUCUUCAUGUCAUAUCUGACACUUUGAGACACUCCGAUAGGUAGUCAAUGAGUAUUGAAAAAUUCGACAUGUGGUCAACUCUCUCCAACACGCUCCAACAUACAAAUUCAAAAUUCUGACACUUGAUUCCAAUAUGCACGAGGUCAAUUUUAAAAAAUUUUAAUAUUUGAGAGGUCAAAAUGUGAAUAUACAAAAAAAGAAAAAAAAAAAAAAACAGGGCUGGUAGCUGAGAUCCACUGCCGCUGCCGCUGUAAAAGAGGAGGCCAGUGAGGCGGAGGGGGGGGCGGCCCUUGUCGGCCUAGGCGAGACCAUUGUCGGCUAGGCAAGGACUAGUGAGGCUCGCCCAAAUCUGGGCAAUGCCUUGGCGGAGGCUCGGUUGAGGCUUGCCUAGAUUUGGGCGACGCCAAACCCUCACUCGGGCCUAAUGAAGGUCGCUGGCCCUCACUUGGGGCCGGCGAGGCCUCGCCUAGUGCUAGGGAGGUUCGCUAGCCACAGGCAAUGGCCGACAUCGCUCAGAUCUAGGUGAGCCUUGCCCAUGCCUCACCUAGGCAGGUGAGGGUUGCCCCCCCUUUGCCAUUACCUCAUCAACUCCCUCCAAUGAUGGCUAGGCAAGCCGCUAACAGGGCUAAUGGCAAUAGCAGUGGCAUGCCCAAGCCCAGCCACGACCAUGCCUCUCUCUCUCUCUUCUUCUUUUUUUUUUAGUUUUUUAAAAAAAUUAUUUUAGCUUUUUCAAAAGUUUCUUACCAUGAAAAAAAUAAUAAAAAAUUCCCACAUAGGAUAAAUAAAUAAUUUUAAAAAUACCACUUAAGCAUUUUCCUUUAAACAAUGUUUUUUUCCCUCCAAGUUUUAUGUAUUAUUGUAAUGGAGUGCAGUUGAAUUUAUCAAAUUAAAAUAAUGAAUGAUAUUAAUAAAUUUUGAAUUAAUAUUUUUAGUGUAAAUUAAUUCUAUGCUCUUUUUAUUAUUUAUUUAUUUAUUUAUUUAUUUAUUUAUAUAUAAAAAUAUAUUUAAUAUAUAAUGUGUUGGAACGUGUUGGAAUUAUCUAUUUUUGAAAAAUGAUGUGUCGAAGUAUUGUGUUAUGUUGUGUCGUGUGUUACGUGCCCACGUCAGUGCUACAUAAUUGGUAAGGACCAUCACAUUUUUCAAUAGAUUCUAAUAUGCAUGACUUUCUUAAAUUACCGUACUUUUUUCAAUCAUGCAUUAGUUUCCCCAUUUCUGUCCGCCAUUUCCGUGAAAAGCUUGGUCCGUGAUGAAUGAUCGCCACUAUCACUUUUGGAAUGAGGCAUACAUUUAUUCAUCUUUCUCCGCUAACUAGACAAAGAAAAAGAUUUUUCAAGUAACUACUUGGGUCAAUCCCCCCCCUCCCCCAAAAAAAAAAUCCAAACUUUAGGUCUAAUCUCAAAUCCACCUUGAAUUUUUUUUUUUGGUAAGUUACCCUGAAUUUUUUUUGUCUAAAAAAAAAAACAAACUUUAGGUUUAGUCCAAAAUCUUCCCCGAACUUUUCUUUUGUCUUAGAAAAACACUAAACUUUGUUUUGUCUAAAAAAGGGUUAAUAUCACCAAAAACUUCAAAUUGAUAUAUAUGUGACAAAUUUACCCCCAAACUAAUUUUUUGACCACGAAAAAUCCCAAACUUGUACACUUGUAACAAAUUUAUCCAAAGCUAAUUUUUUAACCACGAAAAAUCUCAAACUGAUAUGCAUAUGACAAAUUUACUCUCUGUUAAUUUUUUUUAAAUUUUACUGUCAAAUUGAUGAGUUAUAUGGCAUGUGAUAAUUGACGGGUAUACCAAUUUGGGGUUUUACCUUUCAUUUGUACAAAAAAAAAAAAGAACCUUUAAUCUAUUUUCAAAUCUACCCUUGCGGUCCAGUGCCAACUUAAUGUGGCAUUUCCACAUCAAUAAUAAACACACAUUGGCAAGGCGAUAUGGAAAAUUAUCUUCAAAAUAAAAUUGUUCUAGGAUAUAAAAUAUUAGGGACUACUAACCAUGACUUUUGGACAGAAAGCUAACACGAGCAAAUUUAGGACUAAAAUAAAAAUUGAUGAUUUUUCUAUUCAACAAAAAAAAAAAAAUUGGGGUAGAUAUGGGAUUGAACCUAUCGUUUGGGAGUUUUUCUGAGACAAAAGAAAAGUUCGAUGCGGAUUUGGGACUAGACCUAUAUUUGAGAUUUUUUAAGAAACAAAAAAAAAAGUUCAUAAUAGAUUUGAGAUUAGACCUAAAGUUUGAAUUUUUUUUUUUAAUUUUUGGGAAUUAGCCCAUAACUGCUUGUAAUUCUUUACCAUUGUGAAGAGAAACCCCUGCUAUAACAGCUUAGAUGAGUUCAUGUGUUUAGAAUCUAUUUCUUUUUUAUUUUUUUAUUUUUUUGUGAAAUGUUAGUCAUGGUGGAGAGAUUUGUUAAUUGACAAAUUCUAGGCAUUUCCUCACUAGCAUGAUCAAGAAUGUGACGUUAUGCCCUUCUAACUUGUAAGGUACUCGGUCUUAGUACUCCCCUAUUCGCAGCUUCAGCUUGAUUUGGAUGGCCGGUACGAUGAUGAAGAGGAACUGUAUUGUGUCAGAAAACAAAGAAUCCGAGUAUUUGGCGAGCAGCUUGGGAGUGUUGAGAUUGUUGGUUUCAAUGCUACAUGUGUCUGAAGCUGAAGCAGUAGCAUUUUUUGGUUGAAUUUCUUCUUCGUAGUUCACGUGCCUUGAAGAAGAUGGCAAUUGAGGCUAAGAUGCACAAAGCUAAGAAAUGGAUAUAUUCGAAGUCAGUUGAUCACCGAAAAUUUGCUUGAAGUGGCACGAGGUUUAUACUUGGUUGUCCUUUGUCGCGAGCAUUGGAAGUAAUGGCAAAGUCUCAUCAGUAUUAUUAAAUUAUGUCUCGAGUUUGAACAUUUACACAACGCGAUUCGCUUGACUCCUUAAAGCUGCACAAAUGAGGAAAUAAUUAAAAAAUGAAUUUUUUCCCUUUGGAGUGAAGCUGCCGAAGCCCCCUGCACGUAAAGAUUGGUUAAUUGGUGGGGCCCAAGGUCAAACUUUUGACCUUGGGCACACACACGUAUUUCACGCGUGGGUUUCUUUUACUCGAUCAAGAAACGAAAAGAAGCGUCAAUACGUGGAAACAAAAUAGGUAGGCCCAGGUCAAAGUUUUGACCUUUUGGGCACACAUAUACAUUCUUUUCGUGCGAGCGUGGACGGUGGAAAAACCCCACGAACCUGCACGUCUAACGAACUUUGAAGGCGCAAGCCAUGAGAAGCUUUGAAGAGAUACACGAAGCCAUACGUACGCGAACCAAAUACAAACACUGGAGUUCUUGAUUUUGGUGUAUCUAGAGCAUUUUGUUUAAAGCUUGAACACACGGUAAUUUUGUGCCGUGAGUUUAUAUCUAAGUGAGUUGUUUAUUUAUAAACACUUUGAGUUUGGGGUUAAAUCUAGGUGUGGGAAACACUUGAGCAUGUGAGUAAUUGUAAACUUUGAUUAUCCGAUUAUAGUGGAUUAUUUGCUGCUGACUUUCCCUGUGGAUGUAGGUAUCGAUACUCUGACCAAACAACAUAAAUUUAUGAUGUCCUUAUUAUUUCUUGUUUAUUUCUUUAGCGAUUUCGCAUUGACGUAAUUUGCAAGAUCUCGUCGUUUCCGUAUAUUAUAUUCCAACAAUUGGUAUCAGAGCUUGGAUUAGAUUUCUUGAUUGUAAUUUGAAACUUUUGCUUGUCUGAUUAUUAUAUGGAAAUUCUGUUAUUGCAAUUAUGUUUGAGAGAAAAUGUAAAAUUAAGAAGUUUAAUGGGAGCAACAACUUUGUGUUAGGAGCAUCAAGAUGCGGGCAUUAUUGACAACCCAAGAUUUGGCCAAGGCACUGGAUGGUGAAGAUGAACUACCUAUUAUAAUGAAAGCCUCAAAGAGGGUAGAGCUAAUGGAAAGAGCAAAUAGUACAAUCCUGUUAAAUUUGUCGAAUGAAGUCUUAAUAAAGGUUGCUGAGUAGAAGGAUACCACAUCAUUAUGGGCAAAACUUCAAGCACUCUAUGUGAAGAAAGGUUUGAACAAUCGCUUGUACAUGUUGAAGAAUAUGUUUCAAUUUGGAUAUACUGAAGGUGCGUCUAUCAGAACCCACCUAGAUGAAUUUAAUAAACUCAUGAUGGAUCUGAAGAAUGUCGGUAAGAUACUUGAUGAUGAAAAAUAAGGCAUGAUGUUAUUAGCCUCUUUACCAGAGUCAUGGGAGCACUUUACUGAUUCACUAUUGCAGGGGCAUACUACAAAGUUCGUCUUAUUCUCUAAAGAGUAGCAGAGAAAGUUGCGAGAUGACGGUUUGGUACAAGGAGUAACGCAAGUACUGACUAUUUGAGGUAGAAAACAACAUCGAGGGUCUAAUAGCAGCAGAGGUAAAAGCAUAUCGAAAGCACGCCAUAGAAAGUCCAAGGAAUGCAUAAAGUGCUUUGAGUGUCACGAGGAGGGGCAAAUCAGGAGAGAUUGUCCAAAGUGGAAGAAUAAAGUUAAUAGGCAGAAUGCCAUAAACAGUGUAGCAAACAUUGCCGAGGGGAGCAAUAAGGAUGCAGAAGUUGUUUUAUGUGCAACUACUACUUCGUCAUGAGACAAAUGGGUGCUAGAUUCGAGGUGUUCUUAUCACAUGACGUCUCAUAAGAACUAGUUUACUACUUACCAGACUGCAUAUGGUGGUAGAGUUCUUUUUAGAAAUAAUGCAAUCUAUAAGGUUGUCGGGAUAGGGACAAUUCGAAUUCAGAUGCACGAUGGGGUGGUUCGCACAAUGAUAGAUGUGAGGCAUGUACCAGAGCUCAAGAAUAAUCUUAUUUCUUUGGGGACACUCGAUGACAUCGGAUGUAGGUACACCACUGAAGGUGCAGUACUAAAGAUCUCUCGAGGUGCCAUGACGGUGAUGAAGAAGAAGAAGAAAGUGAAUACUCUCUAUCAUCUACUAGGAGAGACUGUGACUGGAACACUACAGUUUCAUCAGGUGAGUCAGACUCUAACUUAACUCAAUUAUGGCAUAUGUGUUUGGGGCACAUGAGUGAGGUAGAUAUGACGUUGUUGAGUGAAAGAGGAUUGUUGAAGGGUCAAAAGACAGGAAAGAUAGACUUAUGUGAGUAGUACAUCUUUGGAAAGUAGCACAUAAUUAAGUUUACUACAGUUAUUCAUUCAACCAAACGACCAGUUGAAUAUAUUCAAACAGAUGUCUAGGGCCUGUCUUUGGUUCCUUCGAAGGGAGGUGCCCGAUAUAUGUUAAUAUUUAUCAACGAUUAUUCAAGGAAGGUAUGUGUAUACUUUCUGAAGCAUAAAUAUGAUGUGUUUGAUCGAUUCAAGAAAUUUAAGGCAUUGAUUAAGAAACAGUUAAAUAAACAAAUCAAGUGCCUGAGAAUCGAUAAUGACAUGGAAUUCUAUAGUAAAGAUUUUACAGAGUUCUGCGAGAAAUAAGGUGUUAUGAGACGCUGCACAAUACCUGGGACACCACAGUAGAAUGGUGUGGCAAAAUAGAAGAACAGAACUUUGCUUGAGCGAGUUUGAGGCAUGCUUUCGCCAUGCAGGACCGAAGUAAUGAACAUGGCAUGUUACCUGGUUAAUCGAUCUCUAUCAUCUUCUAUCGAGUGGAAAACUCUUGAGGAAGUAUGAUUGGGGAAACUUGUUGAUUAUUCCAGAUUACAUAUAUUUAGAUGUCUUACGUAUGCUCAUGCGAGUGAUGGUAAGCUUGAGCCGAGGGCGAAGAAGUACAUAUUUCUGAGUUAUGCAUAUGGGGUGAAAGGCUACCGGCUAUAAUGCACUUAUCCUAGAUCACCCGGUUUUCUAAUCAGUAGAGAUGUGAUCUUCGAUGAGACUGCAAUGCUUCAACAGACGAGUUCUGAGACACAACCAGCGGAGAAGACAGAUCAUAAUGUCAUUAGUAAGGUGAAGCUUCAGGUGGAGAUUCCGGAGAUCUCGAAGGUAACAGAAGUUGAGACUACAGAUGAAGCCAUAAUUCCUAAAGUCGAUGAUAUUGAACAGCUAGCAAAGCCGCAGCACAUUAUAGCAUCAGAUAGAGAAGGCAAAUUAAAUCGCCGGUACGUUAUGGUUAUACAGAUAUUAUUUAUACAUUGAUUGUAGGUGAUGAGGUGGAAACAGAUGAGCAUUCGUCUUACUCUAAGGCGAUGGCUAGUUCGGAGUUAUCACAGUGGCUAGGGGCUAUAAGUGAAGAGAUUGAAUCACUCCAUCGAAAUCAGACAUGGGAGCUGGUCAAAGUACCCAAGAGCCAAAAGAUUGCAGAAGUAAAUGGGUCUUCAAACGGAAAGAGAGCAUUCCCAGUGUCGAGGCAACGAGGUAUAAGGUGAGACUUGUGGCGAAGGGGUAUACACAGUGUGAGGGCAUUGACUACAAUGAUGUAUUCUCUCAUGUGGUAAGGCAUAUUUCAAUUCAUGUUUUACUUACCUUAGUUGCUUCGCAGGAUCUUGAGUUAGAGUAGCUGGAUGCGAAAACAUCGUUUCUUCAUGAUGAGUUGGAGGAGCAAAUUUACAUGAGGCAACUAGAGGGAUUUACUAUUUCGGGUAAGGAAGAUCAUAUUUGCUUGUUAAAAAAAUCUUUGUAUGGGCUGAAACAGUCUCCUAGGCAAUUGUAUAAACGUUUUGAUGCUUUCAUGGCUAGUCAAGACUACACAAAAAGUUAGAUGGAUAGCUAUGUCUACUUUAGGAGAUUAGAGAAUGGUUAUUUGAUUUAUCUACUCUUAUAUGUUGAUGAUAUGGUAAUAGCCACUAAGAACAUGUCUGAUAUUGAUGUGCUGAAGAAACGGUUAAAUGCUGAAUUUUAGAUGAAAGAAAUAGGUGCUACAAAGAAAAAAUGGGUAGUUUUAUGUCUAUCUCAAAAUAAAUACAUUGAGAAGAUUGUGGCACGUUUUAAUAUGCAUUCAGCAAAAUCUAUAAGUACACCUUUAACGAGGUACUUUCAACUUUCAGAUAAAUUAUCACCAUAGACUGAGGAGGAGGAGGAGCAUAUGUCCUAUGUGCACUAGGCCUGAUAUUUCACAAGCUGUGAACGUGGUUAGUCGCUGUAUGAAGCGUUCUAGUAAAGCUCAUUGGAAAGCUAUGAAGUGGAUCCUCAGAUAUUUAAAGGGAACAAUAGACGUGAGUAUAGUGUAUCGGAGGGACAUCAAUAGCACUAGUGGGACCACUGGUUUUGUGGAUUCGGAUCACGCUGAUGACUUGGAUGAUCGCAGAUCUUUAGCAUGGUAUGUGUUUACUCUAGCAAAUGGUGCAGUUAGUUGGAAAGCGUCCUUACAGGAUCACAUUGCCUUGUUUUCAACCAAGGUAGAGUACAUGGCAUUAACCUUUGUAGCGAAGGAGGCGAUAUGGUUACAAAGUUUGCUCUCGAAUUUUGGGUUAGAAUAGAAAAGUGUGGAUAUACACUGUGAUAAUCAAGGUGUGAUAUAUUUGGUAUAUAAUCCAGUUUAUCACAAGUGAACGAAGCAUAUCAACAUCAAGUACCACUUUAUCAGAGAUGUUUUAGUUAAGAGUAAUGUUAUUGUUAAAAAGAUUGUUACAGCAGAUAACCUGACAGACAUAAUGACUAAGUCUGUUCCUUUGGUAAAGCUCAAACUCUGCUUGAGCUCUAUUGGCGUCAGUGGAGAGUGAGCGCUCGUCGGGGUAUUGGGAGAGCAGCAUGGAUAAUGAGCACCAUAACUUGGCUUUAAACAUCGAGCCAAAGUGGAGAAUUGUUAAAUUAUGUCUCGAGUUUGAGCGUUUAUAAAAUGCGAUUUGCUGGACUCCUUAAAGCUGCACAAAGAAUGAAAUAAUUAAAAAAUGAAAUUGUCCCCUUUGGGGUGAAGCUGCCGAAGCCCCCUACACGUAGAUUCCCACUGCAAGUGAAGAUUGGUUAAUUGGUGGGGCCCAAGGUCAAGCACACACGCGUAUUUCAUGCGUGGGUUUCUUUUACUUGAUCAAGAAACAAAAAGAAGUGUAUGUAUGUGGAAACAAAAUAGGGGGGGGGGGUGGCGGGGCUGGAGCAGAGGGAGAUUGAGGAGUUUCGGGAACACUCAUCGGAUUCCUCACGAGGGUGGAAAGGCUUAUAGAAGGUAUGCCAAAAGGGACUAUGUUCCCGAACCUCUGCACGAAGCCACUGACCAUAAAACAUAGUAUCCUUUCCUUCCAUUUUACUUUCAUUGAAAGGGAAUUCUUUGCAAUACAUUGCGUAGUGGCCUUGCUUUCCACAAGAAUAACAGUAGUGAGACAGCUUUUCAUAUCGAAAGUCUAGCCAAAUAGUCUUCCCUUCCAAUCUGAGUAGUUGACCUGUUUUGAGCGGCUGUUGCAGGUUAAUCUCAACUCGAGCCUUUCCUGCUUUUAAGAGAUGUUCCAUCCUUAUGCUCUAUUUUAACCUCUAACACCCUACCCACAUGUCGCACCGCUUGACUAAUCAUAGAGUCAGUACAUCAUUCUAGGGGAAGGCCAAAAACUUGAAUCCAAAAAGCGCAGGUAUUAAAAUCAUAGCAGUGCAAAGGUGUAUUUGGUACCCAGGGCUUUAAAAUGACCAGAUGAUUUGCAAACAGCCACAGUCCAUUCUCUGAUGCAUGUUCCGAGUAACAUCAGACCAUUUCCAAACUUUCAAACUAGUAAGUGAAACUAGUGCAUCAAUUGAAGUAGAUGUAAGACAAAUUCCACAUAUGUUAUCAUUUUCUUGAAACAAAAAAGGAUAAGGUAGCCCACAGAAGUAUUUUAACAAGGCUGACUAUUUCUAGUUAAGCUCCAAACAAAAAUGGGCAGGGAAAGAACUAUUUCAGCAAAAAGAAUGCAGCUUUACCCGUAUCAACAUUCAAGGAAAAGAAACAGUAAAUCCGUGGUUCAUAAUUCUGAACAAGCAUUCAACGUACGCAAAAGUCAUAAGCGAAAGAAAAGAACAACACGCUUGAGUAAUAACCUGCUCACCUAGACUCACCUCACUUCCAAUCAUGACCCAGAACGACGAACCAUGCUGGACCUUGAAUUCAUGGCGAACGAGCGGCACCGAUGAUGGGCCAUUGAGCCACGCCUGGUGCGCCUGAAAUGUCCCUCGGCGAGAUGUUGCUGGCCUUGUAGCAGAGCAACAACGGAGACAUUAAUGGCGGACAGAAGAGAAGAAGCGUACGGACUAAUGCAGAGAAGAGAGAGAGAAAGAGUCCAUGGACACAAUCAUGGCGGAGGCUUGCUCUCGCUCGAUCACCAGUCCACAGCUUGAGGUCACCACAGCCGGGUCGUCGAUUACCUCUAUGUUGAACAGGUACUCCUCGAAACAGAGUGCAGCUUCGUCAUUUCAUCGAACACCUUCCUUGCAAACUCGAUUCUUCCUCCACAGCGUAAUCAACCGCAACGGAACUCGGAAAACAGCGAGGGCAAAGCAGGAAUGAACUGAAAUCAUAUCUAGAGUUUAAUCAGACACAAAACGACCUGACUCAGCUGUGGGCGUCAUCAAUAAGUCAGCAAAGGUCACAGACGCCUUCAAACCAUCGCCCUCAGAAACUCAACGCCGAGGUGAAGCCCAAAGCAAUGCUGGAGAGGGACAGAUGAUGGAAGAGGAGGGAGGCCAGAUCUCGAAGCUUGAAGCAUCGUGAAGCGAGCGUAGUCAGAUUGUGAAAGAGAUCGUCACAGGUGGGGUGGAACCCACACAGAGGAAUCAUGGACAGUGGUGAAGACACGCCGGCGCCCGGCGGAGGGAGACGAGCUGCGACGGAGGUGGAGACGCAGCGACGGCGAGUUGAGCUUGAAGUGUUUCUAUUGGCGGGAGUGAUGGGGCUGACGUGAACUGAGCUAAAUGGUCUGGGCUGCGCUUGGGAUCGGACUGGGCUGGAGCUUUAUUAUUUUCUUUUCUCUACUUUUUUCUUUUUAUUUUAUUUUUACCAAAAAAAAAAAUGCAUUUUCAACUUGUUGGCAAAUAUCCAGGCAUUAACGCUCCCGGAUUGACUCCUAAAAAACAAUUUAUAGCACGAGACGAAAAUUCAAGCUUAUGUGUCCCUUGCGAACCUAGGGUCUCUCAUAAUUCUUUCACAAAAGAUGUUACAAGAGCAAUGCUCCUUCUAAUGCUGCUUAACACAAACUGAUAUGAAUAAGUUGACUUACUACAAAAAGUACAAUGAAGUUCCAAAGAUCCUUAAAGGCAUUCAACUCUCGAACGGAAAACAGUACUCACAAUAUUAUCAUCAAAUUACGACAUCAAAUGCAGAUAGCAUCAAGAUCUCAAAUUCUUUUAUUCUAACCACAAUAGAACCUCUUAGUAACUUUGGAUACAAGAGAAUAACAAUUGUAAAAUUGCAACUAUGUUGAGUUUGAUCGAAUGUCAUUCAACCUUAAUAUGUUCCUCAAGUACAUGCACAUAUCAUAAAAUGCAAUCAUGUUUUACAAGCGCUGAGCAUCUUAUAAAGGAGAUAUUAUAUACGCAUCACUAAGUUGUUUCACUUAGUAACAAGAUGUUGUAAAUUACUUUAUAUGACAAGCACCCAAUGUGUAAGGCAGUAUAAAGGCCCCAAAAUUAACAAGCAAUCUCUUUAUAAACUUCCAUCUCAUUAUAUCAAAAAAGACAAGAGUGGGCUAUGAUGAGAAUCAAUAUUUCAUACGGAUUAUAAAAGGCUUCCCUUUACGACAGAGUAAAUAAUUCAUCAAUAGGAGCCUCUCAUGAAGCUAAUCAUGAGACAAUAUCGGUCCAAGAAAGCUUAUUUCCCUUGGGCAGCAAGCCUCCGAGACUAUUGUGUAUCACUAUACUGCCUCACAUGCUCAACGUACAACGUACAAUAAUGCUUUUCGUUAUGUGAUUGUAUACCAUAAGAUAAUAAAACAUCCUAUGAAAUCAAGAACUUAAUGGAAAUAACAGUAUCGUUUCCACCAAAAUAGACUAUUAUAAAAUCAAGAAUGCAACUGACUAAUGCAGCGACGGGAAUCUUUGAGAAGCAUGUUGGGUAGAUAAGUUCUCUAAAUCAACGAAUUCCAUACAAACCGAUGAAUGAGCUACUUCGGCAGCCAAAUACUUACAACCCAACAUUGAAUCUCUCGGUUAGGGAUAUCGUACCCGCCUAUCAAAUGAGUGGGUUUGGUCGAAAUGGUCAAAUCCAAAUUGACCCAUUUUUAUGUAUUACCUUAUUCGAGUUUGACUCAACCUAACCCUACCCAUAUUACUAAAACACAUAAAUACCCAUACCAAAGUAUAUUUAACCCAUUUUAAGCUCUUCAUAAGAAAAUGUUACUUGGAUCGAUUAUUUUAUCAAAUUAAAAAACUAAAUUAACUAAAUAUUAUUUGUGAGUAAAUGAAAGAAAAAAAUAAAAAUAAAAACCUAAAGAUUGAAAUGCACAUAAAGAACUAAAAAAUAUGCAUCUGUUAUGAUGUUGUUGUCGGUUGUAAUAAAUUUUCGAAGUUUGAAUGGCCCUUUUUUAAUCUUAUGAUUCACUUGGUCACAAAGAAAAAUCUCAUGAUUUACUUCAGUGGCAAAAAGAAUUCCAAAAUACUAAUAUAAAAAAAUAAAAGUUAAAAAGCUAAUUUCUUAAGAAAAGGGCAAAAAGGAAAUUGUAAAACACAAGACAACGCCAUGGCGUGGCAUAGCAUUCUCCUUGUGGAGAUUGCAGAAGCAUAUGCACGCCUCUUCCUAAGCAUAGUCAUUGGUCACUUUGUCACGCCAAUACUACCCUUACCACACUGCCACCCUCAUCAGGUCGUCGCCUUUUCAACUCGAGUUCAAGAACCUUCGGAAAACCAAGCUCAAUACCAUAGUCAAAGUAGGCGGAUGUCCUCCGCCUCAUAUUUGAAGCCAUAGAGGUCCUUGACCUCAAAUCGGAGGUUGCGAACCUCCACCGGAGAAAUUCUAAUACACUGUAUGACAAACUAUCUUUCACAUAUUAUAAGACUACCGUUAACCCACACUUAUAAGAAAUUCUAACAUAUUAUGGUCCAAAAUUACCAUCAACCUGUUCGUUUUAGAAUAUGAGUCUUUUAGGCAAAUGUUGUGGUGUUUUAUGAUGCUUUACUAGAUUGGAUUGUCACGGUUACUAGCUUAAUAAAUAUUCAAAUUUUGACUUUCUAUUACUGGAAGGAAAAAAGUCUCUCGUUCAAGAUUUAAAAAGUAAGGAAAGCACACUUAUGCUCCGUUUAUCUCACGGAAAACAUUUUUUAGGAAAACAUUUUCCUCAUUUUUUGGCUUUUUGGAUCGGAUAGGAAAAUGAGUCAAUGAAAAAUGCUUUUCUAAUCAAUGGAAAAUCUAUACUUAGAUUCAAGAGACUAAUUUCCUCUCUAAACAAAAAUGGAUAUCAUUUUCCGAAAUAUAUAACUAGAUAUUAGCUCUUGUACCAAAAACUUUAUACUUGGGCACGAGAACUUCAAUGCUUGUUCCCAAGCCCUUGGCCACGAACUUGGGUCUGGAGGCCAAAAUUGAGUCCACUAAGGUGAAGCCAAGGUCCAAAGAAGUCGGGCGUCGCAACCAAUUUUUCGGGUGUGAACCACCUAGAGUUUGGUUAAUGGAUUGUUAAGCCUAGACUUAACUCGGGCUCUCCCAAGCCCAUACCAAUUCGCGACUUAGGUUUAAGUUUUUAACAUGCAGAUAGAUUUUAUCUAAGAGUCAUCACUAAUCUAUUUUUGGUGGGUCGAUUAGAAACCCAAGUAAAGUAACAGGAGAUUUACUUUACUCCUAUGAACCAGAGACUAUGGGUACGGGGACUUGGUUACACUAGAUUUCUCUAAUGCCCUUUCGGUACCAUUCUUUUAUUUUCAAAAAUGUUUUUGCAGGCAGCUUGAAUUAAUUUAAAUUUAUCUCCCUAACAUGUGAGGUUAUUAUGCGGGUGCACAAACCACCAAUUUAACACCCAAGUAAAGCAAUAAAUAAAUUGCAGGACUUACCUCAUAGCAACGAAAGCAUUUACGUUGUUAGUUCAUAAUUCACAUCAAUAGUCCUAGAUAUGAUUUCUAGUUAACACGCAAUUUUUGUUUUGUUUUUACUUAAUUAAUGAGAAUCAUGCUUUAUGCAAUGCAUGCUACUAAUUUAACAUGAAAUGAUAUGACAUGGCAACAUGACUUAGCUAUAUGACAUGAGUAAAAAAUGCAAUAAUUAAAUAAGCAAUCUAAAUUAACCAAAAUGACCUAAUCUUAAUGAUGGGCAAUUUCUAAUUAAAUGAUCCUAACAAAAAUCACUAAAUGACGUGCAUUUCAUGAACCUAAUUCUAUAUGACGUGCGCACGAUAUUUCUAUUCUAAAUAAGCAUGCAAUUUAUUCUACUAUGCAAUGACGUGUAAAGAAUGCCCUAAUUCUAAUUUUUUUUCUUUUUUCAUUAUUAUGAAAUUCGAAAUUAAAAAUUGCCAAAUAAUUAAACGUGCAAUUCAAAUUUAAAACUAACAUUCUAAAUGAAUGCAUUUUUUAUUUUUUAUUUUUUAAAAAAAUUCGAAAUAAAAUCCAUAUUCUAAAUAUGCAGAUAUUCUAAAACCAUGCUAAUUCAAAUAUUUUUUGGAUUUUUCCUUUUACAAAAUUAAAAUUGACUCAACUAACAUGACGGCAAAUCAAAUAAGAUAGAUAUCUACAAAUUGAUGAACCAUAUCUCGCGUAUGAGAUCGGGUUGGCUAAUUUUAAAUAAAUCACGAAUCGAAUCUCGAGCUUGAGAUCAGAUUGGCAAUUUUUUAAACGAUUGCAAUUGCGAGUUGGAUUUCGGGCGCAAAAAUCGGACUGUCAAUCCCAAAUUUCAGAGGCAAUUUCAUGUUGGAAUCUCAAUCAAACAUUAAAGAAUAAUUUCACUAAAAGAAAAAUAAAACGAUAAUAAAAAUAAAAUAAACUACCUAGAUUAGAUGAUUCUCGGCGGCAAAGGACUCACGAACGGCGGCGAUUACACGGCUCACGGUGUCAGCGAGCUCGCGGAGAUGGAGCUUGCGGAUAGAGAUUUCGCGGACGUUGGCAGAGGACGCGAGCUGAAGUCAAUGGUCAAGGAUGACUUUCGUUUGGCCUCAACCAAAAACAGCGUAUCCCACCAGGUGGUGUUCCACGUGCCUCUUCUCUUCACUACUCAACUAUAUGAAUUAUGUUAUCCCCACGUGAAAACUCAACCUGCAUGACAAAACAUUUAAAAGAAAUGAUUGAAGAAUCACGUUACAACCCACGAUAAAGGCAAGCUGGGUGUUAACAGCAGCUGGCUUCGUCGUUGACGCGGAUUGACGAUCGUGGGUCACUGUUGGCGCUUAGGGCAGCAGCGGCGUUGUUGGACUACUCGCGGCUUUGAAAGGCUAAGACACGUGGCCGUCAGAAUUGAGCGUCGUCGGGGUUGCUCGUGGCGUUGGGAUGAUAAGCUUCGUGCCCGAAAACUGCAAGAGCUAAUCCGUGCGUUCGCUGGAACUUCAACGCUGGGGCAGGCCGAGGCGGCAAACGGUAGGGACGAGAUGUCUACUGCCACCGGGAGGAUAUGGGUUUGGCAUUUAGCUAAGGUGAGCAGCGGCUUCACGUCUGGAUGGGGACGCCAUGGGAUAACAACUCGGUCACGGCUUAGGGAUUUACGGCGAGGGCAGUGCUCAGCCCAUGAUAUUGAGGCAUGGCAGCGACAGUGGGAGCCUCAGAGUGGUUUGUUCAUGAUUGAUAACCUGCAAAACAGAGAAACAGCUCCACAACAAGGUGAAAGAUCAGCAACGGUAACGGUAGAUCGUCGUGCGGUGUAGGCUGGGAGACGACAGAUUCUUGGUGUUGAAGCUCGGUGAUGACGGUGUUCGCUGGAUGUUCACCAGAGUUGCUGGGAACUUGUUGCAAGAAACGUUGCAGCAAACUGGAAUCCUCCGGGCAACUCACCAGCGGACUGCGACACGCCAAAGCGACUGCCGGUGUUCUCUGGAGCCACUAAUCUGUUAAGGCAGGGGCUGAGGUGGACAGGAUUACUGAAUCACUGGUGCAGCGCCAUGGAUCUACAGGAACUUCCGCAGGGGUAGUCAAGAUGCGCGCUUGAGGCGAGGACGGCUUUGAUUCUCGUUCAGGACGUCUAGAGUUCAUUAGAUUGAGUUGCCGUUGAUGGGGCAGGCGCUGAUGUAGCGCGGCACGGACUCGGUCAGGCAGGGGCGUCAAAACUGGGCUAGACCAGCCAGGAAGAAACUGCGCGGUGGUUCUCGGACGCGGCGAGCAACACAACAGCGACAGUCGUCGAGGGCUGCGGUGGCGGCCGAGGAGCUUGCGUACGCGGGAGGCCAAGCAGCAGCAGCGAAGGAGACGACCUGUUCCUCUUUUGCUUCCGUUUUCUUCUUUUGGUUUUUCUCUCUCCUGCUGCUACACGUAUCCCUCUCUGCCUCUUCUCUGUUUUCCCUCUGACCUACUGACUUUUCCCUUCCCUCAGCAGCUUUUCUUUUGUGUCGCUCUCUCCAAGGAACGAAGGACAACACCCUAAAACCUUUUUUCUCUCUUUUUAUUCUCUCUUCUUCGAACCCUAGAGGAGUCCCCCAACGAAAGAGCUUUUUUCUCUCAAUGGCCGUGUAUUCAAUAUGUGUGGCUCCCUGAAACCUACGCGAAAAACCUUUUUUAUAGGCUGAAGAGUAGGGUUUUAUUUUCCUUUUCAAAUCAGCAUACGCGAAGAUUUCUUUUUUUUCGCACGUUACUUUUUUUUUUAAUUUUCCACAUCUUCUGAUUUUAUCACCUAAAGAUAAGAUUACAACCCGAUUUUCUUAAAUUCCAAAAAUUCACCGUAAUAUUAUUUCAAAUCUCCAUUUAGGUAAUUUUUGUCAUUAAAAGAAAACGGGCUCGGGUCAAUUUACUUGCUUCGUGGGCUUAGUCCGACUUGCCAAAUUAAAGCUUAGAACUACUAAAUCAAACCCAUUUGUCAUCGACCCAAUGUAAAUGCAAAUUAAGAAAUAAAUGCACCUAAAACUAUAUGUUAUGCAAUUAACUAUUUUUUCAGGAAUAAAAUUAACCCCUAAUUUUUUAAUGCAAUAAAUGACUAAACGGGUCACCAAAAUUUAGGUGUCAACAUCGGGCCAAGAACCUUAGAGCAUGAAUGAUAAUCAUUCUAGUCAGAAAUUGAUUUUUGAAAGAGAAAUAAUUUUUUUUAUUUCUAUUCAUAGAUGAGUUUCUAAGCAAAAAUUCGUGUUUGAUAAUAAUACAAAAUUUCUAUUCCCGAAAUAAAAUAUUGUUUGAUAAUGAUACAAAAUUUUUCUCUCUCAGGAGCCACGGAUGGCAACCGGCGGUGAUUGGCAGUGACAGGCGACGGUAGCAAAUAGUGGCGAACGACGACUAACAGCGAUGGAUGUUGGGUGGGUGGUCGACUAGUAGAGAGGAUGAGCAAUGAAAAGAGUUUUUAUUUGUCAUUUCUAUUCCAAAAAUAGAAAGGUAAAAAAAAAAAAUUUGCUUCUCAUUUCUGUUCCAAAUCUAUUCCUCGAUUAAAAAUUUGUUCUAGAAAUAGAAAAAUAAAAUUGCAUAACCAAACGAAUUUCUAUUCUCGAAACGAUUUUGGAAUAGAAAAAUUAUUCUGAAACAGAAAUAGAAUGGUUGUUAUGCGUGCCCUUAGUGCCUAGGUCCGAGCUUAGGUCCACACAGAGCUUAAGCUUGGGCACCAAUGCUAGUGCCUAAGACCUCAACAACUUGGUCGAGUUCCAUAGAGGCCGGGCCUAUGACCCUAAUAUCCUUGCCCGACACCCUAGCCUGUGUCUAUAGAAGCCGGGCCGAGACCUUGAUGCUCAUGGCUAAAUCCCUAGCACUUGGGUCAGUGUCCACCGAGGUAGGAUCCGGAACCCUGAUGUCUAAAUAGUGUGUAUUUAUUUAAGAAAAUUAUAUCACAUUUUCUUUACCAAAUGAUGAAAAACAUUUCUCAAUUCAUUUUAAGAUUAUGGUCAAAUAUAGAAAAAUAUUUUCAUUUUUUUGGAAAAUGACAACCUGAAAUUUUUCUUCAAAAAAUGUCACAUUUUCAAUAAAACAAAUAGAGCCUCAAGGAAUAAGCAUGCCAAUUGCCCCUUGACCGAACAAAAUAUUUAGAUUUUUCUGUACUUUUGGAGCCAUCACUUGACCCAUCUCAACCAAACACCAUUGGUAUAACCACAAGCUUAAAACUAGUGAACGCAAUUCGUUGCUAAGAAAACCAUGCGAAAAAUCAUUUACUUCUGUUAUCAUCGUUAGGGAUCACACGUGACAUAAUCCAAAAUUAUGAAGCUCAAACCCAUCAAUUGCAUGACUAGAAUUACCUCAAAGUUUGAAAACUCAGAAAGAAUUAAACUACAUGUUUAUGAUAAAAUUAGCAUCAUAAAAGUGAUGGGUACAUAAUGUUAUUCCUAAGCCUCUCAAAUAAGUAAGUUAAGUUAGGUUUGGAUCACUUGAAAAUGAUCUAACCCAAAACAACUUAUUUAACUCAUAUUGACUCAUUUUUACGCAAUAUAAUUUUAACGACCUAUACUUGACUUGCCCAAACUCCAAUUCAUUGUCAACCCAAUCUAGGCUCCAAUUCUAGUAAUUUUUCUUCUUAAAGAUCAAUGAAGUGAAUAUUUACAAAUAGUUACUGAAUUGAGAGCUUGAAGACAAAUCUGUAAUAUGAUGACUUUGAAUUAAUCGAGUUUCAACAAUCAAAUCGAGCUUUAUAGUGAGAGAUCAAAUCAAGCGGGACGAAUCAUAAAACUUGCCCCAAAUUGAUUUCACUCCGCAACACACAGCACAGAGAGAGGAGGGAAGGAGGGAGGAAGAGAGAGAGAGAGGGAGAGAGGACACCGCAACUUUGAACAAAUCAAGCUUCAGCAACCGAAUCGAGCAAGAACCAUAUAAUUUGCCCCUAAGUUCGCCAGCUCAAACCAAGAACAAGAUCUCAACUGCACCUCUUGGUAAUUCAUUUAUAGAAACCGACAUAAAAUUGUCUGAAAUAGAGAACAAAGAGCUCAUAUAAUAUAAAUUCAUUUUAUACAUCCUUGACCUUAUAAUACACAGCAUAAUACUUUUUGAAGGUCCUAGGCAUAUACACCGCAACAAGAAGGCGAAGAGAUCCGAUGAAACAUGUGAUAAUUAAUCGAUCUUCACCAACCUGACACUUUCAUUGCGCUUGCAUUUUUAUUCAUGCCCCUAAUACUUAUUAGCCCCUGACCUUUUUUAUUUAAAUAAUUAUUCCUGGGCCUCGCAAGCGACAUAUUAAAUUUGUGCGGGCCCAUGUAAUCUACAAUCUUACUUGUGCCCGUGCACAUAUUAGAAUAUAAUGGACUCCUCACUCAUCAGCAAAAAAUCACUACAGAUUCAAUCCCUGACAUGGAUAAUUAUGCUGCAAUGGAAAUGGGCGUGUUCCCCACCCAUUAAGACCUAGAUGUAGUUAAGCAUAAAUUUUGUCGUAAACUAUUUUAACAAUCUGAUAAUCAACUUAAAGCAUGAAAUGGACUUGGGAUCAUAGCUGCAACCAUUAGUAAACACAUGAACAUCUGGACAAAAACUGAUUUGGACGUGCAUCACGCUUCCUUUCUCAGGUCUCUUGAUGAAGUUCUGAAAUUGGAAAAGCAGUAAAUGUCAGCUAACAGUGCAGUGAAUCAUUUGAAAACACUUUAUGGGAUGCUAGAUGUUCAACUACAUCAAAUGUUUCUAACAUCAUACUCAAACAGGAGAGAAUCUUAUUAUAUGCUAGAAUCAGCACCAAUGAUUUCACAUCCGAAUUUGCACUUUACAUGUAAAAUACAAUGAGUCACAAAACUAUAGUCCAAAAGUUAUUUUGAGAUGAGUUCACCUGAAGAAUAAAAACUACCUUGAACAGCCAGUUUGACUAAUGGUCAAUUGAAGAGAUAAGAACAAUGAACAACAUAAUCAGAACAAAGUAAGAAUCAGGAAUGAAUAGAAAGGAUGUUGUCUAACGUCAUCUUGAAGACCUUUUCUGGUGUCCUCAUUGUGAUUGACUUACCAUCAUACAAGGAAAUCUAUAGCCAUAGGUAUAUUCAUUCUCAGCAUAAGCAUCAUAUCAUACUGCCACAACGCCCUAGUCUGUGCCAUUCCGUUGUUAACAGGCUAUAAUAUUCAUAUUCAAGGGUCGCACCAUGAGUUAUAUGCAAAAGUAACUGAUAAUCAUUCAAUACGUAGUAGAGGUGCAUCAAAAGUACGCUUGAUGUUCAGAAAAGCAAGGAAUCAUAUGUUCAAAGGUCUUACCUAGUUGUGUAAAGCUAUGAGAGGAUUCAACAGGAAGAAUCAAAGUGCAGAUCCAAUGAGAAGCUUGAGUAACCUGUGACCUGUGAGGCUUUGGAGCUGAAAACCAAAUAUCAGCAUUCAGUGUAUAUAUAACAGUCGAACAAUUCAUAGUUUCCACAAUGUCAUCAGCAAUAAAUGAAUGGAAAAGGAAGGGGACAAAAAGGCAAAGAGAAAUGAUAUGCGGGUUCUACAAAAAUGGAGAAGCAACAUGAACAAAGUUGAUUUUAUCAUUGCGAAGACAAAUUAUUUUACAGCCAUGUUUGAACGUAAUGAGUUUCCAAAGAGUGCCAGUUUGUCUCAGAGGCUUAAAAACUAUGGUCUAAUCAGUCUCUUGAUAUAUUUGCUACUGAAGAGCUCAACUUGGAGAAUUGCUCGACCCAAAACCAUAUAUGUUUAGUAAUUCAUGAUAGGGAUCAAGCAAAAAGAUAUGUCUCUCUAACUAGUCUAACCAAUGAAUUAUCAAUUAUUAAGAUAUUGCACUACAUCUAUUUCCUUAACCAAGGACAUGACAUCCCAUUUCUCAAAUGGCAAUCAGUCUAGAGGAAAGCUACAUAUGAUAAAACAGGGCAGCUGAAAAAUUGGCCAAAAAAAGGAGCGGGCAUCAAAAACUCUACUUUUGGCUUACUAAGCAAAUUCUGCACCUUGCUAUUAAGAACAUGACACCCCAUUUGUUGAAUGGCAAUCUGGCUAAAAAUACCCAGUCUAGAGGAAAGCUACAAAUGACAGACAGGGCAUCUGAAGAUUGGCCAAUAAAUAAAGACUGGGCAUCUGAAACUCUAGUUUUUGUUUACUGGGCAAACUCUACGCCCAUUCAAAGCAACCAUUAUAUGGCUGAUCACCGCUCCACACAAGCAACUACACUUUUUGUCAGUCCGGAUAAGUGUCCACAGCAUCUAAAAAUAAGCACCUUAUCCUUGAUGGAGAAAACUUCUGAAUGGAUUCUAAACUUCUAGAUGGGUUCUUAUCCUACCAAUAACCCAUAGUUCUAUGCUUGCAAUCAUUACAAAACAUUCCACUGGGCCAGCUUUAUUUACCUGGGAUGCACAGAUAAUUCUCCAGAUCAGAGAUACAACAACUAUUUGAACUCCAGCAAAUGUUUUACAUAUGGACAAGUGUGUGUGUGUGUGUGUGUGAGGGAGAGUGAGAGAGAUUUGUUCAGCAAGAUAUGCAAUCACUGGAAGCGCCAGCAAUAGCACUUCCUAUAGCUUGUUGAGAGAAUUGACUGGAAAGUAGAAAGAGAAAGAGGCUUCCUAAAUUCUUCUUAAUCGAUAUGGAAGGGCAUGAGUUCUAGGAAAACCAUAAUAUUACAUUUUAAAGGAGAGCUUUUUCUAGAAGGUUCUUUCAGGGAGAUGUUGCUAGAAGGCACAAUGCUCAACUUCAUUAAUUGGUAAACUUUGGUUCAAAAAGUAGAAUUAGUCUAUUAUGCUCAAAAAAGCCUCUUAAAAAGUGUAUUUAACUGUGGGUCGAUUGAAAUAAGAACUAUCAUUUCCCACAUGUUAUCUAAUGUAAAAAACGUGCUAACUGCAGUAUUAUAACGUUCUUUCUAAUAGACAAUUCAACUGCUUGAAGUGGUUGAUUGCUGUUCAUACCAUUAGGGUCUCCUCUUUCAUAAGAAUCUCACAGAAGAGGAAUUGCUUGUGAUGCCAAUAUAGUUCCACAACAUCUGAAACCCUUUAAUCCAGAAUCCUCAUUACUGAAAGAGAAAUAAGAAAACAGUUGGAAACAGUCAUCAAUCAGGCACACACUUGAUAGGGGAAACAGAGAUGGAAUUUCUGUGGAAACCAGCCAAUAUUUCCAAUGAUCCUACAUUUUUACCUAGCUCAUAAGCUUAAAACCGGAGACAGAUUAUAUUUGCAAACAAUGUCCAAAUAUCAUGCGAGCAAUAUUUAUCAGACCAAUUGACAAAGCACUUUGCAAAAGAAGGUACUAUCUAUGCAAAAACAAGUUCCCCAAUAAAAGAAUAUGUUUAGUUGAGAAAGCUUACAUUUUGGUCCAAAGACAUCAAUUUGCAGAAAUGUCUGUACUCCAGGAAAUAGGUUUUCACGAAAGCAAAUUAUCUCUGAAGUGCACCAUUUGAUUCAAUUGACAGUAACUAGUCUCUAUUAAGUGACAUUCACCUUGGCAAUAUUCUUGCAUCAAAUUUAAGAGGAAUGUGUUUGGGGUAACAAUGGCUUAAAUUUUUUUACUUUAACAAUGCCUUCGGUCAUUCUAUCUUCUCUUUGGCAUAAAACCUAAUGUCAUUCGAGAAAAAACAACAUUCUGUAACCAGGAUGAUUCUUAGAGGCUCUUAAUUCAGACAGGCAACUUCGCUUCAGAGAGAUCUUGGCACCAGUGAUCUGAUUGAGAGAAGAUUUGUGGAUGACUUGUAUACUAGUAUUGUCUAGGAUGGGUUUCAAUCAGCUACGUCUUCCAAACGUUGCAUAGGAACCAUGCUCACCAUCAGGACAAAAGUCUCAUUCUCGCUAUCAUAAAUCUAUGCAAUACCAAGGGCUAGUUUCUAAGCUCCAGAGCAAGGAAAUGAGCAAGGUGGUCCUUUAUCAGCAAGACAUGUCCUCUUGCUUGAUGUUGUACUCAGAAAGGCAAUGAGCUAGUUCAUGUUUCCCACAAUACUUUUGACUCGUAAGCAGAUUAAUGAGCGAAGCAUAAAUAUAAAUCUUAAGCUCUAAAAGUCAAAGUCAUGGUUUGUUUCUUUACCUAAUUUUUUUUGUUUAGAUGCAUUUUUCAUACAUCUCUCUUGCUUCUUCUCACUAUAAGCUCGUUCUUUAAAAGUAAUAUGUAAACAAAAAGACAAUGUCCAUAAUCUAGAUUAGCUGCUUCAUGUACUGCUCAAAUCGCAAUGAAACAGAUCCUUUUUUAACUUUUAUGUCAACAGCAUUUGAGCAAAUAAUUGAGGAGUUUGAACAAGCUUAGGAAACAUAAAAUGUUAGAUCAUGGCAGCAUCAGACAGAUGAAAAAUCAUAUUAAAAACACAAGCAAUAUACCACGAUUUAGCAAGAAGAUGCUCUCAUUUAUGCAAGAAGAGACAAUUGCAACUAAUAAACAAGAAAAGAGAUUUCUUUAUCAGGUACGGUGCCCAGGGCAUAUCAGAGAGCAUAACUUCCUCAUAGAUAAACUAGCGUUUCUCACUGAAUAUGAUAACAUUAAAGACAUCAAAUAAUCUCACAGUAGUGGAAAAAAAAAAUGAAGAAACAGGGGGGAAAGGAUAGGAUAAAACAAAGCAAUGUUAGCUUAACUUGUAGCACUUCUCAGAACUGUAAACUUUUUAGGCAAAUAAAGAAUACGGAAAUGUUUAACAAGUCACAAAGAAUUUAAGAAAAAGGAAACAAAGUGGUAAAAGAAAGAAUAAUUAUAAACUUGACUUCUUGAUGCUUCCAGAAACACCACUUUCUUCCAUUUAGACAAAGGAAAGCACUGAAAAUAUGGAAAAUUAGUUCCAUAAACCUCCAUUUAUUUUAAUGGUUAUAUGUUACAAUAUUCAACACGUGACAACAUACACAAUCACUAUGAACCCACAUCCAUCAAUUAUCAACAUAAGGAAUCAGAAACCUCCAGUAAGCUUUAUUUGUCAAUUGUCAUAUGUCACAAUUUCAAAGUAAGGCUAUGUAGAUACAACACCAGCAGCAAAAGCAAGUUCAGGAACUGACCUAACAUGCCUCAGAGCUACUUGAAUGCAAAGACAAUGUUGAGCCACAGCCUCCAACUUUAUCAUUUGCACAACCAUAAUAUACUUCCUUUAUACCUAAAAAGGGCAAGAGUCAUCCAAUCAUUUAUAAAUAAUUUUUUUUGGCAGAGUUCAGUUUUAUUUCAGUAUGAUCAACAGAUAUACCAAUGAUCGAUAAUGCUACUGCACACAUUAUGCACGGUUCACGUGUCAUGUAAAGGGAGCAUGCUGAAAACUUCUCUGCAACUUCUGCAGCCGUAAAUCUAGUCCUCUGCCACUGUACAAGAAGAACAUCAAGAGCUUCCAUCUCUGCAUGUCUGGUUGCCUAUGAAAGCACAAGGAGAAAAACAAAGCAAGCAUAUAAAAACUUAGGAGCUUUGUCAAAGAGACAGUUGCUCAUAGUGUAGUUUCAACAUAAAUCUUGGAAAUGCAAUUCUUGAGAAAUGUGUUUUCUCCAUUAAGUUAACUGAUUAAGAGUACAUAUAAGAUUGAUCAAGGCAUAUACUACAUUAAGUCAACAAGUUUUGCUUGCUUGAAGUUGCUGAGAAUCUCACACGGAAAAAGAGGCUUCUCAUUGAAUCAGCCACCUCCACCUUUUCUGACAGUAUUUUUAACUAUACCCCUGUAGCAAGGUGCCUUUGUUUUUUUUAUUAAGCUCCACAAGAUACUAACGGGGCCUUUAGUUUUUGGCAUCAACUAUCCAUUACUAUCCAUAUAUUCAUCUACAGUGAUGUCACCUCAUGACUAUAAAUGAUUACAGAAAUAUUCAAUUAGAUAAGAGAUGAUCUCAACCAGAACUAGGCUUAAACUAGUUGUGUAAAUGGCCAUUGUAUGAAGAACCCUGCCCAAGGCACAGAUUCUGACAUCUUAAAAGGCAAUAAAAUGGUUGCAAUGCAUUUUUACACCAUACAACUAUAACAAAAGUCUAGCUACAUACGGCCUAACAAUGUUAGGAACUUCACACCAGCAUAUAAAGACCGCAAUAUGGUUACAGACAUAGCACAACGGCAAAUGAAAAAAAUAAAACAUUGUGCAUAAUAAAGCAAGAUUAUUGUUAUUGUUAGAUGUAGCCACACUUUAUGAAGGGUAAUGGGAACAAAAGCCCUUACAACCUAACAAUGCAUGGAAUAUUCAACUUAUUAACAGAUUUGCUCAGAUAUAUUAUUUUAUUAUCUAAUAAAUACAUAUUAAGGGAGAAACAUAAAAUGAUCGACAAUAAACUACAAGUGGAUAAUUUGAGGGUAUCAAUUUGGAACAAUAACAAAGUGCUGCUGGCUAAAAUCUAUAUAAAAGGGUGGAGAAGUAAUGAUAAACAUACAUUCCAUGUCUCGUUAGUCUGGUUUCUUCCUGCCGCAAUAACAUUCCCAUCCUCAACAAUCACACNNNNNNNNNNNNNNNNNNNNNNNNNNNNNNNNNNNNNNNNNNNNNNNNNNNNNNNNNNNNNNNNNNNNNNNNNNNNNNNNNNNNNNNNNNNNNNNNNNNNNNNNNNNNNNNNNNNNNNNNNNNNNNNNNNNNNNNNNNNNNNNNNNNNNNNNNNNNNNNNNNNNUUAUAUAAGAAAAGAAAUAGAUCUUGUUACUUGUUAGGAGAAAAAAAUAUGAGAAUGAGAGUCAAAAUUCUCUCAUGCAUGCAAGCAUGCAUAAAGGCAAAUUCAAGAGGAAAUUGGCAUCACGUUGCUGGCAGUAAAAAAGUUUCAGUAUCAUUAUGCAGCUACCAAUGGAACAAAUGCAUGUCUCACCACAUACUCAUCAUGUAAUACAGAUGCAAAUCCCACCUAACAGUUAGACUGAUACGGCUCAAACAACAGCAUAGCAAAAAUGAGAACUAAUUGAGAAACUACAUGUUGCUCAGUUCAGUGUGUCUUAUCAUGGGUACCUCAGAGGCUUUUCUUUCGUUAAUGAGGUUUCACUGAAACAUUCAAGAAGCUUCCUGGAGUUUUAGCUUCUGGGUCAUUUUCCUUUACAAAUGCUAUGGCAUAUGAGGAUAAAGAGAGAUCCCUAAAACUGUUGUGAAGUCCUCACAAAUCAGAAUUGACAAUCAGCAUCUUGGGAUUUUGUCUCUAUUCCACUGAAUAACUUAUGUAAACUCUUGUGUUUCUCGAGAUUUUUUUCUUUUUCCAUAUCCACACCACAGUGCCAAAGAAAAUAACCACCCAACCAAUUAUCCAUGGGUUCAACCGAUGUUCACAUUAUUGUUGCGCUCCAAGGAAAUUUGGUUUUAAAUUCUCCCUAGGUGCUAAAGUCAAAAGGUGGUAAAAGGAUUCCACAGUCAAGCAAACACCUUUCCUGGUGGCUUGCCAUCUCAUUGCAUCUUCUUCAUUCCUCUCUGGUUUUGUCUCUUCAAAAGCCUUAUGAAACUUAACACAGAGUCCUAUCCUAGUGAUUGGAGCUUCUGACAAUUUAAUUGUCCUGGCAAACCUAUCACCCACUGCACAUCUUUAUAAUAGGCACAUACUACACAUCCACAUUUACUAGACAACUCAAAAGCACCCAAAUCCGUCCCUCCCUCCCUCUCAACCUACAGCACACGGAUCGACUCCGUUUUUUGCCUGAAAAGGGGACUAAACCACCCCAUGUACACCCAACUUCCCUUUGUUGCACUCUGCCUUGCUCGUUUUUCCUUUAAACCUAGACUUCACCCCCUUAUUUCAAUAAAUUACCACCUAUGAAAAGAGAGAAAGAAAACCUAUGCCUUCUAGGGAUUGUUGUUGAUUUUGCUGCGUGUAAUGUCGAUUACCAAUGGAUGCACUACCAAGCAUCCACAGACAAAAAUUGAUCUGGACAAGAAUCGAGCUUUUCUCUCAGGUACCUUGAGGAAAUUCUGUGAUUAGAAAGUAGUAAAUGGCACACAUAUUGUUAGCCAGAGUGCAUAGAAUCUUUAAAGCCACUUUAUGGAAUGCUAGAUAUUUAUCUACAUUUUCUUACCACAAAAUGGAAUGCCGACCAUCAUAAGUAACAUUCACAUAGAUCUCUAUACUAAAGGGCUGUUUGAACAUGCUAUGAUUAUGAAAUGCUUUAACAUCUUGUGACAAAAUAAUUAAUUAUUUCUUACAUCACACACAAAUAGGAGUGUCUUAUUGUGCUAAUCAGUACCAGUGGUGUCAUAUCCAGAUUUGUGCUACACAUGUAGAAUCCAAAGGGUUCGAACAUUAUAGAUCAAGCUUUAUUUUGCAAUGAGUUCACCUCAAGAAUGGGAACUACCUUGAACUGCAAGUUUGACUUAGGUUAUAGUCAAAUGAAGAGAAUCUUUAAAGCCACUUUAUGGCAUGCUAGAUAUUUAUCUACAUUUUCUUACCACAAAAUGGAAUGCCGACCGUCAUAAGUAACAUUCACAUAGAUCUCUAUACUAAAGGAUUGAUUGAACAUACUAUGACCAUUGCAUGAAGAAAUGUGCUUAAAGAAUUGGUUCUUACAUCUUAAAAGGCAAUACGAUGCUCACAAUGCAUUUUUAUACCAAGAAAAGAAAAACCAAAGUUAGCUAAAUACAUCUUUAUACCAAGAAAAGAAAUACCAAAGUUAGCUAAAUACAUCCUAAGAAAACAGUGUCAGGAACUUCACAAAAGUAGAUAAAUACCAUAAUAUGGCUCCAGACAGAGCUCGAUGGUAAAUGAAAAAUGCAACACAUUGUGCAUAAUAAAUCAAGAACAUUGCUAUUGUUGGCUUUAGUCAUAUCUUAUGAAACAAUAAUGCGAAAAAAAAAAAAAACCCUUUACAGCCUAAGUAUGCAUGGAAAAUUCCACUAUUAACAGAUUUGUUAAGAUAUUCUACUGUGUGAUCUAUUAAAUAAAUAAUUAAGGGAGAAACAUAAAAUGAUUAACAAUGAUCUACUAAGCGUAUAGAUGAAGGGUAUCAAUUCAGAACACUAACAAUGUACUGUUGACCAAAAUUUAAGAAGGAGGUGGAGAAGCAAUGACAAACACAUACAUUUCAUGGCUUAUAAAUCUGGUUUCUUCCUGUCGCAAUAACGCUCCCAUCCUCAAAAAUCACACAGCUGAUCAAUCAAAAUAUACUAUAAAUAAGUAUAGUAGACUGUAAAACCAUUCACUAAUUUAGACUAAAAUACUAAUCAUCUUAAUUAGAAAACAAGGUAACAUAUCUGAAAUCACCUAGUUACUGAAAAUCAGUUUCUUAGCCAACUAAAACUUCAAGGCUGUCCAAAGCAAGCUUUGCCUUUCAUAAGAAAAGCAAAUAGGUCUGGUUACUGCUUAGAAGAAGAAAACAUGAGGAUAAGAGUUAGAAAUUCUCUCAUGCAUGCACGCAUGUGUACAGGCAAUUCAAGAGGAAAUCAGCAUUAAGUUGCUACCAGUAGAAAUAUUCAGCAUGUCUCAUAGCUACGGGUAGAAUGAAUGCAUGCCUCAUAGCUAUAUGAUCAAGAUCUUGCAGGUCCAAGCAAUGGUUAUUACCACAUUCUCAUCCUGUAAUUCAGAUGCGAGUCCCACCUAACUGUUGAACUGAUAUGGCUCUAAAGCAUAAACAGCAACGAAUUUGAGAAACUACAUGUUGUUCAUUCCAGUGUGUCCUAUCAUUGGCACCUCAAAAGCUCAUCAUUCAUUAAUCAGGUUUCACUAACAUUCAAGAAGCUUCCGAGAGUUUAGCUUCUAGGUCAAUUUCCUCCAUAAGAGCUAUGGCACAUAACCAUAAAGGGAGAACGUUAAACGGUUGCAAAGGCUUUAGAAAUUAGAAUUGAUAAUCAGCUUCCUGUGCUUUUGUCUCUAUUCUACUGAAUAACUUUUGUAAACUCUGUGCUACUUAUGAUUUUGUUUCUUUUUCAUACCCAUAGUCCACAAGGAGAAAAAAAAUAACCACCUAACCAGUUAUCCAUGGGCGCAACUGAUGUCCAUAUUACUCUCAUGCUCCAAGUAAAUUUGGAUUUUAAUUCUCCGCAAAUGCCAAAGUCAACAAGUGGUAAAAGGACUCAACCGUCUAGCAACCUUUCCUGGUGGCUUGCCAUCUUACUGCAUCUUCUUCAUUCCAUAAGGGUUUUGCCUCUUCAAGCGCCGCAUAAAACAUAGAGACAGAGCCCUAUCCCAGCAAUCAAGUUUCACAUGAUUCAAUAUUCCUAGAAAACCUUUCGCCUGCUGCAAAUCUAUAGGAAUUGUUCAUGUUACACAUCCACAUUUCCCAGACACCUCAAAAGCAGCCCCCAACCCCGCUGUAGCUGGUUGUCCGCCACAAUGCCUGGUUUCGCGUAAGGGAGUCCCAACCUAUAGCACCCAGAUUGGCUCAGUUUUCGCCCGAAAAGCGGACUGAACUGAACUGCGGACAAGCUACAUCCCAUUGUUUCACUCUCCCUCGCUCGUUUUUCCGUUGAACCUAGACUUCACCUACUUCUUUGAAUAAAUUGCCACUUAUCAAAGGAAAGAAAGAAAAGCUAUACCUCCUACUGGUGAUUGUUGCUGAUUUUGCAGCGUGUAACGUCGAUUGCCAGUGAAUGCACUACCAACCAUCCACAGACCAAACUCACGAAGAAACACCUCAUUCAACGUCUCUCGAACAAAUCCACGGACGCAUUCUUCAAGUUCCCGCGCAAUUGCAGCACCGCACAAAUCGAAUUCAAAAUCGAGCUGAUCUAUAGCAAUCUGCAUGAAGCCCAGAACCUCAGGAGAGAAUCGUUCAACCCAAGCUGCUGCUUCAUCAGUUUCCAUGGCUUCGGUCGACGGUGGUAGUCCGUCGCCUCCGCCGCCGUCGCCGUCGAUUCGCUAGGGACUCUGUUUCAGGAAGACGUACUUCUUAUGUUCGUCGCUUCCGUUGACAGGUGGCGAUCUUGAAAUUCGCCAGAGCUCGGCGGCGUCGGACGGAAGAUGAUGAUCAGCCGCGAUGCUGAAAGUGGCGUCGGUGGAGAAAACGAGGAUUUAGCAAAACAAAGAAAAGAGACAGAAGAGAAGAGAACGAGAAGAGCCAAAAAAAAAGAAGAUAAAAUGAGGGAGGUUGCUUACCAACGAAUUGCUUCCUAAGCAAGUUUCUCGAUCAUUCUCUGCUCCAUUGGUCAAACUGGCAGUCAACAGUCAACGGUUUCUCCUCGGUACUAACAAACCAUAUUUCGCAUCUCUCCUUCGAUAAUCUUGCAAGUGUUUCUGUCUAUUUGUUUCGAUAGAACCAUCUUCAUACAUAAAUAAACUCUCGACUUCUGAAUAUAUUGAUUCAUGAUCAAUCUCGUAGAGUAAAGUUGGAUCAAUUAGCGGAUUAUCUUGAAGCAUAACUUUUAGAGUAUCCUCUAAUUGCUCGCAUAAUAUUCGAAAUCCCCACUUUUUCAUGACUUUACCGGAUACUGUGAGGUCACAUUUUACAUGACUUCCGUCAAUUUGAUCGAAAUCGACUACUCCCCAAAACUGUAACGGUGUGAAAUAAAAAAGGUGGAUAUAAUCCAACUCCGAUGAACAAGGAAGGUAGCAAUAUCUUUUCUGUUGUUGGCCAUUAACAUGGAUAACAAAUUCAUAUGCAAUUCCCUUCUCGGAAUAAUGCUUGUUGCGAGCGAUACAUAAAACAAAUCCAAAACACUUGUCAUACAAGUCUUUUGAAGCCAUGAAAGAUAUGGAUUCCUUUUCAAUAGGGUGAACCCACUCUGGCAUCUCUUCUUGAGGAAGCAUAAUAGAGGUGUCCAAAUACUGAAAUAAAGAUAAAUCAUUAGAAAGUACCCAAGUUUGUUAUUAGUACCCAAAUAGAAAAAUUCAAUUUGAAUUUAGUAAGUAAUCCUAUGGAGUUCCACUUGGAAUCAGAACUCUAUAAACAAGUAGAGAUCCAUUGAUCCUUACUUGCAUUAGUAUACAAGCCUCGUGUGAUCGAAAUCAUUCCCAAUAAAAGUUUAGCCAACUCCAUUACAUGCAUACACAUGCGGAACCACUUUAUAUUUGUUUGAUUUUCUUGAACCUCCGAUCUUGUAUUUUCUAUUAUUGCAAUAUCCAACCGUGCACUAAAUCCAGUGUAUAGUCCACAUCGAUAUGCAUGUGUGCGUGUGCACAUGUAUGUGUGAGAGAGAGAAUCUAACCUCGUCAUAUGAAGAAAUAUCAACCUUGGUCAACCCUCUGCGAACAAAAUCAUUAAUUGAAGUUAAAUCUCCAUAAUUUUGCAAAGAUUCGCAAUUCUCCGCCUCAAAACACCACAAAAAUGGUGAAAGUUCAGGAAUCUCCUGUAAUUGGUGGCAAUUUCUAAAAACCAAAUAGAUCAAACGAUGGCGUUUAUUGAUGGAUGUAGGAAGACCAGUAAGAUUGUUCCCCGACAGAUCUAAUGUUGUCAAGAAUGGAGAACAAGAAAGAUUCUCAAGAAAGUCUACUUCGGACAAAUUACAUUCCGAAAGGUCUAACCGAUGUAAGUUUGAAAGUUGGGUCGUCAUGCAAGGAUUAGUUGAAUCCUCGUACUUUGGAAACCCAAUUAAAUUUGUGCAAAAAUCAAGAGCCAAGUCUUCAAGCUUUUGUAAUGUGUAAAUGCUAGAAGGAAGGCUCAUCAAGUUCUUGCAAUGACUUAAAUACAUACACUCCAAAGAGACAAGAUUUUCUAUUGAUGCGGGAAGUCCUUUAAUAGGGGUUCUUUCUAAAAAAAGAUCUUUUAGGGCUUCGAGUUUAUGUGGAAUAUCAGGGAACCUUUCAAACUUUGUGCAAUUAUCAAGAUUGAGAACUCGAAGAUUUUUUGAUUGGAGCUCAUUUGGAAAAACACUAAGUUCAGAGCACCCCUCUAAAUUCAGCACUUGUAACUUGUUGUGAUAUGCGAUGGACUUGUGAGCUUCCACCAAGUCUUUGCAAUUACGGAGAUCCAAUUCCUCGAGAUUUGGAGUACACGAGAGAUCGGGCAUGCGAACCAAUGACUUGCAAUUACUGAAAGUAAUGUACUUCAAACUUUGGAAGUCCUACAAAAACAACGGAAACAAGUUUGGACAAACAUUUUGAAAGGAACGCAAAAGGGGUGCUUGUAUGAUGACAUCACUUCCUUACAUAUAAACCGUGGGAUUCCCAUUUGAGAAUAGGUUGCCAUUGAAGCAUAUCUGUUAAUGAUUCAAAAUAUUAUUAUAUUUUAGGUUGUCAAUUGUACAUAUUGAGCGAUUAUAAUUCACGUCACCUUAUAAUUAGUGACAAUUCCUGGUGGUAUGCCUCUACGGGAUCGCUUAUGUCAAAUUAGUUGGAUAUGCAUUAAUCGCAAAGUAUCUAAUAAAUAUUUAAUUAUGUGUACUUAGAAAUGUCGCUCCUUCACAACUGAUUUGAGCAAUUAACGCUGCCUUUUUACAGCACGGUGUAGUCAAACCUUCAACUUACCUAAUUCUAUUGAUGCGGGAGAAAUCCCACCAUUUGCGAACUACAUAAGGUAAGCCUCCAUAACUUCGUGACUACAUGGCAUUUAAGAUUCUUUUAAGUGGGAGACGUUAGGAUAUUUUAUAUGCCACAUCCAAAUUCAAUGCUUGAUCGCAUAGCUAGCAAACUCCUCAGGUGUUUUUACUUUUAUAUGUAUGUCAACAGGUUGGUCCGUCAUAUUUUUGUUUUCUGCCUAUUCGGUCAUUAUACAAUGUUUUUGUAAAUAAAAAAAAUUAUAUAUAUAAAUAACUGACAUGGUUGGAAUUAGGUCACAUAGCUUGUGCCAACAGAUUUGCAUUUUGAGUUUCUUCGCUAGGUAGAUCUUAUUUUAUUUUGAAAUAUAACUAUGUUGAUACUUUGAGACGUUAGGUUUGGAAAUUAUUUGUACUUCAUCUAUACUAUUAUAUAAAGUAAAGAAGACCUACUUUGGACAGAUAUGUGAAAUUGGUUAUUCUAUUUCUUCUGUUGCAUAUCUCAAUAUUAAAUUUGAAUUUUCUUAUGAUGCAAUGACCUUCAUUAACAAUUUCAAACCUUGAAAUAUCUUUCACUUCCUACACAUAUUUAUAAAGUUUCUAUGUGUUCUGUACUUUAUCAGGAAAGUGUUUCCAUUAAGUAUUUCUAAUAAAGUGGUUCGCUUAGCUUUUCAAAUGCCAAUUUUUCUGCACCUAAAAAUAUUUCUAAGGUAGGUAGUUAGAAUCAUUUUGAAAGAAAAUAGAGAAAUAAUUUCUAAAAAACAGAGGAACCAUACUUUGUUUCGUCUACUAGUACAUAUAAUACACAUAUACAUACACAAAUGAGGUAGAUAAUAAAAAAGGUUAACGUAGGUAAGUUCUCACCUUAAGUUGAUUUGGCAUUGCUGUGAUACUACAAUUGCUCAAUUCAAGUCCCACUAAUUUCUUUGGACCAUGGGAAAAUUUUAGAUCGUAGGAAGCACAUCCAUCCCAUCGAAACCAUCUUAGCUCUUUAGGAAGAAAUAUAGGACCCUGGAAAGAAUUAUGCACAUUGUCCAAAAUGAGCAAUCUCAACUUUCUCAUUUUUGUAAAAGCAUCACGACCGAUAUAUAUCUCUAUCGGCUCAGGUGGUUGCAACACUAUGGCUUCUAUAGCACAAUCUCCCUGUACAUACAAGACUUUUACAUUAUGCAUUUUUAGUAAUUAGAGUGAAAAAUAAGGAGUAGUAUUUUGAGCAUAUUUGCAAGUCUUACCAUAUCAUGUGAAAGAACGUCGACAACAUCAUCAUACAACCAUAGUCUGCUGCGUCUCCCGAGAUCACUGCGACAUUCUUGUCUCACAAUAUCCAUACCCAUUGAUUGAAUCAAGUCAUGCACUUCUAGACCUCCACAGAAACUAAUGCUUAUCAAGGACCUCUCAAUCAGAAUUUCUAAUCCUAUUGUUGCCUCAUAACCACAACUGUCGAUAACUUUCUUUACGUACUCUAUAUCCCUCCACUUAAAGAAGCAGGCAAUGUCGAGAAAAAUCUCUUUUGCAUUUGCGUCAAGUCCAUCAUAACUUAUUUUGAGCACAUUAUUAAUGGUUUCGUUAGGAAUCCUAGAAAGGUUAUUUAGUGUACUUUCCCACUCACAUUCUCUUCUUCCGAGUAAGAAGGAACCCAACACCACAAUCGCUAAAGGAAGGCCUCCAGCAUGAUUUAGAACCUUAUCCACCAAAUCUGUCGUGAUCUCUAUUUUUUGGCGUGCUGAAAAAGCAUGAUUUCUAAAUAGCUCACAAGCUUCAUUAAUAUACAGUGCUUUAACUUCAUACACGUGAUCUUGAUCAAUCUCAUGACACGUUAGCAAAUGUUUAUCUCUUGUAGUAACAAUGAUCCUACUUCCGUCACCAAACCAAUUGCGUCCUCCUGCUAAAGCUUCCAAUUGGCGUAAGUCAUCCACAUCAUCAAGGACAAGGAGAACCUUUUUGUGACAAAGUCUCUGUUGUAUUAGAAUAAUACCUUUGUCGACACUAGACACUUCUAAUUUUUGUUGCAAUUUUAAAAUAUCAGAUAGUAAUCUUUCUUGCAACGGAACUAAAUCCUUGGAAUUUUUUGAAGCUUCUUGAACAUUUGCUAGGAAACAUGAACCAUCAAAUUGUCUGAAAAUAGCAUUGUAAAGAGCUUUUGAUAAAGUUGUCUUCCCAAUGCCUCCUUGUCCCCAUAAUCCCACCAUGACAACAUCCUCAUGAGAUUUAAGGUUUAACAUCAAUUUCAACUCAACCACUCGGGAAUCUAUCCCAACAGGAUGCUUAGCAACAUGCAAAGGGGUUUGGACUAGGUAAGUUGAGAUCUUCUUCACAAUUUCUUGUAUAAGCUUUGACUCGUCUCUGAAAAAAAACGGAAAAAGAGUUGCAGAAUCGUUUUAGCGAUUUGAAUUAGCAAUUAAUGAGCAAUCACCAACCAACAAUGACAAAGCAUUGUGUCUCAUUUUCAGAUGAUGAUAGCCAAAAGAAAUUAUAUUUUCACUGAGUCGAAUUAGGACUCCAAGUGCUCUUUACAUCAAUUAAAACAAGUUCAGGGUUCAACUUUUAGUCACCCAAGCGUUUCAUGUUCUUUUGAUUUAUACAUGACGAUUUGGUUAUUUUUCCUUUUGAUUGUCCUAUGUGAUGUAUCUACACGCUUUAAUCAAAAGAGCUAUUGAUGACUUUGAAUAGUGGUUUCGAUUCGAAAACUAUUAAAUACAUGAAGCACGAUGUUAUUGUCUCACUUGCCUGUACACGCUAAUUAUUUAAUAUGUGGCGUUGUAGACUUUCCUAGUUAUUCCAAAGAAAUGGGGUAAAUGCAAUAACGCCACUUAAACAUUUUGUUCAUUUGUUCAUUGGUAGAUCAAGUUUUAACAUUUUGUACUUACAAUCAUGUGUGUGUUGAUUUAUUUGUUCUUUUUUUUUUUUUACAAGCAGUCUUUAUACUUGCAUGCAAAAGUUCAGUUUCUUACACAAAAUAUGAACUCAACUCAACUUACCCUUCAUUCAAAUGCCACCCGGACAAGCCACCGGCAUCAAAAAGAGCUUUCUUCCAUCUCUUCACUUUCUCCGAAUCUUUCCCAAACUUGAAUUCAUGCUUAUCCAUAGCUUUAUUGUAACUCUCUCUUGGUGUUCUUACUUCCUUGGGUUCCACUUUGUAAAACACCGAAAAGACUAUGAGGUCUCCUUGCUCCUUGCACUCCAUGAUUUUUGCUGCCUCUUCCAAACACCACCACGAGGAAGCGUAAUCCUCGGAGAAAACGAUGAUCGCGAUGCAUGACUCCUCGAUCGCCUUCAUAAGCGCCACCGAUAUUUGGUCUCCCUUCCUCAAUUCCUCACUAUCAAUGAAAGUGUGUACUCCAUUUUGGUUUAAAGCUGAGUAGAGAUGACCAAUGAAAUUCUUGCGUAGAUCUGUGCCUCUAAAACUCAGGAAGACGUCGUAAAUCCUCUUGGGUUUCGAUGAAGAAGCCAUUGGAUGAUGGAGUUCAACAAUCAACGACUAUUAGCUUUGAGAUGGUGUGUUCAGGUAGCUUGUUCACCAUUUCAUCUUCUUGUUGAUCUAUUCUUAUACGAAGAGGACAAAGAUGCACGACUUGCUUGUGUGCUUUGGUAAAUGAUGGGACUUAAGGAUGGACCAAGACAUCUAAAGGUGUGAAAACAUGGACUUUUUCAUUAAAGACCGCGUACCACCCCGUCAUUCACGCUGUCUGAUUGACAAAAGCUUCUCUGUGGCUGACAAAAGUAGUGAACAAUAUAGAAGAGCACUGGACCUAGUGGACUCGAUUAUUCCACAAAUUGACAAAUAACUUUAGGUUGGUGGAUUCUCAUGAUCUAGGUCAUGGACUCACUGAUAAAAACAACUUGGCUAGCUUCCUCAAAAUUUCAUCCCCAACCACCGACAAGUAGUUUUUUCCUUGCUAUAUAAUAAUUUACCACAUGACCACUUAAGAGAUAUAUAAUUACACACGCAAUCAAGUGUACCGGCAAAAAAUAAUGUUAGAUCUAUUAACAAUAGUAGAAUUUUGGAAAACAUGGUACUUAAGUAUGGACCGACAUAUAUUAAUAGGUGUGAACACAUGGACUUAUCUUCACCACCAAGGUAUUCCGAUUCUCUGAGUGACACAAUCUUCUUUGAGGCCGACAAAAGUAGUGGAGAAACAAUUUGGGGUGGUGGACUCUUGAGAUCUGGUAAUAGGCUCACUAAUUAGAAAAAUUUUGUUCGCUUUCUUGAAAUGGUAUCCCCAACCUUCGAGUGGUUUCAUCUUUACAAAGUAAUAAUUUAACACGUGACUACUCAACUGACAUGUAAUACAUACAACAACAAUACUUUCUAAUAGUCACAUAAUCACAACAUUCAUCACCAAAUGCAAAGAGUUGGUUUUUCAAAAUUUGUACCUCUAACCUUGUGUCGACACGUAAAAACAUUUGUUGAUAUUUAGACCUACUAUCGCAUCUUUAUUGCAUUUUGCAUUCAAACAUAGACACAUUUAUGUUUAGGCAAAAUGCAUCAAAAUUAAACCAAGCUUAUUUCUGUCGAGCAAAACAGGGCUCCACUACGAAGUUCUUCAUUUUAAUCGGCCCAAUGGACAGCUCGACAUGCAAGAUGAACUAGAAUUCACAACUCCAAAAUUGUGGCAGCUAGUUUCAAUUUCAUGAUAGCGUGAUUGGAUACAACUCCAAGAUUGCAGGAGAUGGUCUUAAUUCUAAGAUAUUACAUAAGUCCCACCUCAUCUAAUGAGAGGGAUGGUCAUAACGUUGCGAGCAAAUCAUAUUUUUGGCCAUGUUCCUCAUCCCUCGAUUGCAGUAGAUUAUCUUGUGGGCUAAGAACGAGUUCAUUUCUCAUGAUCUAUUUAUAGGUGUAAGAGGAAUUUGUUCAGCGAGUACCACAAAAAUUGAACUUAACAUGUGGAAGAUUAUAAGUUCUCAUUAUAAAUUCUCCACUUCAAAUUUCUUGUCAUCAAAUCCAAGUCAAGUUCAAACGUUUUGAGUGUACAUUCAGUCCCACUACGCACUGAACAAAGCUUUCUUCACCACAAGACAAAGGGUUCUUCUUCUUCUUCUUCUUCUUCUUCUUCUUCUUCUUCUUCUCCAAGCACCCAAAAAUAAAUAAAUAAGAGUGACGACUUCUAAGUCAAGUCUAUGAAAUUUUUCCAAAGUGGAGGAAAAAAGGUUUCCAGCUUUACUAGUUAGGAGAACGACAAAGCUUCGAGAUAGUCAUGAAGAAUGUGAACAAGCAAAAGAAAACCGGAAUGUCACCUUAUGACAUGGGCCACUUGUUUCUUCCUUUUAUGUGGCAAUACACUAUCCACCAAUUUUAAUACACCAUCAUGUUUGACAGGAAAUUUCUCAUUCUUCACUACAAAUACCGUAAGUCAAUUAUUUGAUGGUUGAUAUCACAACAUAAGAACUAUAGCAUUAGUUUCUCUGAUAUCAAUGUAUCAAACUCUCACCCGUUACCUUGCAUUGAAGUCCCUUAACAUUGCCCGAAUCUCCUCUUACAUGUUCUUUACUUCAUUCAUCUGGAUAAUGGUAUUACUCAUGCGCAAUUACCCUCUUUAGCUAAAAGAAUUACGUGUGAACCUCAAGAUAAGGUUGUCUACACUUACCGGUUCUGGUUGAUUGGUAUUAUCGCGAGUAAAAUUUAUCCUCUCUUGCGAAAAUAAUCACGUGAGAACUUCGAGACAAGCUCUUCUAAAAUCAUCAGUCCCUCCCCCCUCCCAAAACCAUAUAUGGAAGCAUCGAAUAAAUUAUCUUGGCAAAAGAAUUGCGCGCAAGCCUCAGGACAAGUCCUCUACAAUUACUGGUCGCUGCCCCUCCCAAAACCAUAUUUGGAAAUCAUUGUAUAAGUCAAGUCAUCUUAAUCUUAUUUAUCAUGAAGAAACCAGAACCAAAAAAAAAAAAAAGGAGACCGUGAGUUUAUAAAAUAUUUUACAAAAUCAACCUAUCCACAAUUGAUGUUAGGAUUAUAAUACCUCUUUCUUAAGUUGGUGGUGUAACUAUAAGGCCACUGGUGUAAAUCUUUUUUGACACUAACGAGGUUGUAAGUAGCUAUUAAAACUUUUAGUUUUUUGUAUGGCUUAGUAUAUUAAUUUUGCAAUUAAUUCGUCUCGCUCCAUCAAUGGUAUAGAGAUGCACAAAGAAGUGGUCUGGCUUCAAAGCCAAAAUCGAGAAGUCACUUGGUCCUAUCUAGUCCCUUGAUUGUGAAAAUGUGAACCGUCUACGCAGUUCCGAUAAAGAUUAAAUUGAGAUAAUUAACAAGCAAAUCCCAAGGAGAAUUUCAAUAUCAAGUCAUUAGACUUUAAUUUUCUAAUCUAAUCGUUGGAACUUGCAUUUUAUGACCNNNNNNNNNNNNNNNNNNNNNNNNNNNNNNNNNNNNNNNNNNNNNNNNNNNNNNNNNNNNNNNNNNNNNNNNNNNNNNNNNNNNNNNNNNNNNNNNNNNNGUUUGAUUUGCGAUUCUUUUUUCUUGUCGUGGCUUAUUGCUUGAUCCAUUGAAUGUGAAAAUGUUAGAUGCUUUCAAGCAUCAUGUCAUCAUUUCCCCACUGCAAUUAUUCUGUCUAUUAUCGCAUGCAUUUCCCCACUACAAUUAUUCUGUCUUCGAUCUUCUUCACGCCGAGUCCGAGGUGAUUUCCACGACCAAAAGUCCAACUUGGAGGCAGUUGCGUCUAAUAAGCAAGAAUUUAUCAAUUGGAAUUAUAUAUGGUCAACUAAAUCUAAAUGGUAAAAGUUGAAGAGGUUCGUAUGGAGUUCAAUGGUUCAUAUUCAAUUAGUCUAUACACUAAAUUCACUCAAAAAAAAAAUUAUAGAUAGAGAACCGUGCCACUACACAUUAAUGCCUAUGGAUUGUCCUUUUAAGAAUUCAACGAAGAUAAUACCACUUGUCUAAUCUCGAUCCGCUAAAUUUCAUGUUUUGAAAGGAUGGAUCCUGUGUAAGACCCACGUUAUUUAAUAUGUUUGAUCCAAUCAUUCUUGGUAAAUUAGAUUCAUUAAAUUAAAUUUUUGAAAUGAUGGAGUGAUCAUAAUGGUGCAGGCGGAUCAAAUGUUUAGCAGUGUUUCUAAUCCCUCAAUCGUAAUAGAUGAUGAUCUUGUGGGCUAAAAAGUGAUAAACCGAUUCCCUUGAGCUUAUUUAAAAGCGUAAGAGGAAUUUGUUCUCUGAGUACCACAAAAGUUGACUUAAUCAGUGGAAGAUUAUAAAUUCUAGUUAUAAAUUCUCCACCUUGAAUUUGUUGUCAACAAAUCCAAGUCGAGUUAAAAUGAGUGUCUUAAUUUUCCUUUGAGAGUGUGUAAGCGACGGAGAGCACCAACGUUAGAGCCUUGGGAGAAAAAAAAAACAUGUAUGUAUUGUCUAUGUAGUACCGACACACGACACUACACGACACGACACGCCGACAUGUUAUUUCUCAAAAAUAGAGAAUUCCAAUACGUUGAAACACAUUGUAUAUUAGAUGAAUGUCGCGACCUCUUCUUUUUUUGGCGCCCGCGAUCGGGUACGAGCGCCUAAGGAGGCUAAUGGCUCGGCUGAAUUUAUUAAGCCCGGACUCUCCCAAGUCCACCAAUUCACGACUAAAUGGUCUGAGUUUUUAACCUGUAAAUCAAUUUUUAAAUUGAAGUUGCCACUAAUCGAUUUGGGGUGGGUUGAUUAGAAACCCAAGUGAAGUAUCGGGAGAAAUACUCACUCCUGCGCAACCAGAGAAAUUAGGAUCGGGGACUUGAUUACACUAGUUAAUCACUAAUGCCCUUUCGGUACCUAAUCUUGUUUAAACCCUAAGGUUUUUUGAAUGUUCGAGAGAUUUUCCAUGCAUUUUUGGGAGGAAAAACAUUUUUUGAGUCAUUUUUCUAAUUUUUUUGGACACAAAGGGGAUUUUUUGGGGUUUUUUGGGUAUUUUUUUGGAAAAAUACAAGUCUUUUUGACCUUUUCAUGAUUUUUUUGGCUUUUUUGGAUUUUUGGCAUUUUUUGGAAAAUAUGAAAUUAUUUUGAUUUUUUAUUUUUCGGAAAAUAAAAUAUUUUUUUGAAUAUUUUUUAAUAUUUUCGGAAAAUAAAUUAUUUUUUGAUUUUUCGAAAAAUAAAUAUUUAUUUAUUUAUUUAUUUAUUUAUUUUAUAUUAAAAUAAUAUAAAAACUGACCCGGGUCAGAUUCGCGGGUUGGGUCCGACCCGGGCCAGCGAUCCGAACGAGGACGGGCCCGCAACGCGGGCCCGACUCGGAUUUUUUCGUCUUUUUCUUUUUCUUUUUUUUAUUUACUGAAACGACGUCGUGGCCCGUCGUUUUGGGAGGGAUCCAGCCCGGCCCGACAGCCCGCCCCGCGAACCCUACCCGAAUCCAACCCGAACACUCGACCCGACUCCCGCCGCCCACAGACCGCGAACCCUACCCGAUUUUCUGGGUCCGGAUCCCGCUUCGCGACCCGGAAAAUCGCAAACCCUAGGGUUUGCGAAUUCGCGGUGCAGAGGAGGUCCAGUGAAGACGACAGCGGAGACGGCGGCGACGGCGGAGAUGAUUGGGCUAUGCAGAGGGGGAUGGCGAUGGCGACGGCGACGGGGACAGCGCGAUACUUGCUCGGUGACGGCGCGACGAGGGCAGAGACGGCGACGGCGAGACCCACGCGAAUUCCUUCCCCUCCCGCCUCUCUCUCUAGACUCUCCCCUCCGGCGAGGCUCAGAUCUGAGGCCGCGAACCCUCGGCCCCCCUGAAGUCUCUCAGUGAGGUGUCCAAGGGCUGCGACUCGAUCUGGCUCCCGUCUCUCUCUCUUCGGGAUCUCUGUGCUCAGCCUCCACCCACUCGGAUCUCUCCCCCUCGUCUCCGGCCGCGAGUUCUCGGAUCUCGGCCUGCUCGUCCUCGGCCCCCCUUCUGAAGUCUCUCAGUGGAAGGUUUCCAGGAUCUGCAGCCUUCGAUCCUUCUCGGCGUCUGUGUGUGUCCUCUUCGUCGGGGAUGGAGGGCCUAUUUAUAGGCCGAGGGGUGGCCGGUCGACGGAGCUCGACCGUUGGUCCCCUUCGCGCACCGAGCGGCCUUCGACGGCCAAACCGGUGUCCCAUCCGACGCCAGCCACCCCCUGCUCCACGUGCGCUACUGUUCCUCCGUUUUGCUCCGGCGUCGCGCGCGUCCUCCUCUCCGGCGCGUGCUGCUUAUCCGGUUGGGGAAGAAGACAAGGAGAAAGGGCCGGGCUGAGCCACGCGGCUGGGCCUCGCGGGCCUGCGAAGGAAAAGAAAAGAGGGAGGGGCUAGGCUUUGAAGGCCCAGCCCUUGUGGCUAUUGGCUUAUGCUUUUCUUUUUGUUUCUUUUCCUGUUUUUAUUUGUUUUUUGUUGUUUUUGUUAUUUGUUUUGCCUAUUAUCCGAAAAAGGAAAUAUAAAAUAAAUUAAGACCUAAUUAAUAACCUAAUCAAAAUUUAGGUGUCAACAAUGAAUAAUUUUAUUUUUAAUUAAUUUGAUCAAAUUCACCAUAAANNNNNNNNNNNNNNNNNNNNNNNNNNNNNNNNNNNNNNNNNNNNNNNNNNNNNNNNNNNNNNNNNNNNNNNNNNNNNNNNNNNNNNNNNNNNNNNNNNNNAGGUGCUUGGAUGGACCCAAUCGAAGUAGAACAACUUAAAUAAUAUGAGCGCCAUCAAUAUGCUUUGGAAUGAUGUGAGCAUAGAAUGUGAAUAGAUUAAAUCAGAAGGACUUAGAAGGGUUACAAAAUGUUCUUUACAUUAUUGCGAGGUAGACAGUACUCCAGUACCUGGAAACUACUGUAAAAUUUAACACAAAAACUAACCAAGACUUUACAAUUAAAUCAAUGCGAAAUUAUCAAAAAUAAAUAAAUAAAUGAAAAACGAUGAAAGGCACCAAAUAAUUUUGCAGCUUAAUUUGAGUGUUGAUACCUAUGUUUAUAGGAAAAGUUAACAUCAAAUAACCUAUUUCCCACAUUUAAGAUUUCAUACAUCCCCAAAGUGUUUAUAAGUAAUUCAAUUUGGUGUAAAACUCAUAACAUAACCGUGUUUAGAACUCCUCCGCGCGAUCAAAGAGGGCGUCACCGAGCGUGCCCUUUUGAUAUUCGCUGCUCGUCCUUUCCGGGAGUCACGGGGCGGCUCUUUUCUCCGUACGGCUACUUCAGGCAAGAAAAAAUUAAAAGCCCAAGACCCUUGCUUUUUGUUUCCUUCUCUGAAUUUUACUUGGCCCCACACGUUUUUCUUUUGUACGGAAAAAAAGAAAGCCUUUCACUUUUGCCAGAAGCCACUCUCUUGGUCAAGCUUGGAUGAAUAUCUCCAACAAUAAAAAACAAAUAUUCUCUGACUAAAGAAACUGGAGAUCUCAAAUCCAUGUGCCCCCUUCGCUAGAUAAUUGGAGUACGUCCUAUUCCAUAUCGGAAGUGGACUUCUUGAAAUUCUUCGCGUGAAUUAAAUCUUGAAACAUAAUUUAAUAGAAACGAAGACUUAGUUCUAAAUCAAUUUGAUUCAAAUUCCAAUUUGUACUUCUAAGCCAAGUAUUUAAAGUCUCAAAAUUCCACAAGAAACGUUGUGGAAAAGUUAUAUGGGGUUUGAUAUUUUUUAUUAAACAGAGUAAGCGUCAUGCAAGUUCUUGGGGUGAUUUUGAUCUGUUUUGGGCAAGAUUUAUCUAAUUGGCUGUAUGUAAACGUUUUUAGUUAAGUAGAACCCUUGUAAACGACUAGAACGCCUAAUUGAGGCCAUUUGUGCCUUGUGCAGGGUAGGCACAACCUAGGCUUUUGUUAGCAAAGAGCAAGUGCAGCAAAGUGACGACUGGCCUCUAGCAGAGGGGCCACUAGCCCUCAUGACUGUGCAUAGAGUUUUCAUCUGUUGCCCAAUUGACCUGAUAUUUACAUUCACAGAAAGCUCGUGACUCAAAUUGGAUUUCGAAGAAUCAUAGACGGUUAUAGUGGUGUUUUAAGAUAUUUUCUUCAUUAAAAAUCCAAUUGAUGUGAUUCUUGAGGAUUUAGAAAACUUGUGAUUCGAUAUUUAAAAAUGAAAUUAAUCAAUCAAGUCAAAUGACAAAAUUCUUGACACAUCACAAUCAAUUUGCUGUCCGCUCAACACAGUAAAGCCUGCUGAUUCCUUCCCUUUCUUGUUCAUGUUUUCGUUUGAUCAGAAGUAAAUUCCAUGUUUGCCACUCUUGCGAUUUAUUUGCAGUGUCCCAAAGCCAUGCGUGUGUGAAUACUAAGGUGUUCGUGUGAAAUAGCAUGAGUUCGGAAUUUCCAUGAUCAUUUCUAAAUUUCAUGAUUCAUUUUCCACUCUAUUUUGAUCCGAAAUUCACUGUCUUAAACCUUUUAAUAAUAAACAUUUCAUUGCACCAUUUACAAUUAUCUAGAUAUAUAUUGAAAAAUCAAAACAUAGAAAUUACAUAUUGAACUUAAAAUCACACAAGUUCUUGUUAUGGUAUAGAACAUUUAGCAUCAUAUCGAAUUUCUUAAAAAUCAUUUCAACAUCUUUCUUAUGUGUUAUAGUAUCUGUACUCUUUGUCGUAGGAUUUGUCUUUAAAAUAUUAGUGUUUGUGAGGGAUUUGCAGUCUUAAAAAAGGAAACAAUAUGUAUUCCCUAUUGCACGUGAUCAAGCAAACAAGUUGUGUUCAAGCCUUGUGAAAAUUUUAGGCUUUAGGCAUAUUAAAAAUUUAUGAUAUAAUAAAAAAAAAUUCUGUAAAUCUCAUUAAUGUUGUAUUUGUUUGUGGUGUAUAAAUAGUUUAUAUUUGCUUUAUCACAUAACUCAAAUCUUUUGGAGAUUAAAAUUCCAAAUAAUUGAAGUACCAUGGACUCAUAUAGAAAUUGGUACAGCUAAAUUGUUAAGCAUCCAUGAUGUCUUAUGCUGAAUUAUGUGAAUCAACAUUGUUGACAGUGCAUAGUUUUUACUACUGUUUAUAUUUAAAUUCUCCAUUCUCAAUCAUAUAAAUGUAACAGGCAAGGGGAUAAAUUANNNNNNNNNNNNNNNNNNNNNNNNNNNNNNNNNNNNNNNNNNNNNNNNNNNNNNNNNNNNNNNNNNNNNNNNNNNNNNNNNNNNNNNNNNNNNNNNNNNNAAAAAGAUUUUUUUACAAUAUUCAACCACUAAUACUUUUUUUUUAAAUAGUAUUGUAGCCUCCCUUAUUUAUUUUUCUGAUAAAAAAGUCCCUGGGGUCCACCCCAAAUGCCCACCUCCAAAUUUAUUUUACUCCCCUCGUUUCUCAAUCUUUCCCUCAUUUCUUCUCCCCUUUCUCCAACCUGUCACUUCUUUCUUGAAAUUUGAACACUGUCCACCCCACCUCCCCUCCCUCCAAAAAGAAAGGAUCACACUAAAUUCCUAUCAAAUCCCAUUUUUAAUUUUUUUAGUUUCCUCCCCCACAAAGCCUUAGCUGCUGCCUCCUCCUCCUUCUCCUCCUCCUCGCGAGACUCUCUCCCUCUAGAUCUCUGCUCUCUCUCGAUCACCUUAUCACAAUCGUUCGUCGCCUCACCUCUAGCCUUCUCACCAUUCUUCCUUCACAGCUGCAGUCUCGCCACUAGCCUUCCAUCACAGUCGUGACUCAGUCUCUACUCUUCCUGUGCCACUCCCUCACCAUCGCAACCUCGCUAUCGCUCAUGACCUCACCUCCGCUCCCUCGCCUCGCCUCCACCCUCCAUGGUCUUCUUCAACGAACCUCUCUCUUGGACACACAUGUCGAAACGUGUUGAGAAGAGUUGACCGCGUGUCCGAAAAUUCAACACAUGUUGACUGCAUGUUUGAAUGUGUCCGAGCGUGUCCAACAUGUCGACAUGUGUCAGAUAUGACACGGAAGUUUCGGCAAGGUGUUUGUGCUUCAUAGUGUACUAUUAGUCCCACUGUGCACUGAAUUAGGCUUUUUUUCACCAUAAGACAAGACAUAUUAUCUCCUUAGCAUAGAAAAGAAGAGCAGUGACUUUCAGUCAAAGUGCCUAUGAAAUUAUGCCAAAGUGGGAAGAAAAAAUUUCCAGCUUUUCUAGUUAGGGGAACGAUGCUUAGAAAGAGCCAAAGAAUGUGUGUGACCAGGAGACGACCAUAAGAAAACAAUUCCAGUUAGUUAGGGGAACGAUGUUUAGAGAGAGCCAAAGAAUGUGUGUGACUAGGAGAUGACCAUAAGAAAAUGCUUCCAGCUUUGUUACAAGGUGUCUCUUAAAGGUUUUAUGCGAGAAUAUUUUUUUUUUCCUAAUUUGCCUUAGCUGGAUUGUCUUGAUCCUUUUGAGCAAUCACUUAGAAAUGCAUUCAGUUUUUUUUCAAGAUAUGUUAUUUGUUUUGUGUGCAAUUGUCAAAGCAAUAGUUACUAAAACAAUAGUUAUUUUAAGUGCAAUGACCAAUUUAAUCCCAUUCGAACACAAAAUUAAAAAUCUAAGAUACCAUUUCUUUGGCAAAAAAUGAACAAUUUAAAAAACAUUUUUUUAGAAAUAAUUGCUCGUAUCGUUUGAAAUAAUUAUUUAAUAAUUUUUUUCAUUAUCGACAAUAAUUAUGUCUAAACAUUNNNNNNNNNNNNNNNNNNNNNNNNNNNNNNNNNNNNNNNNNNNNNNNNNNNNNNNNNNNNNNNNNNNNNNNNNNNNNNNNNNNNNNNNNNNNNNNNNNNNNNNNNNNNNNNNNNNNNNNNNNNNNNNNNNNNNNNNNNNNNNNNNNNNNNNNNNNNNNNNNNNNNNNNNNNNNNNNNNNNNNNNNNNNNNNNNNNNNNNNNNNNNNNNNNNNNNNNNNNNNNNNNNNNNNNNNNNNNNNNNNNNNNNNNNNNNNNNNNNNNNNNNNNNNNNNNNNNNNNNNNNNUUAUUUGGUUUAUUUCCGCAUGCAUUUCCCCACUGUAAUUAUUCUAUCUUCAAUCUUCUUCACUUCGAGUCCUAGGUGCUUUUCACGACCAAAAAUCCAAUCUUGGAGGCUGUUACUCGUGUCUAAUAUAAGAAAUUAUGAAAUAAAAAAUAUACAUGAUAAACUAAAUGUAAAUCAGAAAAGUUGAAGAGAUUCUUAUGAAGUCCACUGUUUUUAAUAGUUCAUAUUCAAUUUAGUUUAUACACUAAGUUCACUCAAUAAUUUUUCUAGAUAGAUAACUGUGCCACUACUUCUUAACUAUCCUUUUGACUAUUCAACGGAAAUAUUACUACUUAUCUAAUCUCGAUCUGCUAAAUCUCCUCCAUUGAAAGGAUGGAUAUUGCAUAAGACCACCUUAUCUAAUGUAUACAAUCCAAUCAUCCUUUGUACACUGGAUUCGUUAAAUGAAUUUGUGAAAUGAGAGGUAUCAACAUAAUGUUGCAAGUGGAUAAGACUUUUAGCCAUGUUCCUAAUCCCUCAAUUGUAGAUGAUCCUGUGGGCAAAGGAUGAGUUCUAAAUCUCGCGAUCCAUUUGUAGGUGUAAGAGGACUUUGCUUAGCAAAGUACCACAAAAGUUAAACUUUACGCGUGGAAUAACUUCUCAUUAUAAAUUCUCAACCUCAAAUUUCAUGUCGUCAAAUCCAAGUCAAGUUAGAACAUUUUGAGUUUACUAUCGAUCCCACCAUGCACUGAACAAAGGUUUCUUCACCAUGAGCCAAGGUGUCUUCCUUUUCUCUUAGCAUCAAAAGAAAACGAGAGUGACGACUUUUAAGUCAAAUCUAUGAAAUUUUUACCAUGAGACAAGGCAUCUUCUUUUUCUCUUAACACCAAAAGAAAACAAGAGUGACACUUUUAAGUAAAGUCUAUGAAAUUUUUCUAUGAAAUUUUUUCCUAAGUGGACCAUGAGACAAGGCAUCUUCUUUUUCUCUUAGCAUCAAAAGAAAACAAGAGUGACGACUUUUAAGUCAAGUCUAUGAAAUUUUUUCCAAAGUGGACAUGAGACCAGGCAUCUUCAUUUUCUCUUAGCACCAAAAGAAAAAAAAAGAGUGACGACUUUUAAGUCAAGCCCAUGAAAUUUCUUUUCCAAAGUGGACCAUGAGACAAGGCAUUUUUUUUUUCUCUUAGCAUCAAAAGAAAACAAGAAUGAUGACUUUUAAGUAAAAUCUAUGAAAUUUUUUCCUAAGUGGGCCAUGAGACAAGGCAUCUUCUUUUUCUCUUAGCAUCAAAAGAAAACAAGAGUGACGACCUUUAAGUCCAGUCUAUGAAAUUUUUUUCAAGUAGACCAUGAGACAAGGCAUCUUCUUUUCUCUUACACCAAAGGAAAAAAAGAGUGGNNNNNNNNNNNNNNNNNNNNNNNNNNNNNNNNNNNNNNNNNNNNNNNNNNNNNNNNNNNNNNNNNNNNNNNNNNNNNNNNNNNNNNNNNNNNNNNNNNNNUUUACGAGUGAGUUCUCUCUCUCUCUGAUUUUAAGAGUGAGUUGAGAGUCUCACACUUUACAAGAGGCAAAGUAAAAGUUUAAGAGUGAGUUCAGAGUAAGAGCAAGACAGGCAAAAAAAAAUCACUUCCUCUUUUUUUAGUAAAUCAGUUUUAUUUGUCGACCACAUGUAAUAUGUAAAUGAAGAUGGUAUAAUUUUUCUUAACAAGCAAAUUUUGUCAUCAAUUAGGCUUAACUAUAGCAAAGUAAGCAAGCCAUGUUAUCAUAAUUACAUGACGUGACAAUUUAUUUAAUGGAGGAGUCAGUUUAAGCCAAAUUUGCAAAGUUGAGGUACUUGAUUAUAAAACAAACAACAAUUCAAGUAAGUAUAAUCUCAUUAUCCCUUAUCUAUUCUUACCACCCGUUAGUAAUAUAUGGGACAAGUGUCAUACGAUUCAGAUUACAAACCCGUAUAUAUUGUCAUUUCCCUUAUAACCACAUAUAAAAGUUCGGCGCUAUUAUAAUAGAAUAUCAAGAUGAUGUUGUCAUGAUUAUACAUCAAUUUUUAUUGACAAGAAGAAUUUAAAUAUUAUGAAGGACUAUUUGAGUUACAAGACUUUACAGAAAAAUCGAAUCUAAUAACUGAAUUUUGUUACUAAUUCGCGCUACAAUGAGAAAUCACAAGAGAAUUAUUUUAUUUCUGUGAAUAUGAAAUAAAAUAAUCAUAAUUUGGGCAUUAAUGAUUUUAACAUAUUACAUCAUCAAUUGACUAAAGAAAAGGUGCUAAACAAAUUCAUUGUAGUACUUUUACCCAAAUAUAAUAUGGCAUGUGUUUUAUAGAUGUAUAAUUCGAUUCACUCAAAGUUACGAAUAUCUUAUUGUAAGUUCAACAAAUGUGUGGGAGACAGAAAUUGCUUUAUAAAAACAUGUAUGCAUGUGUAUUUUAUGUAAAAGUGAGUACUACAUAAGUACUAUCUAAAUAGAGUUCUUCCUCAACUAAUGACUAAUACUAACCAAUAUUGACACCAGCCAUUGUUAUACUUUGGUAAGGUAUUAUACUCAUAAACUGUAUUUUGAAGGUAGAUUAUGUUGGUAAGACUCCUUAUGUAUUUUGAAGAUGUCAAAACACUAUCUGAACUUAUAUAUACACAUGUGAGUGUGUAGGCAAGUUAUCAUUUACAUAUACAACUUUAUAUGUAAAUGAUGUUAACACCAUGAUGUAUGUGCUAUCGAAGAAUUUUCUUACUUUAUGGCUUCGUUCGUUUCACCGAAAAUAAUUUUCAAAAAAAUAUUUUCCAAAUUUUUUCAACAUUCAUUUCAUGGAAAAUGAAUUGUUUGGGAAAAAUAUUUUCUAUGAAGGGAAAAAAGUCUUCUAAAUUAGGGGAAAAUAUUUUUCGCUUUUCAAAAGUAAAAAAACAUUUUAUUCACUUGAUCUCUUUUAUCUCACACCUUUACAAGCUCUUACUUCCUCCUCCUUCUUUUCUUUUUUAAAUUCAAAUUAUUUUUUAUUUUUCUUUUCUUUGUUUUCCCUCUUCUUCUUUCUUGGUCGGUCGUUGACCAUGAUAAUGGCAAGUAACCGACCAUAGGUGAGCACGAGGCUCAACUACCUCUAGCGAGCUCAAACUCGCUGCUCGCCAAAUCAGCGAGCAUGAGCGUCAAGCUCGGAGCUCGCAGGCCUGGCCAAAUCAGUGAACUUGAGCUCACCAACGAUGGGCAGGCCUCAUGCUCAUUGGCGAGCUCAAGGCUCACCUAUGGCCGGUCGUUGGCCAUCAUUGUGGCCGGCGACCGGCCAAGAAGAAGAGGAGGAAAACAAAGAAAAGAAAAAGAAAGAUGAAAAAAUAAUUUAAUAAUCAAUUUUUUAAAAAUAAAAAUAAUUAAAUAUAUGUUUUUUUAAAAUAUAAAAAAAUUAUGAAAAAAUUAUUUAAAAAUAAAAUAAAAUAAUAUGAAAAAGUGUAUAUGGAGGAAAAUAUUUUUUAUAUUGAAUAGCAGAAAAUAUUUUCUACUUUAUUUUUAGGUUCACCCGAAUAUCGAAAAAUAANNNNNNNNNNNNNNNNNNNNNNNNNNNNNNNNNNNNNNNNNNNNNNNNNNNNNNNNNNNNNNNNNNNNNNNNNNNNNNNNNNNNNNNNNNNNNNNNNNNNNNNNNNNNNNNNNNNNNNNNNNNNNNNNNNNNNNNNNNNNNNNNNNNNNNNNNNNNNNNNNNNNNNNNNNNNNNNNNNNNNNNNNNNNNNNNNNNNNNNNNNNNNNNNNNNNNNNNNNNNNNNNNNNNNNNNNNNNNNNNNNNNNNNNNNNNNNNNNNNNNNNNNNNNNNNNNNNNNNNNNNNNNNNNNNNNNNNNNNNNNNNNNNNNNNNNNNNNNNNNNNNNNNNNNNNNNNNNNNNNNNNNNNNNNNNNNNNNNNNNNNNNNNNNNNNNNNNNNNNNNNNNNNNNNNNNNNNNNNNNNNNNNNNNNNNNNNNNNNNNNNNNNNNNNNNNNNNNNNNNUUGUUGUUGAAUCCAAGUCAAGCUUCGAACAUUUUGAGUGUACAGUCGGUCCCGUUGCCCACUUAACAAGGCUUCCUUCACAUGAGACAGGUCAUCUUCUUUUUCUUUUAGCACCAGGAAAAAAAAGAAGAAGAGUGAAAACCUUUAAGUCACCUAUGAAAUUUUUCCAAAGCGGAGGGAAAAAAUUCCCAGCUUUACUAGUUAGUGAAACGAUACUUUUAGAUAGUCAUAAAGAUUGUGAACGACCAAAAGACGACUAGGCGACGAUGCUUCCAGAUUUGUCGCAGUGAAAAAAUUAGGCUAACAAUGGUAAGAAAAAGCAUUAACGCCAAGCAUGGAGGCCUUCGGUUACUUUUGCACUCUUUUGUAAGGGUGUAAAAUUUUCUCAAUGGGUACAAGUAUUUCUCUCUUUGCAACUAUUAUUGAAGGCACCUCAUUUUUUUACUGGGAAAAGUGCCAAAAAAGUCCUAAACCUUUUGUGUUUGUGCCAGUUUAGUCCCAAACCUUUUUUUGGUGUCAAUUUAGUCCUAAACUUUUUUACUUAGUGCUGAUUCAGUCCUUUCCGGUCAAUUUUGAACUUUUUUGAAAAUUUUUAAUAAUAUUUGAACUUUUUUGAAAUUUUUUAUUCUUUUUAUGUUUUCUUUAUUCUUUUUUCUCUUUUCUCUUUUUUCUUUUUUUCUUCUCUUCUCCUCCCUCCGGCCACUGGUCGGACCACGGCGACCGGCCAGAGGCAGGUCGGCCACCUCACCAGUGGCCACGAGGCGAGCCUCGCCAGCCCGGCGGGAGGCCGCCUCACGUCGAAUCUAGUGAGGGUCGAACCCCUCGCCCAUGGCCGGCGAGGCUCGACCUCGCCGAAUCGCAGCCUGGGUAGCGCCGACAAGGGCGAGCCUCGCUGGCCAUGGGCGAGGCACGACCCUCGCUAGAUCCAGCGAGGGCGAGCCUCGCCGCCCAACGCGAGGCUAUCCUCGUGGCCAUUGGUGAGGUGGCCGACAAGAGUCGCCGACCGUCGCCUCUGGCCGAUUGCCGUCGUCCAACUAGUGGUCGGAGGGAGGGGGAGAGAAGAAAAAAGAAAAAAAAAAAAGAGAAAAGAGAAAAAAAAUAUUAAAAAAUAUUAAAAAAUAUUAAAAAAUUAUUAAAAAUUUUCCACGUCAGCACCGAUUAGGCCAUGUCAGCCAGCUGGCGUCCAGUCAGCAAAAUCCGGCCAAAAGGACUGAAUCGGCACUAAAUAAAAAUGUUUAGGAUUAAUUUAGCACCGAAAAAAGGUUUAGGACUAAAUUGGCACAAACACAAAAGGUUUAGGACUUUUUUGGCACUUCUCCCUUUUUUUUUUACCAAUGUUUGACCAUGCAAACUAUUCUCAGAUAGCAUUUUCUCCAUUGGAAAAUUUUUGGUUUCCAAUGUGUCGAAGCCUUGAGUGUUGAAAAACAAAAAUCGUUGAAAUUACGAUGAUUGGUGUAACUGGGUUGUGCUCAGAAAGAACAAUGACGCCAAUUUGCCCACAUUGGAUGGCCAGAUCACACAUAUCACAAUUUUUAACUACUGCCAACCAAUCUUGAGGGCGUCGAGAAAAUUGCGAUUUUCCAAAUUAACUCAUGAAUUCAGGUAUAUUUAGUCACAACUAAUAUUUUGAGAAUUAGGUCAAUCAGAAUUUCAACGAGAAAGAUGUUGUGACUUUCCACCAUGACCAUUCCGAUCAAAUUUGCAGAAAUCCAUAAUCCUAGUGCUUUUACAAUUAUCGAACUGAAGGGAAAUGAAGGGUCAAAGUUCGGACAAAAGUUAAAAUAAGUAAUUUUUCUGAGUGGUCAAAGUUCGGACAGAUAUAAAAAUAAAAUAAGUGAUUUUUCGAAAAAAAAAAAAAAGAAACAAAAUUUGAUCCAGGUGGUGGCACUCCUAACGAGCAAAUGCCGCAUAGCGUUUGCAGCGCCAGGCCGAGGGCCCUGUACAAUAUCCCCAUGACGGUGUGCAGUGGCCCAAUCCCGAGGUCCCUUGCGCAUCAUUUCCCUCGCUUGCUUAUGAUUUUUCCAUUUAAAUAGGGGGUCAAAUGCUCAUUUUAACCGACCAAAAAAAAAUGCCCAUUUAACAAGGUAAUUUAUAUUAAUAAGACUCCUUAUGUAUUUUGAAGAUAUAUAUCACACAUGUGUGCACACAAACAAAUUAUUCUCUACAUGUACAAGUUUAUAUGCAGAUAGUGUUAACACAAUGAUGUCUAUGCUAUUUAAGAAUAUUCUUAGUUUGCAUAUAGAGAACAAGAUAUUGAGUCUAAAGUGUUAGACUUGAAAGAACCUUUGAAUUUUGGUGAACAAGCGAAGGACAUUAAAUCAUCGGGAUGCUUGGACGGACCAAAUAAAUGGAGAACGACUUCAAUAAUAUGAGUACAUCAAUAUACUUGGAAGGACCUAAAUAUAGAAGAUGAAUAGAUUGAGAUUAUGUGAAGUCACCAAGUUUGGACGUAUUGCAUUGUAAAGGAAGAUUGCGUUAUCGAUGGAGUAGACAGUACUCCAAGUACUUGGAAACAAAAACCCAGCUCUAAAUUGAUUUAAUUCAAAUUCCAAUUAUUUUAGGCGUCAUAAUCCACAAAGAGAUGUAGAGGAAAAAUCUGAUGGAGAUUAAUAUUUUUGACUAAGUAGAGGGAGUGUCAUUUAAAACUUUGUAGAGAUAAUUUAAUUUGUUUUGAGCAAGAUUUAUUAAUUAGCUCACUGUAAAUUUUCUUAGUUAAGAAGAACCCUCCUAAAGGGCUAGAAAGCCAGAUGAAGGCCAUUGUGCCCUAUGCUGGGGUAGGCACACACUAGGCCUUGGUUAGCAAUAAGUGGGUAUUGCAAAACCCCGACCUGUCUCCGGCUAAGGGGCCAUUGGCCCCUAUGAGUCUAUAACCAUGUAUAAAGUUUUCAUAAGCUUGUGACUUGAAAUGGAUUUUCAAAAAUUGGGCCAAGAGAUGGUUGUAGUGGAAAGUUAUGAAAUUUUCAUUGUUAAAAAUAUGCUUGAAGUGAUUCUUGGGGCUUCGAAAAAUUUGACUUGAUAUAUAAAAUGAAAUUAAUCAAUCACGUCAAAUUACUAUAUUCUUGACACCUCAUGAUUGAAUAACUGUCAUUGAAAGUUGCAAUAUCUUGAAAAUUGGAUAUUUUUGGAAAACUAUUAACAAGUACAAUCUAAUUAUAUCCUUGGAUUGAAUUUUUAAGGAAUUAAUAUUUUCAGUCAAUUUUUGUCAAACCUUUCGCUAAAAAAUUAGGUGUCUACAAGAAUUUUGAUUAUAAUGGAAAAAUAUUUGAAAACUAGGUUUUAAAAAAACUGAUUCCAUAUCUCGAUCAUUUGCGACAUAGAUUGAAUUGCAUUUGCUUAUGGGGACUCAUCCAUGUUAUGUCGCGAAACUUAUGCGCCAUGAAUCGGACAUUUGAAUAUUGAUUUAUGUUAGUUCGUAUCAUCUAUGCUACAUGUAGGACCAACACAUGUCAUUUUGCAUUUUUUAAGCCAUGAAUAAUUCGGACACGUUCAUACCAUUCACGAAAUUAGCUAGUUGCACGUCAUACAUCGAAAAUGGUAUUUCACCUGGAAAAGUGAAUAGUAUCGCAACAGCCUAUUGCAUAGACACCCAAUCAGAAUAUAGGAAAAAGAAGAACGGUGACCACAGGCAACAGAAUUUAUAUUGAAAGCGAAUUUAAAAAAGAGAAAAUCUUCUAGCCCAAUCCACUGCUCCUCUAAUUAAGAGAUGCAAUCCUCUAUUUUGCACAUUAUCAAAAGGUCGCAAGGGUAGGAAGAAGGUUAAUAUAAAAGGAAGCACAAAGACCAUUUAGUUCGGUAGUUUGAUUAGAUUCACUUUUGUUAUUAAAACGGUAUGCAUUGGACUCAUGCACACUAUUACGAUUGAAUGCGAUGCUGUUGUUUGAAUCGUAUGCAACAUCUUCAUGCAUGUUGCUUUGAUUGGACUGAAUUCAUCUUUGUAAUUGAGUUGUGUAUGUUGGAUUCACGAUCGACAUUCAAACAUUUUCUUCAAAUCUGCUUUCAUUCAUUUAACACGGCAUCACAUUCAGGUCCCUAUUUUCUUGCUGCUUUGAUUCAGAUUGAUUCAUGCUCUUUUGAUACAUUGGACUCAUAUGGAGCAUUUUUCUAUUUCUGAAAGAACAUGGAUCACACACCAUGAUCAGUCAAGCCCUUAUUCGACUCCAUGAUGCGGCAAUUAACCUGAGAUCAAGUAAUAGAGUUUUUAAUGUUUGAAACAAAAAAAAGAAAACUAUAUAUGUGUUUACUUUAAAAAAUCUCAUGAUAUGAGGAUUUAAUGAAGGAAUGUGCUAUCGGAAGGUGAUGUGGAAUAUGCUUACUCUUUCCUCCAUGUAAUUAAGUCGUCAAGUCUUAAACUUUUGGCUAUCGCUUUAUAGUCUAGUUAGCAUUUUAGUUCGCAAUAAACUUAAAAAAAUGAUUGGUGUCAACUCCUAAAAUAGUUAAGAAUUUGGAUCAAAGUGGCUUACCUCGAUCUAGUUUGGGUGGAAUUUUCGGACUUUACUCUCAAAAUUAUAAUUCUUUUGAAGAAACCACGAGGGACAUGCUAUAGUGAUUAAGUCAUAUGUUUUAUCAAUAUUUUGGUUUCAUGUAUAUGGAAAUGGAGGACAUAAGACUAAUUGAAGGAUUUCAGAUACUUUACGCUAUAGAUCAAUGACACGCCAUGAGGCGACGAUCCAAAGCUUGAUGCUUACGUUAGUGCAAAACUAUAGUUUUAGUAUUUUAUUCUUUCAUAAUUACACGGGUUCCACUAGAAAAGAUUGACUGGGGAAUUGCUGUAUCAAUUUCGAUUCAAUCUUGAACACCUUCUUUCGCGUUCAAGUCACGGUUGAGCGUGAUUCAAUCUUCGAUCAGUUUAGAGGUGAUUCCCAAGUUCAACCUUCGAAACCCCACGAAGAAGAAGCUGACCAAGGAGAAAUCUGAUUCCGCAAUCAACGACAACAAAAUCCCACGAAGAAGUUGACCAAUACCCUAAACCAGCUUUAGAUGUUGGGUAUUUUGUCGGCAUAUUUUAGAUGAUAAAUUGCGCGGGCAUGUGAACCCCUCUUCUUUAACACAGUUCAUGUUCAGUGGUAAAGCCAUUUGACCCAAGGUGGCAAUCAAUAUGAAUUAUGAAAGUAUAGGUUACUUUUUGAGUCUAACUCAAAAAAAUAUUUGUUGUCAUGCUAUUCUGAUUUAUAAUUUUAAAUUGGUUGACAUCUUUUAAAAUGCUGAUUUAUAUUGUACCUUUUGAAUUACGGUUGGAUGCAUACCAAGGAGGAUAGUAUCAUGUCCAACUGCAAAUUCAAAAACUCAUGGUAUGAAUAAAUUUCUCUCUAAAAGGUGAUGUGGAAUUUUGUAAAUUCCAUGUCAAUGUUCAUAUUCCAGCUAUAUAUUGAGAACUUAAUUAGACCACAUAAUUUUUUAUUAAUCUAUCAAAUCCAAAAACGUUUCUAACAAGGGGCCGUAGUACUUUUUGAAAAUGCGGAGGUUUUCGAGUAACUUUAAUGAAAUUGUGGGGGUGUCCUAGUAAUUUACCGUAUGAUCAAUAUCGCUAGAGGAAAAUAGAUCUUAAUUCAGUUUUUUUUUUUUUUACGAGAACUUCGUAAUAGCUCCUUAAACAUUGGAAUUUAAAGAAAUAGUAUUAAUUUUGGGGGGGGGGGGGGGGGGAGCUUUAUGGAUUUUUAUUUAAACAUACUUUUCCCUAAUUGGGACAAAAUUGCAAUUUCAAAAAAUUUGGGGGGGGGGGGGGGGGGGGGGUNNNNNNNNNNNNNNNNNNNNNNNNNNNNNNNNNNNNNNNNNNNNNNNNNNNNNNNNNNNNNNNNNNNNNNNNNNNNNNNNNNNNNNNNNNNNNNNNNNNNNNNNNNNNNNNNNNNNNNNNNNNNNNNNNNNNNNNNNNNNNNNNNNNNNNNNNNNNNNNNNNNNNNNNNNNNNNNNNNNNNNNNNNNNNNNNNNNNNNNNNNNNNNNNNNNNNNNNNNNNNNNNNNNNNNNNNNNNNNNNNNNNNNNNNNNNNNNNNNNNNNNNNNNNNNNNNNNNNNNNNNNNNNNNNNNNNNNNNNNNNNNNNNNNNNNNNNNNNNNNNNNNNNNNNNNNNNNNNNNNNNNNNNNNNNNNNNNNNNNNNNNNNNNNNNNNNNNNNNNNNNNNNNNNNNNNNNNNNNNNNNNNNNNNNNNNNNNNNNNNNNNNNNNNNNNNNNNNNNNNNNNNNNNNNNNNNUUACAUCUUGAUAUUAUAUCUCUAGUCUUUCUGUGCAAUAAAGCAAACCCAAUGAUUUCUACAUGGCAAUAUAUCUCUAAUCUCUCUACACAAUAAAGUCGUUAUUUAAGGGACGUUGGUAAUUUAGGUUGCUUGAAAAUUCAAGGUGACAUUAUUUUAAUAAUAGGUUACACGACUUGACUCAUUGGAGGCACACGUGCACUUAAAAUAUGUGUAGCACGCGGUCGAUUGAGGCAAUAAAUUGCCCUAAAUUGAUAAAUAGGAGUUAGUUUGGUUUCUAAACAAAAUUGAAACCCCUAAAAUUCUGCUGCAACUCAACUUGCAGGUCACUAGGCAAGAUCCUCGAUAGCUUAUGGGUGCGGUCGCUGUGGGAUGGAAGGCGGAGGACGUAUGGGUCAAUGGAACGUCGAGGCUUUUUUUUUUUUUUGGCAAUUGAGUCCACAUCAGCUGCCAAUAUUUUCCGUCCAUGAUUCUAAGGGAGACGCAGCAGCGACCUGCAUUUGGAAAGUUGAAGUUUAUUCCUCCUCCUCUUCUAAUUGCCGUACUUACGAUGUUGUUUCUUUCUAUAUUACUAGUAACUAGGCGCCAACGCAUGGAACAAAAUUGAAGAAUGAAAUUCUCAAUAAAUCUAAAUAAAAUUAGUAAUUAUAUCAUGACACAAAUGUAAAAUAAGUCCGCACUCUAAAAGAAAAGGACACUUGCAAAACCAAAUACAUGUUUUACGCAUAUAUAUUACACUCACAUACAUACUUAGUCGUCGUCGAAUUACCUUCCACAUAAAGUUGCAGUAACUGUUACAUCCUAUUCAAGUUAAUUUCCCUUCUUUAAAAAAAAUCAAUUGCGAGAGCAAUAAUAUCAAUUUAGUUUUGGUAAAGAGAUUACUUAAUUGACAAAUUCUAGGUAUUUCCUCUUUAACAUAAUCAACAUAAUGAUGGUCAUGCCCAUCAAACUUUUACAUCACUCAGGAUAAGAGUUUGCAAGGCCAAACAUUCACAGAGGUAUAGAGAGAGUAUAAAGAUUUGUGAACAAGAUAAGUGUUUGCGAGUUUGUAGAAUAUGGAGAUGCACGACCGCCAUAUACAGCAAUAGAUCCUUCGAAGAUUCUUAAUUUUUUUUUGUUUGUCCGUUUAGCAAUUUUUCAAAAAUUCCAUCAGAAUUGUGUUUAUUUUUACUUUCUUAUUAGAUUAAUUAGAUUGAUGCGUUGCCUACUCAACAUCAUAUGUGUUGCUUCCUCCUACCUACGUUUCCGAACUAGUAGUGGCUGGUCUAGGGAUUGGGCUAGGUGGGGCCAAUUUGGAGAAGGCGCCCUAUCCAAGCACGUGGUCUGACUGUGUCGUGCUUGGCGCCGCAAAAUGGUGGAAUCUUAUUUUGCAUACAUGAUUAGAUCCAUAAAAAUGGGUUAUAAACCCAUUUCUUAACCCAUAACCCAUAUGGGUGUUAAAUGGGUUAUAGAUAGGCUAAUUAUGAUAAGUAAAUGAGUCAUAAAUAGGUUUUAAUUCAAUAUAAGUGUUAAAUGGGUCAUAAUGAGUUAUAAAUGGGUCAUAAAAACCUAAUCUAUUUUUAUGACUCUUUUUUAGUCUCUUUCACCUUUCGAUGUCGUGCUCACUCACUCACUCUCACCUUAGUUUGAUUAUGAAUUUUCAUAGAUUUGGUUAUAUAUAGAAGUAUUUCUGUAAUAUAAGUCGGGUCAGAUAUGAAUAUGGGUUACUGGAUUUGCAUUGCAUGGAUAUGGGUUGAAAUAAGUUAAAUGAGUUUAUUUGGGUUGGAUUAUUUAUAACCUAACCCACCCAUAUGACAAGUCUAUUGAACCUCUCCGGGAUAGUAAUGCGGCUAAAGAGUUUGCUGGGCCUGGAAAAUUAGUCAUACAGAGGCCCGAUUCCUCUCACUGUGUCGGGGGUAUUAAUCUAAUUGAACAUCUGGUCCUGUUGGAUAAUGUAUCCACGCAAGGAAGCUUUAAAUUCUCUGUUUUGUGUUAUCAACAAGAAACCUGCAGCAGUGUCAUCAAUUCUCUUCUAUUGCAUUGUAGGCUUUACAAACAUUUCCAACUAAUGAAAAUUCUAGAUAGUGAGUUACUAGAGAAGAAGAGAAAAUGAUCAUGUUGAUGCAGAUGAUGAGAGCAUUAAUAUAUAUGACUUGCAAGUGCAUUUUUCAUUAUGUCGAAAGAGGCAAAGAUAUCACCUUUUUUUUUUUUUUUUUUUUUCCGGUCUGGGUAAGUUGCUUCUUUUUUAUCCCCUUACUCAUCAUUUUGAUUUAGUGAGUUACCCAAUGUUAGUGUAAAUCUAUAGCGUCGGUUUCAAAGGAACUUUCGAUACUUAACUUCGAUGACAAUGAAUUUUAAAAAUUGCAGAGGAAGUUUUCCCCUUGUGUGGCAAAUUAUCUCAAGCAUGUCGAAAUCUUUCUCUUCAAUUCUCGUCCUCUUAGCUCAAAACAUUUGGUUGCCUUGGCUAAGUUCCUUCCGGAGGAUGCAGUCAUACUGGAGAAGACCAUUGUCAAUACUGGACUGUGGAAAUGUCAUCCAGAAGUAUCAGUGAAGCCGGUUGAUCUAUGGAAUAUGCUUGAAGUGACUGAACUAUUACCAAGCCACAAGAGCUUUGAAAAAUGCUAAAUUUAGGAAAAAUAACACUACAAGUGUCAUAAGUUUUGUAUGGCAUUCAUUUGAAUGUUAUAAUUCUUUUUUUAUUACUUGAUUGUCAUAUGACUUUUCAAUCGAUCACGUGCUUUUUUUGAUGCUAUAAUUUUUACAAAAACGUUCACCAAAAGUGUUAUGCUAUGUUAAAUUUCAGAUAAUUGAUUGAAUGUCUUUAAUAAAUUUUAAUACUCAAAUAAUUGAUUAAAAGUUAUGAUAUUCAAAUGAUCGUUUUUUAGAAAUCAUGACACUCGAGUAGUAAAAAAAAAAAGAAGAUAUAGCAUUUAAAUAAGCGUCACAUGAAAAUUAUGACAUUCGUGGUAAUUUUAUUCCGCUAAAACUUAUAGUCAAUUAUCCUUUCAAGGGAUGCUUUUUUGAAAGCAAACACAAAUGAGUUCUGAAAGAUCUCAUAAGAUAGACACGUUGUCUUGACAAUAAAAUGGGUUUCUUUGUAUUGGAAUUAAAUUGACUAGAAAAAGGUUUUUCGUAAUCCCCACACUACCUAUUUAAUCCGCCCAGCAUGUUUUUCAUUAAUUCAACCACAUUUCGUUGGAAAACUUUCCAGCAUACGAAUAUUGCAAGUUAAUAUAUACUGAUAAGUGAACUCCAAUUAGAGCAGUUUAUAUCUUUAUAAAAGCUUGUAACUUCUAACAUGACCAUUAUAUUCGGAAAUAAACGCUGUUAAAGCUGUCAUAAAACAUGGGGUGUUUCCGAGGACAGAGGAAACAUCGGGACACGUGGGAAGUCCCUCUGCAAUGCAUUGUUCCACCGGCAUGUUUGCUGUUCAGUCGGCGACAGCAACGCACAAAGAGGCGGCAGAAUUCGGUGCUGGAACGUGCGUUAUCCACAAAGUGAACGGGCCCGCAGUCCACAACACUCUGGUUUGCCCUCGACUCUCCUCCAUUAGCAUCUGCUGCAUGUUGCGUGGUGGCAGUAGCGAUGGAAAUGGGUCAAGGCCAGGAAGUGAAGACCCGAAAUGAUCCCCAAGUCGAAAAUUCAGGUUCUAUACUCGCUUUGUCUCUUUUUUUACUGUGAAUCAACACGACAUAUAAGAAGAAGAUUUGCCAGCAUAUUUCCCACAGAAUGGGGUAACUAAAACCCCGUAUAGGUACCGAAAAUUAAGUAAUCAAAAGAACCAAAUUCUCAAACUCACCCACGAACUUUGAAAUCCAUGCACUACAUACAAUUGCAUCCAGAUUAUGCAUCAAUUAGAUUUUGAACUCAUAUGUAUGUGCUUUGACGGUGACAAAUGUAACAAAUUUAGUGAUCUUAAUUUCAUAUAAAGAAUUCCGAAUACUUAGCCUUGAACGAAAAUCACGUACCUACUGAUCAAUACAAGAUGAAGCCGUACGAAUCUCAGACUAAGUUUUGCUCUCCUUCUCUGUUCUUAGAUGGUCAUAAAUAACCCGUCUAUCACUAGUCACUGUUGAAAUACUGAGUUAUACUAAUUAUCCAACCACAUCAUUACUAUAACAAAAUGUGCUACACCUGAUAUAAGGCCCAAUUCCCUUAAAAAGGACCAAUUUUCACUUUAUAUCCAAAUCUGGUCUAAACACUUUUUUUUUUAUUUCAUAAAGAAUUACCAAAUCUCACUCCAUGCUCAAAUCUGCCCCUGUUAUUUAUCCGUCCAAUAUCGCCGUUAAAGUCUUAUGUAUCACAUCCAUGCAUAUAUUUCUCUUUCUCCAUUGAUGACGUGGAAUUUCGGCUCAACUGAAUAAUUUAUUCUAAAAAAUCUUCUUCUUCUUUUUUUUUUUUGCUAUCUUCUUAUUUUGAAGGGAGGUGCUCGAGUUCGAAACAAGCAGCCGACGCCCAUACCUAUUCAAAGAGUUACUGCAAACAAUGCCACAUCAACGGAAGUUGGCUUUCCGACCCCCAAAAAAAAAAAAAAAGAAGUAGCUUGACCAGCAAAACGUCUUUGAUGCAGGCCAGUUACCAAACGAGAGGUCCCAGCUCCUCCUACUCGUCACCGUUCAUCGUCUUCUUCGCAAGGACUCACUCGGGCACAGCUUUACCACCUCUCACCCAUCGCCAUCUAAGCAUCCGACUCCGCGCCCCGACCUCUGACAACCCCUCCGCGAUGGUUGGCUGUUGUCGAAAUCAUCUGCGGCGAGCUAGGCCGAAACGCCUAUUUUCUGUUCCGGUUUUUCUAGCUUCGAGAAGCCGUUUUUAUCGGCCACCAUCUCCGCUCAGCCAUCCUUGAAGCUUUGUAUAUCCACAACGUGUCCGGACAAUGACGAAACGAGCCCACGCUUUCCCUGAAACCACCGUGGCCGAGAAGGCGCAGAUCGUUUCCUUCACUCUGAGCCCUACGGUUGACCUACGUUGAUGGAGUUCGCCACUCGCGAUUGAGGUGCGCAACCUGACAUUUGAGGUCAUGCGACUCAGUUCUGAGGUUGCGCGACUCAGAUUUUAGCUCAAGCACCUUCAUCCAUGGUGGUUGCAAGGAAAAACGGAGGAAAGAAAAUAAGAUAUAUUUUUUUAUAAAUAUUUACUUCUGCUGAAAUUCCACAUCAUCUAUGGAGAAAGAGGGAAAUGUAUGCUUGGAAUUUACACAUCAGACUUUAAAAGCAAUAUAAAUAACAGGCCGGAUUUGGAUAUAGAGUGAAAGUGAUUUUUUAUUAGGCAAAAAAACGUUUGGGCCAAAAUUGGAUGCAGAGUGAAAGUUUGUGUUUUUUUAGGAGAAUUAGGCUCCCAAUAUAAUAUGAUAAUGUAAUUGUAUUUGAGCAAAGCAUUCUCACAUAUUUUAUAAACUUUAUAAUGACUUUUGGCAAACUAAAAUGCAAUAAUGCUAGCCUACAUUUUAUAAAAACUUCUAAUAAAUUAAGGCUCAAAAUUACAGUCUUCCCGUUCGUUUUAGACUGCGGUGUUUUAGAUAGAUAGCUUGGUACUUUCUAAUGUUUUAAUAGAAUUGGCUAUAACAUAAUCAUUACUAGCUUAAGAAAAAAACUCAAAAUUUCGAGUUUUUAAUACCGGAAGAAAACUUCUGACGUAGAGAAAAAAUACCAAAAGAAAAGAAGUCUCUCGUUCAGGAUUGAACAACACUGAAAGCGCAUAGGAAAGAAGCAAUUGACAAUUGCCUCUUGACCGAGCAAAACACUAAUUUUUUUACAUUCUUCCAGAGCCAUAACAUGACCAUCUCAACCUGUCAUGGUCACCAUGUGGCUGAUCAUGUCAGUGAGAUUUAUAAUAGUUUGCUAAGGAAGAUCAACAAUGAUUAUGGGUGAUUAGUUUCAGGACAGGUUGGUUCUCCCCUAAGACCAAGAACUCGAUUGGGCAUGGUCGGUUUCCCAUUUGUGGAAUCAGAAAUCGGCCUAUCCUAUUUUGAGACCGCACUAACCGAUUGGGGCCGAUUCUUGGGAUAAUCCCAAAACCAGUGAUUUUUUGUUUUCAUUUUUUUUCCUUCUAUUCCUUACAAGUCUAGGUAUUGCUAAGUGCGGAUGCGCAAACAAGUUAUAUGACUCUUGAACAGAUUGCUAUUUCCUACUCCGAGUCAUCUUUCUCUUUUGGCCUUUUUAUCUGUUUGUUGGUGGUAAUGAUGGGAGGAAGCAAAGAUUCAAUUCAUAAAGGGGUCGAUGUUGGCUCUCUGCUUUAUAGCGUAAUAGAAACUGAGGACUGAUGGCACAUCAUGUGGGUUUCACAUCUCAGCUCGGGUGUUCAGCAAGGUUAUAUGCAGAUGCAUAUAGCAACGAACCAUUGGUGGGUGUAAUUAUAAUGUUGGAUGAGUGGCUACUUCCCCUUCCACAUUACACCUGCCCACAAAUUAUUGUAACGAAGGUGGCAACAGCAACACAUGCAAAUAGAGAAAAAAGCUGAAGUCAAUUCUUAUUCCUCGACUAAUAUUAGAAUCAGAUCGGUCACCUUAAUGCUUUUACCUCACCCUCUUCUUUUUUUCGCACUGCAAAAGUGAGUCUCGCGCGGUGUACUUGCACCUGCAAAGUCAACUGUGUUAGCUUCAGAUUGCCUAAACGCGGUGGAUUUUAUAUUGGGCCAGGCUGAGCCCACAUGGACUGUUCAAUCCAUCGUUAAAGACUGCUAAGAUCUAUUGGGCCAGCUCAAGGGCAUGAUUCUCUGUUUUGAACCGAGCAUAUACAAUCAAGUGGCCGACUGGGUCGCCAAAGCCCACCUAGCUGAUUCCCUCCCGAAGAACUGGAUUACCAACCCCCUAAUUUGCUGAUGUUGAUUUUAUGUUCGGACAUCGAAACCUUAUGUUUUUCUACAAUGCCGAGUUAGUAAUAUCGUUAAUUUUGACCAAAAAAAAAAAGUGAGUCUCAAGCAUAUAGUCACGUAACAUCUCAAGCCUGGAGAAAUAGUGCUCUCUAGUCUUUUACAUGGAAUCAGGAAUAGGAUUGGUUCCCAUGAAAACCUCUUAGAACUAGCCGGUUUGGUCCGGUCCGAUUCAAUCUCGUUCUUGGGUUGAACCGGAUGAAUACACACUCCUAGUCAUGAUACUAGUUCACUCUACAUUACUAUAAAUUAAAGUAUUUAGGACAUAAUUAAUGUAACCACAAAGCCUAAAUCCAGUUAACGCAAUUCUUUACCCAGAACUCCGUGUGAAUCACAUGUAAAUCAUUCACUUCUUUUGUCAUCAUUAGAGAAAGCACAUGAUAUAGUUCAAAACUAUGAAGCUUAGACACAUCAAUAGCACGCUCGGAAUUACCUCAAAAAUUGAAAAGCUAAAAAAAAAUCAAGCUAGAUUACAGAACGUGUGAUGACAAAAAAAACUUGGCAUUAGAAAAAUGAUGCCUACACAAGAUUAUGCUGUAAAUUAUCUUAAACAUCUGAUAAGCAAGAUUAAGCAUGAAAUGGACUUUGAUCACAGCUGCAGUCCUCAGUAAACACAUGAACAUUUGGGCAAAAACGAUCUGCUCAUGCACUAUGCUUCCUUUCUCGGGUCCCUUGAUGAAAUUCUGCGUUUGGAAAAGCAAUAAAAGGCACAUGCAUUAUCAGUCAGAGUGGACUGAAUCAUUUUAAACACUAUGGAAUGCUAAAACAGCCUCUGACCAUAAAUUAGAAUGCUUAUCAUCACAAAUAACAUUUACAGAGAUCUCUACACUUAAAGGACUAUCUACAAACGCUACGAUUAUAAAAUGUUUUUACAUCAUGAGACAAAAUAAUUAACAUCAACCAUUACUGUCAUCACACACAAACAAGAGAGAAUCUUAUGAUGCGAGUAUCUAAAUGUAACAUUCAUAUUUGCACUUUACAUGAAUACAAAGAGUUGCAAAACUAUAGUUCAAAAGUCAUUUUGUGAUGAAUUCACCUCAAGGAUGGGAACUAUCUGGGUUGCAAAUUUGAUUUAGGUUGAAGAGAUUAACUAUUGGGAAUAAGAACAAUGACAUAUAAUCANNNNNNNNNNNNNNNNNNNNNNNNNNNNNNNNNNNNNNNNNNNNNNNNNNNNNNNNNNNNNNNNNNNNNNNNNNNNNNNNNNNNNNNNNNNNNNNNNNNNUCAUUAUGAAUGGGUGCCAACUUAUCCUGCCCCUCUUAUUGCACUUUUGGCACAGAUGUGCUGCGCCUGUGAACUAAGUCGAAGUCUAGCCGUGCAGUUGCUAAUCCAACCUCGGUCCGUCCAGACAACGAGUGGAGGGAAGUGCGGGGGAAGCGUAACAACAGACCCUGAUUCAACCAGAGAACCCCCCUCCCUCACCUCGCACUAUGGUUCCCCCUCAGUUAGAAGGUAGUAAACAUUAUGCAAAUCAGCAGAUGGAGCCUGAAAUGGUAAAUCCGGUACCUACGAAUGAGGUAGAUCUCCCCCCUCCAUCCUUUGAAUUAAUGCCUGAUAUCCCUCUCGCCCCUCCUCUGGCGAUUCAAGUUCAAGAUUCAGGGAAAUCCUCUUCAGAUUCGUCAUCCUCAGAUGAAGAAGGGGUGGAUGAAACUGCUUCGGGUAAGAGCGGCUCGGACUCACCGCUUGUGGUAGCUUCAUCUAUCCUGGAGGAGACUAUCCCUCCCCCACCUCUCCCAGAUCCUUUGAUAGAUGUUCCUGUUUGCCUGAAAGGACCUCUUCGAUAUGCAUCUGCUGAUGCGAGUAUACCACCUAGCCCAAAGCCGGUGCCCUCCUCGGUUAGAAAACGAGGAGGAAGGAAGAAAUAACCCUUCCUAUCUUUUGUGUCCUAUGUUUUUUGGAGUUUGGAAUAUUAGGGGUCUCGGUCUCCCCCUUAAGCAAGCUGAAAUUAGGCAUUUUGUGAGAACCAACAACCUUAGUUGUGUGGGCAUUUUAGAGACCAAAAUCUCUCCUGCUGCGUUUUCUACUAUUUCUGUAGCCCUUAUUCCGGGUUGGCGGUGGUGUUCCAACUACACUCAUUCGCAUAGGGGGAGAGUAUGGGUGGGUUGGAAUCCCAAUAAUGCCUCUUUUGAUAUCUCUGAUUGUUCGGCUCAGGCUAUUCAUGGUCAGUUGCUUUGUCUCAAUAGCGGCGGUUCUUUCAAUCUUUCUGUUAUAUAUGCGGAGCAUUCCUUCAUUAUGAGAAGACCCCUCUGGAAUGAGCUUAUGUGCCUUAGUCUAGUGCUCUCGGACUCGCCGUGGAUUAUCGCUGGAGACUUCAACGCGAUUCGGGAUGCAUCGGAUAGAGCCGAUUCUUCUAACUAUUGGAUCCCCUUGUUCAAUGAUUUUGGAGAGUGUCUUGCUGAAGCUGGAUUGGAUGAUCUAAGAUAUGUGGGAAAUAGAUUCACGUGGGCAACAUCUUCGGGUUUGAACCGCAGGCUUAGGAAAAUUGAUAGAGUUUUGAUCAACUCAGCCUGGAAUUCGAUGUUUUCGUUCUCGGAAGCAUCCUUUAUGGCCCAAGGGGUGUCGGAUCAUUGCCCAAUGGUUGUUAGAAUCAUGCCUGUUCCCAAUACCCACAAGCCUUUCAAGUUCUUCAAUUUUUGGAUGAGCCAUCCCUCCUUCUUUGACAUGGUCUCACAGAUUUGGAAUUAUGAAUUUCCUGGUACGUCUAUGUAUUCCCUGUCCUGUAAGCUUCAUGCGCUCAAAUGCAGGCUUAAGCAUCUAAAUAGGAUGGCCUAUGCGGACAUAACUAUGAGAACUGAUGAAGCUAGAGCCCAGCUCUCUUUGGCCCAGGAAGCCAUUCAACUUGAUCCGUUUAACCAGGCCCUAGCGAAUACAGAGAAGGAGAAGUUACAAGUAUUUUCUGACCUUCGCCUCCAAGAGGAAUCAUUUUAUAAGCAAAAGUCGAGAGUGAGGUGGCUUAAGGAAGGAGAUCUAAAUACAAAAUUUUUCCACCAAUCCGUCAAACAAUCCCACUUGCGAAAUAGAAUCAUUUCAAUCCAUGAUGGAGAACGGUUGGUCUCUCACCCGCCUGAGGUACAUCAGCUCUUUCUCUCUCAUUUCCAGGAUCUUUUGGCGGCCUCUCCUCCAUCCGCGGUGCCCUUGGUUGCCGAAAUCCAGGAGAAGUUGAUGCACACUCUCAAUGAUAUACAGAUCCAAGAGUUGUCUCGCCCUGUUUCGGAUGAGGAAAUUCGGUCUACUCUGUUCUCCCUUGCUUCUGGUAAAUCCCCUGGCCCAGAUGGCUUUAAUGUUGAAUUCUUCAAGCGGGCGUGGGAGACUAUAGGACCAUUGGUCCUGUUGGCAAUUUGGAACUUCUUUAUUAAUGGUCAGCUUCUGAAGGAGAUCAAUGCAACUAUCCUGACUCUAAUCCCGAAGGUCCCUAAUGCGUCAACGGUUAAUGACUUUCGACCCAUAGCAUGCUGCAAUACUAUAUACAAGUGUAUCACAAAGAUUAUUGCUAACAGGUUAGCUGUUGUGCUCCCUUCUAUAGUUAGUCUUCCUCAGAAUGCUUUCGUGAAAGGAAGACGCAUAAGCGAUAACAUUAUGCUGACCCAGGAAUUGUUUAGUGACUUCCAUCACAAUCCUUAUCGGCCUAAAUGUAUUAUCAAGGUUGAUUUUUGUAAAGCCUACAAUUUCAUUGAUUGGAACUUUAUCCGGCUUACUUUGAUGGCCUUUGGAUUCCCUGCAAUUUUUAUCGACCGCGUAAUGGUCUGCAUUCGUUCACCUAAGUUUUCUAUCUCUCUUAAUGGUGAAUUGCAUGGUUUUUUCUCAAGUGGGAGAGGAAUUAGGCAGGGUGACCCUAUGUCCCCUUAUCUCUUCACUCUUGUUAUGGAAGUUUUUACUGGAAUCAUCAAUACCCAAACGUCCAAGGUGGGCUUUGAUUUUUUCUGGAGAUGCAAAGCGACUAGGCUCUCCCACCUUUUCUUUGCAGAUGAUGUACUAUUAUUCUCCGAAGGUAAUAUGUCUUCUUUGUCCCUGCUAUUGGAUGGGAUUCAAUCUUUUGCUGGCUGGUCUGGGCUUAAGCCAAACUUCAACAAAAGCGAAAUAUUUCUCUCGGGUGGCUCUCAAGCUCUAAAAGAUUCCAUGGUUAGUACCUCUGGCUUUCAGUUGGGUUCGCUCCCUUUUAGGUACCUCGGUGUUCCUAUUGUUUCAUCUAGACUAGGCAAAGUGGAUUGCAUAUCUUUGGUGAAUGCUAUAACCUCGAGAGUCCAAUCUUGGAUGAACCGGUUCCUCUCCUUGGCCGGUAGAUUGCAGCUGAUCAGAUCGGUCUUGCACUCGAUUCAGGUUUAUUGGUCUAGUGUGUUCAUCCUCCCCUCUUUGGUCAUAAGACAAAUAGAGAAAAUAUUUUGCCAAUUCCUUUGGAAAGGACCGACCCUUGGAUCAGGAGGGGCGAAGGUCAAAUGGGAUGAAGUCUACCUACCCAAGGAGGAAGGUGGCUUGGGUAUCUGACCCAUCCGGGUUAGCAAUAUCGCUUCAAUGAUUAAGCACUUGUGGCUCCUCUUUAUUGAUAAAGAAUCGCUUUGGUGCAAAUGGAUCCAUUCCAACUUCAUCAAACAUAAGAAUUUUUGGUUCAUCCCUAGACCUACCAUAUGCUAUUGGUCUUGGAAAAAGCUGCUAGGCCUUCGAGACUUAAUUCAGCAUCAAUUUAUGUGGCGAAUAGGCAAUGGAUUAUCUACAUCCUUUUGGUUCGAUCAUUGGCAUCACCGGGGGCCGCUCUAUAAGCUUUUCACAGAUCGGAACAUAUACUGUUCUGGCAUCCCUCGGCUUGCUUCUAUUGCUGCUGGUAUUACUGCCCUCUCCCUUCCCUCUGCAGUCUCUGCGGCCAUUAUGAGUUGGGAUGAUCCUCUCCCAAACCUCAACGACAAUGAUGAUAGACUCCCAUGGCUGGGCCAUUCUUCAGGGAUGUUUACGACGGCUUCUGCUUGGACACUUCUAAGGGAUAGGGGCCAGCUGGUGCCUUGGUCAAGAUUCAUUUGGAGUUCUUCUCUUCUCCCCCGGUAUCAAACCCACUUAUGGUUGAUCACUUGCAACUGAUUACCAACACAGGUAAUUCUGUUUGCUCAUGGGAGAAUUCCAGUUUCCUCAUGUGUGUUCUGUUCCUCUAGACCUGACUCUGUUGAUCACUUGUUCUUCGGAUGCCCGGUUACGGCUAGUCUGGGUGCUUUCUAGGCGAAUAAGUGUAACCUCCCAUGGCGGAAUUCUACGUGGAAGGAUAACUUAGAUUGGGUUAUCAAGCAUCUCUCCGACACUAGCUUCUAUCAAUCGGUGGCUCGCUUUGGCUUUGCCGCCUUAUGCUACCUUAUUUGGAAGGAGAGGAAUAACAUCAUCUUCCGCAACCAAACCUUAUCCCUCCCGGCUUUAAAGGAACAUCUUCGCAUGGCUAUCAAGGAUAGAGCCUUUACCUUUUUGAAGGUCCCGGAUACGACUCGUAACAGAAGACUACAACUCAGUUGGGGAAUCCAUCCUUCGAUCUUUGACUAAGGCGUUUCAUUUUGAGUAAUGAGGCGUCCAGUCUCUUCAGCUUUGGAUGCAUCCAUGGUGUCCCUUCUUUCGCUAUCUUUCAAUUUCCUGGUUGUAGUCCUUCUCCCCUGCGCGGGUGCCUUCGUCUUUCCCCUUCUCUUCCUUUUUGGCUGUUGUUUAGCCUACGUCUAGCUGCUGUUUCUUUCGUUCCUCUCUAUGCAGCUCCUUCCCCCCCCCCCCCCUCCCCCCUUCCCCGGGACCCUUCCACUCGCUUGGGUGGGUGUCUUUUGAGUGCAAGCCUUUGGGCCAGGGUCUGUUGCUAUAUAGGUGUGUAGCUCAUUGGUUCUUUAGCUAAUAUAUAUUUACCCUUUACCAAAAAAAAAACAAUAUAAUCAGAAUAAACCAAGAAUCAGGAAUGAAUGAGAGUAAGGAUGUCAUAACUUCUCUUGAAGACCUUUUCUAGUGUCCUCGUUGUAAUUAAUUUCCUAUUAUAAAAGGAAAUCUAUAGCGAUAGGUAUACUCAAUCUUAGCAUGAGUUUCAUAUCACUACAAGAAAAUUGCCACAGUGCAUUAAUCUAUGCCAUUUUAAUGUUAACAGACUAUGACAGAGAAAGGUCAAACCAUGCAGACCACCUGCUACAAGCACGAGUAAUUGAUGAUCAUUUAAUAUGUAGCAGAGGUGCAUCAUAAUACUAUACAUGGUGUACAUGAUAUUCAUCAAAGGUAAGGAUUCGAUUUUUCAAAAGUCUUACCUAGUUGUACAAAGGUAUAAGAGGGGUCGACAGGAAGAAUCAAUGCAUGCAGAUCGAACGAGAACCCUGAUGAUUAACCCAUGAACUGUCAGGCUUUGGAGCUGAACAUCAAAUAGAAGUGUUCAGCAUAUCUAUAAAAUACUUGAACAAAUCAUAGAUUCCACAACGUCAUUAGGAGUAAAUGAAUGGAAAAGGAGGGGAAGAAAGGCGAAGAGAAAUGAUAUUGAUGUAAGAUGUUUCUACAAAACAAAGAAGAACCAUGAAACCAAAUUGAUUUUAUCAUUGUGAAGACAAAUUAUUUCAAGGCCAUUUUUUUCUGCAUGUAAUUUGUUUCCAAAGUGUACUAAUUGUUUAAGAGGCAUGAAAAGGUUAUGGUCUGUCAGUCCCUUAAAAUAUUUGCAACUGAAGAGCCUAAAUUGGAGAAUUGUUGGACGGAUAACCAUAUAUGUUAAUUAAUUCAAGAAAGGGAUCAAGGAAGAAGUUAUUUCUCUCAAACCAGUCUAACUAGGGGAUUAUCAAAUAUUAAGAUACUGCACUUCGUCUUUUUUCUUAACCAAGGACGUGCCAUUAUAUUUCUCAAAUGGCAAUCUGGCUAAGAGUACCUAGUCUAGAGGAAAGCUUCAGAGGAUUAACAAGGCAUCUGAAAACUGGCAAAAGUAAAAAGAGGAAUCCAAAAUUCUUUUUUUUGGUUUACUAGGCAAAUUCUACACCUUUUAUAGCAACCAUUUUAUGGCUGAACUCCGCUCCACUCAAGCAACUAUACUUAGUGUCAGUCUGGAUAAGUGUACCCACCAUCUCGGGAUAAGCACCUUAUCCUUGAUGGAGAAAACCUCUGAAUGGGUUUUAAUCCAACCAAUGGCCCACUAGUUCUAAGGUUGCAAUUUCUUUUCAAAACAUUCAAUUGGGCCAGCUGUAUUUACCUGGGAUGUGCAGAUAAUUCUCCAGAGUAAGGAUACAACGACAUUUUUUAUUGCAGCAAACGAUUUAGAUAUGGACAAGUGCACAUGCAUGCGUAGAGAGAGAGAGAGAGAGAGAGAGAGAGAGAGAGAGAGAGAGAGAGAGAGAGAGAGAGAGAGAGAGUUAGUUGUUCAGCAAGAUCUACAAUCACUGAAAGCCACAGCUACAAUCCUUUCUCUAGCUAGUUGGGAGAAUUGAUCGAAAGGUAGAAUUAGAAAGAGACUUCCUGAAUUCUUCUUGAACAAUAUGGAAAUGGAUGAGUGCUAGGAAGACCACUGUAUAAGAUUUUAUAACAGAACCUUUUCCGAGUGGGUCUUUCAGGGAGAUAUAGCUAGCAAGCACAAUGCUCUACUUCAUUGAUUGAUAACAUAAACUUUGGUUCAAAAAAUAGAAAUGCUCUAUUAUGCUCUUUAAAGCCUCUUAAUUUGUGUACUUAACUACAGGUUCAUUGAAAAAGAACGAUAAUUUUCCCUAGGUUUAUCUGAUGUAAAUAGGUGCUAACUGUAGAAUAUUAUAAAAUUAUUUCGAAUAGACAGUUCAACUGGUGGUUGAUCGCUGUUCAUACCAUCAGGGUUUCCUCAUUCAUUAAAAUUUUGCAUAAGAGAUAUUGUUUCUUACACCAGUAUACCUCCAACAUUUGAAACCCUUUGAUCCAGAAUUCCCAUUAUGGCAAGAUAAAGAAGAAAAAAGUUGGAAACAUUCAUAUAUCAAGCAGACACUUGAAACCUAAUGAUUCUGUGGAAACCAACCAAUAUUUCAAUGAUUUUGCAUUUUUUUUUUUUUUUGCCUAGCUCGUCAGCUUGAAACCCGAGACAAAUUCCAUUGACAAGACAUGUUCAAAUAUCAUGCUAGAGAUAAUAUAGCAGACUAAUUGACAAAGCAAUUUGCAAAAGAAGUUAUUAUUUAAACAAAAACAAGUUCGCCAGAGGAAGAAUGUGUUUAGCUAGGAAUUUUACGUAUCGGUCUUGAGAAUAUCAAUUCUCAGAAAUGUAUGUACUCCAGAUAAUAGGGUUUUCACGCAAACAAAUCAUCUAUGAAUUGUACCAUUUGAUUAACUUGACAGUAACUAGGCAUUGACCUUGGCAAAAUAUUUGCAUCAAAUAUAAAAGAGUGGGUGUUUGGGGGUAACUAUGGCUUAAAAUUUUUAACUUUCAUGAUGCCUUUGGGUUAUUCUAUAUUUUCUCUUCAACAUGGAUCCUAAUGUCCUUGUAGAACAAACAACAUGCUGUAAACUGGGUGAUACUUAGAGGCUUUUGAUUUGGAUGGGCAAAUACUCUUCAGAGUAAUCUUGCAACAGUGAUCUGAUUGAGAGAAGAUUUGUGGAUGGCUUGUGUACUAGUACUGGCUAGGGGGCGUUUCAAUCAGUUACAUCUUCCAAACAUCGCACAGGAACCAUGCUCACUGUUAUAACUGUCUCGUUCUAUCAUGAAACUAUGCAGUACAUUGGGCUAGUUUUUGAGCUCCAAAGAGAGGAAAUUGAGCAAGGUGGUCCUCUAUCUGCGAGAUGAGUCUCCUUGCUUGAUGUUGUAUACAGAAAGGUAAUGAGCCAGGUCAUGUUUACCACGAUAGUUUUGCCUCAUAAUCAGAUUAUUAACAGCAGCAUAUCUAUGUAUUUCAUGCUCUAAAAGUCAGAGUUUUCAUGGUUUUUUUUUUUUCCCACUAAACUUUUUUGUUUAGAUGCAUCUCUUGGUACGUCUCAUGCUUCUUACCCCAUGUACUUGAGCUUCCUCUUUCAAAACUAAUACUUCAACAGAGAGAUCUCGUAAUCUAGAUUAGAUACUUCAUAUCACAUUCAAACAGAUCUUAUUUCACUACGUUUUAAGUUUAUGUCAACAAAGUCUAAAUAAAAAAUUGAUGAGUUUUGCACAAGCUUAGAAAACAUGAAAUGUUAGAUAAUAAUAAAUCUUCCUCAAAACACAAGCCAUACACCACAAUUUAGCGAAACUUGCCCUCAUGUAUGCAAGAAGUUCAAGUACAUUGCCCAUGGCAUAUCAGAAAGAAUAAUUUGCUCAUAGUCACAAAAUCAUAUUUAUUUGAAGAAACUAUAUUUCCUGAUCUAAUCUUGAUAACAUUAAGACAUCAAAGAAUCUCACUGCACUGAAAACAAGCGAGGAAGAAGAGAUGAAGAAACAGGGGACAAAGGGACAAGGAAAGAACAAACUAAUGUCAGUUGUAGCACUUCCCAGAAUUGUAAACUUUUCAGUGGAAAUUAACAAAAAGGAAAAUGUUUAACCAAUCAUAAAGACUUUAAGAAAAAGGAAAUAAAGCGAGGAUAGAAAGAAUUGAUAUAAACUCGACUUCUUGAGGCUUCAGAAACUCCGAGAGGUUAUGCGUUGCAAUAUUCAAGGUGCAACAGCAAAUAGAAUCACUACGGAACCGCAUCCAUCAGUAAUCAACAUAAGGAAUCAUAAAACUCCAGUAAGCUUGAGUUGUCAAUUAUCAUAUGUCACAAUUUCAAAGUGGAGCUCAGCAGAUACAAAAUCAGCAACGAAAGCAAGUUCAGAAACUGACCGAAUGCAUGCCUCAGAGGUACUUGAAUGCAACAACAGCAUCGAGUCGCAGCCUCCAAUUUUAUCAUUUGCAUGGCCAUAAUAUACUUCUUUAUACCUAAAAGUGGCUAAGAGUCAUCUAAUCAUUUAUGAACAAACAAAUUUUAGGAAAGUUUAGUUCUAUUUUAGUAUGAUCAAUGUUGAUGCCUAAAUUUUCCUUUUAAUUAGGUUUUUAUUUUAUUUUUAUUUUAUCUUUUUUUUUAAAGAUAAUAAAUAAACCAAAAAAAAACGGAAAAGAAACGAAAAAAACGGAAGAAAAAACAGAAAAGCAGCCUCCGCAUGGGCCUUCGGCCCAUCUCCGCCUCAGCCCAGCCCGGCCGAGUCUUCUUCCUCCUUGCGCCACUGCAACACACACAUGGGCAGGCACAACACCGAAGGAAGAUGAACAGACGGCGAUGCACGUGCAGCAGAGGAGCAGUUGGCGUCGACGGGACGUGACCGGAGGAGGAACUGAUGGCAGAUGGGACGGCGGUCCAACCGGCGGGCGAAGCCUCGCCAAUCGGCCGCCCCCUCACCUAUAAAUAGAGGGGCCACCGUCGACACGGAGGAAGGAGGAAGCGGAGAUCACAGAGAGAGAGAGAGAGAGAGAGAGAGAGAGAGAGAGAGAGGCCAGCCGAAGCUCGGGGUCCCUUGAGAGACUUCAGGGAGCUCGAGUGUAGGUCGGCCGUGGUGUGGUGAGCUUGGAGGGGUCCCCGAGAGAUUUCGAGGAGCUCGAAGGGCGAACCUGAGAGAGAGAGAGAGAGAGAGAGAGAGAGAGAGAGAGAAGCUGGAGGAGGUCCGCGUGAGUACCACCGCCGUUGCCGCCCUUGUCGCGCCGUCGCCAGGUAGCGGGUUGUCGCCGUUGUCGUCGCCGUUGCCCUUUCCCUCUCUGCAGCCCAGCCAUCACUGCCGUUGCCGCCAUCGUCGCCGCUGCACCUCGGUCCUCUCCCCCCUCGGCGCCGUGAUUCGGAAACCCUAGGGUUCCCGAUUUUCUGGGUCGCAACCCUUGGUUGUCGGGUCGCGACCCGGAUCGGGAACCGGGUAGGGAUUCCGCAAAUUCCGGGGGCGGCGGAGGUUAGGUUGCGAAUCGAAGCUGGGUCAGGUAGGGUUUGCGGGGAGUUGGGUUGCGGAACCGGGUCGUCGGGCCUGGCCGGGUGUCCCUAAACACCUGGCAACGAUGCCGUUUCUUUAAAAAAAAAAAAAGGGGAGAAAAUCUGAGUCGGGCCCGACUGUGCUCGGGUCGUCGGCCUGGGUCAGACCCAACUCACGGAUCCGACCCGGGUUGGCUUUUUAAGUUUUAUUUUAAAUAAAUAAAUAAUAAAUAAUUUAUUUAUUUAAAAAAAAUUCAAAAAUGAUUUAUUUUCAAAAAAUAUUUAAAAAAUAUUUAAAAAUAUUGUAUUUUCCGAAAAAUCAAAAAAUAAAAAAUAUUCCAUAUUUUCCAAAAAAUGCCAAAAAUCCAAAACAAAGCCAAAAAUUCAUGAAAAAGCCAAAAAAAAAUUCAUAAAAAGCCAAUUUUUUUUGUAUUUUUCCAAAAAUACCAAAAAAUCCAAAAAAAAAAAAUCUCUUUUAUGUCCAAAAAAUUAGAAAAAAAAACUCAAAUGAUUUUCCUCCCAAAAAUGCAUGGAAAAUCCCUUGAACAUCCAAAAAACUCCAAGGUUUAAACAAGAUUAGGUACCGAAAGGGCAUUAGUGAUUAACUAGUGUAAUCAAGUCCCCAAUCCUAAUUUCUCUAGUUGCGCAGGAGUGAGUAUUUCUCCCGAUACUUCGCUUGGGCUUCUAAUCAACCCACCCCAAAUCGAUUAGUGGUGACUCCAUUUUAAAAAUUGACUUACAGAUUAAAAAUUUAGACUAUUAAAGUCGUGAAUUGGUGGAUUGGGAGAGUCCGGGCAUAACUAAUUUCAGCCGAGCCAUUAGCCUCCUUAGGCGCUUGUACCCAAUUGCGGGCACCGAAGGCGCUUGUACCCAAUUGCGGGCACCGAAGGCGCUUGUACCCAAUUGCGGGCACCGAAAAAAAGGGGUCGCGACAGCUUGGCGACUCCGCUGGAGACAUUUAAGGACUUAGGCCAUUUUGUCUUUGUUUCAAUACUUUACUGACUUGGGUUUUUUUUUCUUUUGUGCAGGGUAAUAACUUAAAGUCUUUUUAUUAAGUUAAAAUAAAAUGUUUUGUGAUUAUAAACUGUUGUGCAUCCUUAAAUGUUUUAGCACUACACAUGGCACACACAACCCGGCCGUCGGACCUGGGCCGUCAUAGGAUAUUUAGGAUGGUGUCAAGAAAGAUACGACCUCAAACGCGAGACUGCGAUGUAGAGGUUGCCUUUCUUUUCCGGAGUUUCUUAGCCGAGGUUAAGGGGGUAUGCUGCUAACGUGAGACUGCGACGGGCGGAUACCCUUUUAAUUUCAUCAAGCCUUCUGAGUUAGAAAUCAAGCUGCAAGUCCCAUCUGUAUGUCUUUGUGCUUGCCAUUUUAUUUAAAAGCAAAGUGAUUUCUUUACUUUUACUCAAUCUUUUAUUUGGCCCAUGGCAAUUUAGAAUAAGCUUUUCAAGUCCCAGUUUAUAUGCGAUGGGGAAAGAUGAUAUCCAGUUCAUUCCUGCUCCCAAGGCGGAGCUCUUCAGAUGGUGGGGUCAAUUAGAUCAGUUUGCCCAAGAGCGCGUGAAGGCCAAAGUCGGUCAUCUCCUAUCGUUGAUCCAAAUCACUGUUCAUCCUGAAGUCAUACAAGCCAUGGCACAUUUUUGGUGCCCGAAGACAAUUACUUUUAUAUUCGGUAGAUUUGAGCUAACCCCAACCUUGGAAGAAUACAUCAUCAUCACUGGAAUGCCUCUUGAGAAAAAGCUUGUCAGGAUAUCGACAGGCGCCUCCCGUGGCAUGGGUUAGCGCGACUUUUAGGAACUGAAAUCCAUGUCAUGAGACAAAUUCUUGAAGACAACCAUAAUACCUGCCCACUAGAAUUUAUGAAUGCCUGUUUCCAAAAUCAGCCCAUGACCCAAAAAAGUGAGAUUUUCCUUCUGGCCUUUUUCGGGCUCAUCAUCUUCCCCCAUCAAAGAAAUGCCAUAAGUUUUAAGAUGGCAUGGAUAGUUGAUCAAAUCUUAAGAUGAGGGAAUUAUGUCAACAUGAUUUUAACUGAAACAUUAUUGUCCUUUAAUCGUUUUAAAGACAACACGGAGAAAAUCAUGUGAGCCUCUCCUAAAAUUUUACAAGUCUGGUUCUUUUCUCACCUAAGCGAAUUUCGAGACUUCAUGCGAUCGUCUGAAACAAAUGCUUUCGAAAAUCCGUUACAAAAAUUUAUGGUUUUAGGACCGUAUAUUCCCAAUCAAAUUGGGUUAACUUCCUAAGAAACCUAGCUCCUGAGGCAUUCCAAUGGUAUGCUGGUUGGUUCCAUGAAAAGAUAGCUUGCUUUGCUUACAAACGCUACCACCCAAUUCUGUUGCUCGGCCUUACCGGCGCCAUUCCCUAUUACCCAUAUUGGGUGGCACGACAAUAUGGAGCCCUUCAGGAGAUCCCACCGCCUUUUAAGAGGCUGAUCCCUCCAGUUCUUUUCAACACCAGUCGUGACUACGCAAUCGAAAUUUCUAUUGCUGAGGAAACCUGGGACAAGUGCCAUCGCAAAAGGAUCGUAGUACCUGAAUGAUUUGAGGGAGAAGAAAAAGCCCACCACGCCUCCAUGUCCUACAUCCACAACCAUCGUAUCCCGACAAAAUGGAAGCCAUCAGUCCCUCACUCAAUCAGUGAGAGCAGCCAGCACGAGCAAGUAGAGCUCAUGAAGAGGGAUUUGGGAAUAGACUGGAUACACACCUCAGAGCCGGUCUAAGAAAGCAAGCAUCUGCACAAGCGCAAGACCCCCCAUCACAUAUAAAUUGGCAAUCAUGUGCCCCUUAGUGUUAAUAAUGUGAAAGUUUUGUCCCAUUGUUUAGGGACUUUUCUUUAAUAUCUAGUAUUUUAUUCUGUCAUUUCAAUUUCAAGUUUUAGAUGUCAGAAGUCUGUGGUCUAUAAAAUCCUCUUUUGAUAAAUAAAAAAGUAGUUAGGCCGUUGCCAUGGGUCAAUCUUUGUUUACUUUCGUGCUCAUUCAUUGUUUUCGCAACGAUAGGUAAUUAUGAAUCGCCGGCCACUAAUUGCCCGCGAAUGGCCUCAUGUAAUAGGGCCCGAUCAGAAUGAUGUACAAAAUCGCCACAUUAACAUUGAAGACAGCGUAGGACAAAUGUCCAUUGUCCUUCAACAACUCUCGAGACAAAUGAAAUCCACUCAGGCUAAGCCCAACUCUGUAGUUGCCUUAAACACCAUCAUGACACCCGCAAAUUUACCAGAAAAUAGCCAGUACCAUAGACAAUUUGAAAGGAUCAUGAAAAAGUUAAGCCAGCUGCAAGAGCAGAAUCUAAUGGACCUGUCCAAUUACGCCGACAUUGAGAUCCCUGAAAAACUCAAAGCACCUGAAUGCGAAAGGUAUGUUGAUACCUCCCGCCCAAAGACCUACUUGCAGGCCUACUUGGUCCGAAGGAUGAUUCAAUCGUACCAAUCAAGCUUGACUGACCCUGCCUUACGAUGGUAUAUUGUCAGGAAGAUUAGUCCCCUUAAAACCUGGUGGGAACUAAUUCAUGUUUUUCACCAAGAGUAUAAUAUUGACAUCACCCCUGACAUCACCUUGCCUUACGAAGAACUGAUGAUCGCGGAGCACGUGGAGCCGUUAGUCGCUGAGGUAGGAGAGGAGCAUGUCAAUGAAGCCUUGCAUAAUAAAUGGGCGACUGAGCAACAUCCUGUUACUGAGAAGUUUCCCACUAGGAAAGGCAAUGAGCCUUUGUACAAGAUCAAAGACACAGAGCCUGUUCAAGACCAAGGCUCAACUGGACAACUCCCCAAGCUUACUCCAAGAGCUAGGGUCCAAAGAAUACCAACCCCUAUCAACCUGGAAAGUGAAUCAGACACUGAAAUUCUAAUGUCUCUCACUUCCCUUGACAGAAUCGAGCUGACAAAAUGAAAGGCUUUACUCAAAAGGUCUAGACAAGAAGCUAAGAAAAGAAAGCCUAAGCAGAUCAAUUCAGCAUCUGCCAACAAGCCACCGCACCAAAGCUUCGAGCAUUCCCAAGAAUACAGCUUUGAAGGCUACCAUCCUCUAGAGUAUAACCCUGAAAACUUCCCGGCCCUAGAAUACAAUCCCAAGGACUUCCAGCGUUAUUUUGACAAUGAAACUAAUGAUUCAUCGUAUAAUUGUUUCCUACUCUCAUCCGAUGAUGAAGGCUCGUCAAAAGAGGAAGCAUACAUCUUUAUCUGCUACGAUCCUAACGAAGUACUAAGCUCGUCUUCUGACCAUGAGGAUAGCUUCAAUACUUCAUCCUCAUUCGGAAAUUUUGACCAAGAAUAAAGCAAUGUGGUAAUCUCGGUAGAAUCCAACUUCCCUGAAACAAAAAAAUUCACCACUACAACAAAUAUGCAGUGGGAAAACCAAUAGCCUAACCAGGAUACAUCAAGCCCGUCUUGCACUCAUAGAAUCAUGACCCUUGGAGAGAUGUGGAUACCUAAUCUCCAUAAGUAUAAUGGCACAACUUGCCCCGUGGCUCAUUUGCAGUACCUCCACGCUGAAAUGAGUAGGUACUAUGGCCCGAUGUCAUUCACAACUCAGGCCUUUCAAGAAAGUCUUACGGGGUCUGCAUUACAAUGGUUCAUCACAGCAGAUAUCUACCUCAUGAGAGAUUGGAAUGAGCUGUCUUUUGCAUUCCUGCUUCAGUAUCAAAGCCAGAUUCGAAUUAAAGUGCCUUGUCAGAACUUGGUUCACUUCAGAAGAAGACCAAUGGAGGAUUUUCGAGUGUAUGCAAGGAGGUGGGAGGCUUUUAUGAUGCAAACUUACCCUCAACUGGCCGAAGAAGAAAUGAUAAAGCUGUUCAUAGGGGCUUUACCUCACAAGUAUCGUUGUUGGUUGCAUGGGUUGCACUUCCAUAGCUUCAAUGAAGUGGUCCUCUCCUGCGAAUACUUCAAGUCUACUGGAGGCGAGGAACUCAAAGACGCUUGAUUUCGGAACCAACACUAUCAAAGCACUCCUUUACACAGGAGUUUUCAUGGGUUUUACUUGUUUUUAUAAUUUCAUGUUUCUUAUCUUGUCUAGUGUGCUACUGUUGUAUUUUCCAUUCCAAGUACUCUAUUGUACAGUUCUAAUAUUUUGUUUUAAGAGCAUGGGGUGGUACUCCAAACCAACCCAGUGAUGUUAUCCAACCAUGAAAAGAAAAUAUCAUCCAAGGAGAAUACUGAGGGUUGGGCUUCCUCAUGCUUUCUUUCCCCUAAAGAUAUAUACUUUUGAAAACAAAAAUGUUUCAUUAGCAAAAGCUUUCGUCAAAACAAGAUGUUAAAUUUAAUCAUGUUUGUAUUUCUGACUCACUCACUUCAUAUCUUAGAAGAUCAUUCCCAUCCCCUUUGACUUAAUGUGACAGGGGGCAUUUGAAACAAGUGCAUCAUGUGAGCUCGCCAAACUCGAGAACACAUUUUCAAGAAAGCGGGGGCAAACAGAAAGGAGCAUCCCGUUUCAAAAAAGGAUAAGUCUUAUUCCCUUAACAUAAUAUUGAGAAUGACAACCCCUCUCUUCUAUUUACAGGAUACAAAAGGUGAGAUGUAAGAGGUACAUGCAUACAGUUGAAAUCGAAGCAUCCAUGACGUGCCUCACUCCUGCCCAGCUCCAUCCUAAGCCAAAGGACUAUCUUGUCGCACGACAUGCCCAAACAGCUAGAUGUUACAGUUUCAACUUCGACGAGCCUAGAAACAUAAGGAAGAAGUUCCUUCUCUUCCUUUAAAGUGAUUAUUGUCAACAUUGAGAAAAUCCAGAUAGUCAAGGAGAUCUAUAGCCCCACACCCCGAACAAUGACUUGGAAUCUAGAAGCUUCACUCCAGACGCAUAUUCUUCCAAGGAGCAAUUGCCAUAAGAAAGCUUGAGAUUUUUUAUCUCAGAUUCCAUAGAAGCUUGAGGUACAUGACUUUACUCAAUACUGCCUUAGUCAAAGACAGAAGAAAAAUUCCACAGAAGGAAGGCGUUGAAGAUAAAUCAACAACCAUCAAUCAUGCAUACAUGGCCAUGAGUGAGGAAGGCCAAUCAAAAGAAAUGUCAAACUGUGCCGAGACGAAAAAGAUAUCAUCGAUAUUCAAAUAUCCCUAGGAGUCAACAAAUACAGACUUUGGAAAAGAGUAAUUUGGUAUCAUUUCCAAUACUUCCCCCCUUUGAAUUCACUUUUGACAUAUUCCCCCUAUUGGCAGGAAGCAUCAGGAUUCAAGAGACAAACUUGAUGGUUAGGCAAAUCAAUAUUGGCCAAGCUAAUACGUGAAAAUGACCCACAUCAAAUUCACCUAGCUUCGUGUAAAAAGACAUGUCAUCCAAGAGCCAAUUCAGAGAAUAAUUAACUUAACGAAGCAAGGGACAUAGGACCUCAUGUCCCCCUCUCACUUCAAGUUCACCCAAUCAUCUGCAAACCGGUGAAGGGUAAAGUUGUAUCGCUUCCAAUUAUUCAAUUCUUGAAAGAGUUCAUGACUAAUGCAUUCCCUCUUGUUUGUUGCAGGAUCACCCGACUGUCAAAAGCAAGGAUAACAAAUCAAUGAGAAGCAUGUCAGACUCUGAUAAGCUCUCCCAAACGAAAUGGCGUCCUGAUUAAUCACUAAAGCUAAUGACAGAAACCUUUUAGGCCUCAAAUGACGUGCAAUUUUGGCCCCACCGAUUGAUCUAUUUCCACAUCUUCUCUUAUGUAGGGGCAAAAGCAGAAAGACCCGUCAGAUCAAUGUUUAGAUCCCCAAUAUUGACUGAUCAUUCGUGUGUCAUAUCCCUAAUCAAUAGGGACGACCAUCGACACCCCUUUGUGAAUAACCCUUCUGAUGUUCAAAAUUUAACAACACCAUUUUGUUGACCCUUAAAGCUACCAACAAGGUCUUUUUGAGCAAAAACCAUUCAUUUAUUUUGAGAGUACAAACUUCGUCGUAUUUAAAAUAUUGCAUGCCGUUUCCAAAUGAUUUAUGCAUGAUGAUUUUGUCCGUCCAAGUCAUUGAUUCCACUAAGGAUUAUCAAAAUAGACAGCUAAAUGAAGAAUACAAGAUUAAUUGAGCAUGCUGGAUGAGGUGCGUCAGAAUGAUGAAAGGCAAACCAUAUCCUACACACAGUCCCCCAUCUAUACACUUGUGAAACGAGUGCAAAAGAUUCCAUGACUGCAGGGUAAAGAGUUCUCUCGCGAAUGGUACGAUAACCAAAAUAGUGAGAGGCAUUCCAUCACUCACCCCAUUGAGCCCCAUACACUGGUGAAAUUUCUGUCCUACCCCCGUCAAGAACCACCCCACAUUAGGGCAUAUUAGAGGCGAAGCAGGAUCACAAGGUGAGAAGAGAGAUAGAAGUUUUCUUGCUCGCACUUGCAUCAAUCUUCGGGUGUCUUUACCGCAUAUGAACACUCGCGUUAAUUUAAGUGCCCCAGAAUACGAAGAGCAAUUCUUUCUGCACUUGUAUUCAUUGUACAACCCAAUUGAGUCUGUAAUUUCACCCUCACGUGGAGGCAAAACAGAAGUUACUACCAUUUAAGUAGCAUAGCUCGUAGCGCUAGCUGAAGACGAAGACUCAAGAGUCUAGCAACAAUGUCAUGAUUGAACUUGCCUAGGCUAGUUCCUCUAACGACAAGAAUGAAAAAACAGGGGCAUAAAAAAGCAGUGUACCUAGUAAAAGCAAGGUCAAUGCCCAUGAAUGAAGAAUUGGAAUAAAAAUAGGGGCAUGAAAAAAGUAGUAUCCCUGGUAAAAGCAAGGCCAAUGCCCCCUAGUCAAAAAUACAACCAAGAAAAAGUUGUUGUUGUGGUCCAUAGAACCUCUAUCUAACAGUGAGAAGAAAGACCAGUGACAAAUGCUGAGACAAUCAUGAACUCUCACCCUUUUACAUGUGAGCCAAGUCUACGUUACAUUCCCAUUGUAAAAGUCUCUUCAGACUAAUGGCACUUCAAUUAACGUAGGAUUUCAUAUGUUCAUAAGAUCGCUCGAAGAAGUACGAGCAAGAUUACUCUAUCUUUUUUCGCAGGAUUCUUGACUUGCAAACCCGGAGACGAUCGUGCAGCACUCCAUUCAUAAGCCUUGACCUUGAUGGUCCCCUUUGAUGAGCCGUUAACCAAGACUUCAUCACAGUUUCAACAAAGACCUCUCACAUUGGUAAAGUCGUACUGUUUGCGAGAAUACUCAGACCCCUGCUGACAUGAUGACAGUGAGAUAGUGUGGUCCUUAUAAAUCCUGCAUUAAUGGUCAGGAUNNNNNNNNNNNNNNNNNNNNNNNNNNNNNNNNNNNNNNNNNNNNNNNNNNNNNNNNNNNNNNNNNNNNNNNNNNNNNNNNNNNNNNNNNNNNNNNNNNNNNNNNNNNNNNNNNNNNNNNNNNNNNNNNNNNNNNNNNNNNNNNNNNNNNNNNNNNNNNNNNNNNNNNNNNNNNNNNNNNNNNNNNNNNNNNNNNNNNNNNNNNNNNNNNNNNNNNNNNNNNNNNNNNNNNNNNNNNNNNNNNNNNNNNNNNNNNNNNNNNNNNNNNNNNNNNNNNNNNNNNNNNNNNNNNNNNNNNNNNNNNNNNNCUCUAUCUCUAUCCCCAUUGUCUUUGAGUACCGGCCACCGUUCGGAUACUCCCUUUUCCUAACACUCAACCUGUUCGAGUUGUCCCCAGAGUAUUGAUACUUGUGACUGAUCAAGUAUCCAUUUAUCUUUGAAUACCUACUGCUGUCUAGGUAUCCCCAUUGUCUUUGAGUAUCGGCCACCAUUCGGAUACUCCAUUUUCCUGACACUCGACCUAUUCGAAUUGUCCCCAGAGUAUUGAUACUUGUGACUGACCAGGUAUCCCUUUAUCAUUGAAUACCUACUGCUGUCUAGGUAUCCCUAUUGUCUUUGAGUACCAACCACCGUUCGGAUACUCCCUUUUCCUGACACUCGACUUGUUCGAGUUGUCCCCAGAAUAUUGAUACUUGUGACUAAUCAAAUACCCCUUUAUCGUUGAAUACCUACUACUGUCUAGGUAUCCCUAUUGUCUUUGAGUACCGGCAACCGUUCGGAUACUCCCUUUUCUUGACACUCAACUUGUUUGAGUUGUCCCCAGAGUAUUGAUACUUGUGAUUAACCAAGUAUCUCUUGGAAUACCUACUGUUGUCUAGGUAUCCCCAUAUCGUCAAGUAUCCAUCGUUGUCCAAGUACUUCCUUUUCAUGACACUCAACCUGCCCAAGUUGUCUCCAAAUAAUAUAGCAACCGUUCAAGCAUUCCAUUGCUUUGCUUGGCACCGCCGUCCAGGUAUGCUUUCUAGCACUUGGACCAGCCUGAGUGGUCCCAUAUCAUAUCAUUAAAUACUUAUGUUCAUCCAAGUAUUCCAGUACUUUGUACACCUGUGGCUAUCCAGAUGUUCCACCCCUUUUAAAUGCCUGCGGCAAUCCAAGUAAGCCUCAUACCACAUUCAAGUUUAUAAUACCAAGAGGUGAAAGACCUUCAUGAAUAUAUGGGGCACGUCCUCGAUAUUCCCCAAUUACCAAGAGGUGAGAGAUCUUCACGAAUAUCUCAGAUACGCCCUCGAUAUUCCCAUUACUAGGAGGUGAGAGACCUUCAUGAAUAUGCGGGGCACGCCCUCGAUAUUCCCAUUACUAGGAGGUGAGAGACCUUCACGAAUAUCUCAGGUACGUCCUCGAUAUUCCCAUUACCAGGAGGUGAGAGAUCUUCAUGAAUAUUCGGGGCACGUCCUCAAUAUUCCCCAUACCAGGAGGUGAGAGACCUUCACGAAUAUGCGAGGUACGUCCUCAAUAUUCCCCAUACCAGGAGGUGAGAGACCUUCAUGAAUAUUCGGGGCACGUCCUCGAUAUUCCCCAUACUAGGAGGUGAGAGACCUUCAUGAAUAUCCAAGGUACGUCCUUGAUAUUCCCAAUUACCAGGAGGUGAGAGACCUUCACGAAUAUCUCAGGUACGCCCUCGAUAUUCCCAAUUACCAAGAGGUGAGAGACCUUCACGAAUAUCUCAGGUACACCCUCGAUAUUACUAUUACCAGGAGGUAAGAGACAUUCACAAAUAUCUCAAGUACGCCCUCGAUAUUCCUAUUACCAAGAGGUGAGAGACCUUCACGAAUAUCUUAGGUACGCCCUCGAUAUUCCCAUUACUAGGAGGUGAGAGACCUUCAUGAAUAUGCGGGGCACGCCCUCGAUAUUCCCAUUACCAGGAGGUGAGAGACCUUCACGAAUAUCUUAGGUACGUCCUCGAUAUUCCCAUUACUAGGAGGUGAGAGACCUCUAUGAAUAUUCGGGGCACGUCCUCAAUAUUCCCCAUACCAGGAGGUGAGAGACCUUCACGAAUAUGCGAGGUACGUCCUCGAUAUUCCCCAUACUAGGAGGUGAGAGACCUUCAUGAAUAUUCGAGGCACAUCCUCGAUAUUCCCUAUACCAGGAGGUGAGAGACCUUCAUAAAUAUCCAAGGUACGUCCUUGAUAUUCCCAAUUAUCAGGAGGUGAGAGACCUUCAUGAAUAUCCAAGGUACGUCAUCGAUAAUUAUCAGGAGGUGAGAGACCUUCAAGAAUAUGCGGGGCAUGCCCUCGAUAUUCCCAUUACUAGGAGGUGAGAGACCUUCACAAAUAUCUCAGGAACGCCCUCGAUAUUCCCAAUUACCAGGAGGUGAGAGACCUUCACAAAUAUCUCAGGUACGCCCUCGAUAUUUCCAAUUACCAGGAGGUGAGAGACCUUCAAGAAUAUGCGGGGCACGCCCUCGAUAUUCCCAUUACCAGGAGGUGAGAGACAUUCACGAAUAUGCGAGGCACGCCCUCGAUAUUCCCGUUACCAGGAGGUACGUCCUCGAUAUUCCAACUACCAGGAGGUGAGAAACCUUCACGAAUAUCCCAUAUACGCCCUCGAUAUUUCCCAAUUGCCAGGAGGUGGGACACCUUCACAAAUAUGCAAGGUAUCUUCCAGAAUCGAUGCCCUGGGAAAGGUCGGCGCAUCCUCCGAGAAAAGUCGGGUAUCAACUGUUGUCUUUGACAAAGGUCAGACACCCCCACAAAACAGAUGCCCUGAGAAAGGUCGGCGCAUCUCCCGAAAAAGGUCGGGUACCAACUGAUGUCCUCGAUACAAAUCAGGUACCCACAAAUGAGAUGCCCUGAGAAAGGUCGAUGCAUCUCCCGUCAAGGCGACCGAAGAAAGGUUCGGGUCCUAGACAAACCACUAAUUAUUUUAACAGGCAACCGAAGAAUGGUUCGGGUCUUGGAGAAGCAACUUCCCGUCACGGCGACUGAAGAAUGGUUUGGGUCCGAGACAAACCACUGAUUGCUCUAACAGGCGACCGAAGAAUGGUUCGGGUCCUAGAGAAGCAAUCUCCCGUCAAGGCAACCGAAGAAAGGUUCGGGUCCUAGACAAAUCAUUGAUUGUUUUAACAGGCGACCGAAGAAUGGUUCGGGUCUUGGAGGAGCAAUUUCCUGUCACGGCGACCGAAGAAUGGUUUGGGUCUGAGACAAACCACUGAUUGCCUUAACAGGCGACCGAAGAAUGGCUUGGGUCCUGGAGGAGCAAUCUCCCAUCAAGGCGACUGAAGAAAGGUUCGUGUCCUAGACAAAUCAUUGAUUGUUUUAACAGGCGAUCGAAGAAUGGUUCGAGUCUUGGAGAAGCAAUUUCCCGUCACGGCAACCGAAGGAUGGUUCGGGUUUGAGACAAACCACUGAUUACUCUAACAGGCAACCGAAGAAUGGUUCGGGUCCUGGAGAAGCAAUCUCCCGUCAAAGCGACCGAAGAAAGGUUCGGGUCCUAGACAAAUCAUUGAUUGUUUUAACAGGCGACCGAAGAAUGGUUCGGGUCCUGGAGAAGCAAUUUCCCAUCAUGGUGACCAAAGAAUGGUUCGGGUCCGAGACAAACCACUAAUUGCUCUAACAGGCGAUCAAAGAAUGGUUCGGGUCUUGGAGAAGCAAUCUCCUGUUAAUGCGACCGAAGAAAGGUUCGGGUCUUAGACAAAUCAUUGAUUAUUUUAACAAGUGAUCGAAGAAUGGUUCGGGUCUUGGAGGAGCAAUUUCCCGUCAAGGCAACCGAAGAAAGGUUCGGGUCCUAGACAAAUCAUUGAUUGUUUUAACAGGCGACCGAAGAAUGGUUCGAGCCCUGGAAAAGCAACCUCCUCAUAUCACCAGGUAAGAUGAUGCCUUGAUUUUUGCCGAACUCGGGGUUCACACCCUAUCUCACUCACUCCCGGUAAGUAACUACAGGUAUCUUCUUAUCUGUCUUAGUAUAUGUAAUGCUAUAUUGCUCUUUUUGCAUAGGAUAAUAGGUCCCAAAAAAAAUAUAAUCUGCUACGCUUGUAUGGAUAAAAUUUAGGCAUCAGUUUGUCUUUGAAUGCAACCUCUGCGAGCUCACCUUCAAAGAGGGGCAGUUGUUGAUGCCUAAAUUUUCCUUUUAAUUAGGUUUUUAUUUUAUUUUUAUUUUAUCUUUUUUUUUUUCAGAUAAUAAAUAAACCCAAAAAAUCGAAAAAGAAACGAAAAAAACGGAAGAAAAAAUAGAAAAGCAGCCUCCGCAUGGGCCUUUGGCCCAUCUCCACCUCAGCCCAGCCCGACCGAGUCUUCUUCCUCCUUGCACCACUGUAGCACACGCGUGGGUAGGUGCAACGCCGGAGGAAGAUUAACAGACGGCGACGCACGUGGAGCAGAGGAGCAGUUGGCGUCGACGGGACAUGACUGGAGGAGGAGCUGAUGGCAGAUGGGACGGCGGUCCAACCGGCGGGUGAAGCCUCGCCGACCGGCCGCCCCCUCGCCUAUAAAUAGAGGGGCCACCAUUGACACGGAGGAAGGAGGAAGCGGAGAUCACAGAGAGAGAGAGAGAGAGAGAGAGAGAGAGAGGCCAGCCGAAGCUCGGGGUCCCCUGAGAGACUUUGGGGAGCUUGAGUGCAGGCCGGCCGUGGUGUGGUGAGCUCAGAGAGAUUUCGAGGAGCUCGAAGGGCGAACCCGAGAGAGAAAGAGAGAGAGAGAGAAGCUGGAGGAGGUCCGUGUGGGUACCACCGCCGUCACCACCCUCGUCGCGCCAUCGCCAGGUAGCCGGUUGUCUCCGUUGUCAUCGCCGUCGCCCUUUCCCUCUCUGUAGCCCAGCCAUCACUGCCGUCGCCGUCGUUGUCGCCUCUGCACCUUGGUCCUCUCCCCCCUCGGCGCCGCGAUUCGGAAACCCUAGGGUUCCCGAUUUUCUGAGUCGCUGCCCCGGGUUGUCGGGUCGGACCUGGAUCGGAAACCGGGUAAGGAUUCCGCAAAUUCUGGGGGCGGCAAAGGUUGCGUAGCGAAUUGGAGCCAGGUCGGGUAGGGUUCGCGGGGAGUUGGGUCGCGGAACUGGGUUGUUGGGCCGGGCCGGGUGUCCCUAAACACCCAGCCACGACGCCAUUUCUUUAAAAAAAAAAAAAAGGGAGAAAAUCUGAGUCUGACCCGCGUCGCGGGCCCAUUUGCGCUUGGGUCGCUAGCCUAGGUCGGACCCAACCCGCGAAUCCGACCCGGGUCGGCUUUUUAAGUUUUAUUUUAAUAAAUAAUAAAUAAAUAAUUUUUAAAAAUUUCAAAAAUGAUUUAUUUUCAAAAAAUAUUUUAUUUUCCGAAAAAUAAAAAAAUAAAAAAUAUUCCAUAUUUUCCAAAAAUGCCAAAAAUUCAAAAAAAAGCCAAAAAUUCAUGAAAAAGCCAAAAAAUUUCAGAAAAAGCCCAAAAGACUUGUAUUUUUCCAAAAAUACCAAAAAAUCCAAAAAAAAAAUCUCUUUUAUGUCCAAAAAAUUAGAAAAAAAAACUCAAAUGUUUUUCCUCCCAAAAAUGCAUGGAAAAUCCCUUGAACACAAAAAAAAAAAAAAACCCCAAGGUUUAAACAAGAUUAUGUACCGAAAGGGCAUUAGUGAUUAACUAGUGUAAUCAAGUUCCUGAUCCUAAUUUCUCUGGUUGUGCACGAGUGAGUAUUUCUCCUGAUACUUCGCUUGGGUUUCUAAUCAACCCACCCCAAAUCGAUUAGUGGCGACUCCAUUUUAAAAAUUGACUUACAGGUUAAAAACUUAGACUAUUAAAGUCGUGAAUUGGUGGACUUGGGAGAGUCCGGGCAUAACUAAUUUCAGCCGAGCCAUUAGCCUCCUUAGGCACUCAUACCCGAUUGCGGGCGCCGAAAAAAAGGGGUCAUGACAAUCAAUAGACAUACCAAUGAUUGAUAAUGCUGCUGCAUACAUUAUGCACGGUUCCCAUGUCACAUAAAGGGAGCAUGCUAAAAACAUCUUUGCAACUUCUACUGCCUAAAAUCCUGUGCUCUGCCACUGUUCAAGAAGAACAUGAAGAGUGUACAUCUCUGCAAGUCUUGUUGCCUAAGAAAGCGCAAGGAGAAAUAUAAAGAAAGCAUAUCAAACUUAGGACCUUUGCAGGAGAAAAAGUUGCUCUUCAUGUAGUUUCAUCAUAAAUCUAGGAAUGCAUUUCAUGAGAAAUUUUUUCUUUGAAAAGUUACCUGAUUGAGUAUAUAAAAGAUUGAUCAAGGCAUAUAUUAAAUUAUAUCAACAAGUUUUUGAUUGAUUGAAGUUGCUGGGAAUUUCAAAUGAGUUUUUGAUUGAUUGAAGUUGCCGGGAAUUUCAAAUGAAAAAGAGGCUUCUUAUUGGAUUGGCCACCUCCACCUUUUCUAACAGUAUUUUUUAUAUACCCCUAAAGCAAGGUGCCUUUGUUUUUUCAUUAUGCUCUAAAAAGGUAAUAAAAGGGCCAAAUAUUUUUCUCAUAAACUAUUUAUUACUGUCCGCAAAGUCAUUUAUCUUAGUGUUUUGUCACCACAUAACUAUAAAUGAUCACAGGAAUAGACUAUUAGACAAGAAAUUAUCUCUACGAGAAAUCGGGCUUAAACUAUUUGUGUAGAUGUGGCUGUUGUGUGAAAAAAUUGUGCCCAAGAAGCAGGUUCUUACAUCAUAAUGGGCAAUAAUUUCACAAUUCAUUUUUAUACAAAAUAAGUUGACCAGUCUAGCUAACUUAACUUCGCAAAAGCUGAUGAAGACCAUAAUAUGGUUCUAGACAGAGCACGAUGGUAAAUGAAAUACAUAUAACACUGUGCAUAAUAAAGCCAGGUUAUUGGUAGUGUUAGCCAUAGUCAUAUUUUAUGAAAGAAUAAUGGGAAAAAAACCAUUUGACAGCCUUAUAAUGCAUCGAAAAUUCUACUCACUAACAGAUUUGUUCAGAUAAUUCUUUUAUCAUCUAUUAAAGAAAUGAUCAUGGGAAAACAUAAAAAGAUAAAAAAAUAACUACGAGUGGAUUAUUCGAGGGUAAUUCAGAAUAAUAACAAAGUGCUGUUGGCCAAAUUUAAACAAGGGGGUGGAGACGCAGUGAUAAACUAUAUGAUUUGCGUCUCAUUAGUCUAGUUUCUUCCUGCCACAAUGACGUGCCUAUCCUCAACAAUCACAUAGCUAUUCAAUCAAAGAGUACAAUCUGAAACCAUUCACUAAUUAAGACUCAACUACUAAUCAUCUCAAUUAGAAAAUAAAGAUAUAUAUCUGAAAUGCACGUGGCUACUAAAUAUCAGUUUUUUACCCAACUGAAACUUCAAGGCUGUCUAGAGCAAACUUUGCCUUAUACAAGAAAGACACAUAGGGCCUUGUUACUUGUUUCAAGAAAAAGAUAUGAGGAUAAGAGUCAGUGGUUCUCUCAUGCAUGCAUGCAUGCAUUUAGCAACUCGAGGAAAUCAGCAUUAAGUUGCCAGCAGUAGAAAUAUUUCACUGUCAAUAUGCAGCUACUAAUGGAAUGAAUGCAUAUCUCAAAGCUAUAUGAUCAAAAUCUUGCAGAUCUUGUAUGAUAUACUGAUCGCAAACUUCCGAGAAAUGAUUAUCAACCCAUACUCACCCUGUAAUUCAUCUGCCAAUCUCACCUAACUGCUAAUUUGAUAUGGCUCUAACAACACUGAAGCAAAAACAACAAUGACUUUGAGAAACUAAAUGUUACUUAUUCCAGUGUGUCUGAUCAUCGGUACCCCAAAAGCUUAUCUUUCAUUGGUACCCCAAAAGCUUAUCUUUCAUUAGUCAGGUUCCACUCAAACAUUCAAGAAGCUUCCGGGACUUCCAGGUCAUUCUCAUUCAUAAACGCUAUGACACAAAAGGAUGAAAACAGAAUCCUAAUUUAUUGUAAAGGCCUCGCAAAUCAGAAUUGACAAUCAGCUUCUUGUGCUUUUGUCUCCAUUCUACUAAAUAACUUAUCUAAACUCUGUUUCUCGUAUUUUUCACAUAGUCCACAGGAUGAAAGAAAUUAGCCUCCUGACCAGUUAUCCAUGGGCAAAAACCAAUGCUCUAACAACACUGAAGCAAAAACAGCAAUGACUUUGAGAAACUAAAUGUUACUUGUUGAUCUAUAAUAUUAGCAUACAGCAUUUAUCUAUCAUAUUUAAACGAAUCAUAGACUAUGCAAUAUCAUAAACAGCAAAUGAAU
rnacentral:lncRNA from 1 species